rnacentral:lncRNA from 1 species
UUAUAUUUUAUACAAAUGAAAAAGUAAAUUUUAACCUAUGAAAUUGAUUUAAACAACUGAAGAUUAAAACCUAGUAUUAGAAAGGAAAACUAAAUUAACACCAAUUUGCCCAAAAUUAAACCAUGUAUUAUACUAAAUUAAUUCACAAGAGAGUUCCACAUCACUCAAAUAUUAUCUCGCACUCAAAUUCACAAAACUCACUUUCCAGGUACAAAGUUUGUAGCAUAUGACCAUGCAUUGUUUGCAACCGGGUCCGCAAGAUGGUCAGCGAGGUUCUCCAAUGGUCCCUUUCCGGUAACAAUGGCUUGAACAAAGAAUCCAAACAUAGAGAACAUGGCUAGUCUGCCGUUCUUGAGCUCCUUCACUUUCAGCUCAGCAAAUGCCUCUGGGUCAUCAGCCAGACCCAAUGGGUCGAAGCUACCACCAGGGUAAAGUGGGUCAACUACCUCACCAAGAGGUCCACCAGCAAUUCUGUAACCUUCAACUGCACCCAUCAAGAUCACUUGGGUAGCCCAGAUGGCUAAAAUGCUUUGUGCAUGGAUCAAACUUGGGUUCCCCAAGUAGUCAAGACCACCCUCACUAAAGAUCUGGGAUCCAGCCUUGAACCAGACAGCCUCACCAAACUUGACACCAUUACGCGCCAAGAGUUCGGGGAAGACGCACCCAAGAGCUCCGAGCAUGGCCCAUCUGCUGUGGAUGACCUCAAGCUCACGGUUCUUGGCGAAUGUUUCAGGAUCAGCAGAGAGCCCAGCAGUGUCCCAACCGUAGUCACCGGGGAACUCACCGGUCAGGUAAGAUGGGGCUUCGCCGGAGAAUGGGCCAAGGUACUUAACACGGUCGGGGCCGUACCAUGGACUUCCUGAUGGUGCGACUUUCUUGACUGCUGUCUUCCUCAUGGAAACCCUUCCAUUUCCGGUAAUUUCAGAACCAGAUGGUGCUACUUUCACCGCCUGUCCGACGAAAGAAGAGGAUAGUGCCAUGGUGGAAGCUGCCAUUUUUGUGAGAUUUGUUUUGAAGAUGUUUUGAUGAUAUGAUAGUAUUAUGAGUGAUGAAGAUGUGUGGAUCUGGAACGUAGAUUUAUAGGGUGGUUUUUGGGCCAGGUAGUUGAUCAAUGCUUAUCUUGAUACACUCUUUAACUUCAUUUUGAUUGGCUACCAAGAUUUUAGUUCUAUCAGAGGGUAUAUAAUUUGUGUGGUUCAAGUUCUCUGGUCCACGGGAGAUAUUUGAAGGGGCAGCGAUAUUCAUGGCUCUGGCUUAUUGAGCGAAUAUAAUGGCUCGCAUUCUCAGCCACUAGCUAGUCUUGGUGGGGUUUUAGCCAGUCUUUGUGCGGUUUUUCAUGUUUAACCAUUACCAUAGUAUCGACUAAGUUUAGUCCAAACAUGCAUUGAAGUUCAGUAGAUUUGUAUUAUCAUUUUGUUUUUUAUACAAAUUUAUCAUUUUCGUACAUAAUAUAAACUCUAGGAAAAUUAAAUAGAAUAUAUUUUGAGAUAUUGACAACAUUGACCAAAUAAUAAAAAAACGUAACACACCAUUCUAAAAAAUAACAUAUAACCAUGAUGUCCGAAAAAAAUAUAACAUAUAACCAUGAUUUUCGAAAAACAAAAUUCUUGAAGAUGUACAAUUUUCGAAGGUACUAUUUGGUGACUAAUUUUAAAAGAAGCCAUUUUCAAAAUGUAAUAUUCUCGAAGUGAUUAUUUCAGCUACUUAAGGUGAUGUUGAUUUCAAAUCUCUAACAUGACAAAAAGCUUCCCCAACAAAUCUGAAGCAUGGACAUUUCAACCUAAAGAUGGGUGAGGGAAGUUCUUUUAUUGAUCAUCUUUUGUUUUCUAACAGCUUGUAGAACAUCUAGAAAUAUUGGAUGCCACAUAUGAAAAAGAAGACUUGCCGUUGUUCCUAUUGUCAUCUUUAACAAAUUCAUAUGAUGACUUUUGUGAUAAUAUUAUCUAUAGCUGAGACACCAUUGUCUUGGAUGAGAUCAUGACCACUUUAGACUUGAACGAAAGGAUGAAACUUAUCAUUAGUGAUAGUAAUGGUGAUAUAAAGGACGAAGGUCUCCAAGUAAGAGGAAGAUAUAUGUAGGGAAGUAACGAUUCCAAAUCCCUUAACAAGUCAAGAUCCAAGUCCAAAGAGAAACGUAUAUAGUGCAAAUAUUGUGUGUCUGUUGAAGCUGAUGUGGCCGAGAUCGUCUUUGAUGGCGAGCUUCUAGAAUUAUUUCUGACGAUGGUUAUUUGAUUACCACGAACGGUGGGUUCUUGAAUUUGUGCGUGCUUUUCACAUGAGUCCAAACAAAUACUAUUGUCACACCACAUUGAAAAGGAUAGUUGAUGCCAAGUUUUAAUAGGCAACGUCGACACUUCCUCCCUUAUUUUAGGACAAGCCACAAUUAGAUUUUGAAUGUUCGAUGGUGUAGUAAGUGUUGGGUUUCUAUAACAUCAAGUACACACAAACAAGGUAGUGGAAACAAUGAAAUGAUAUACCUAAGUGCAUAUGCUCUUUAGAUCUAGGUUUUACUAGUUUUAGCAAAAUACUUAAAAAUCAACAUAAAAUAAAGAUAAAACACUUACUUUUUGUUCAUUUGUAACGUCAUAAUAAAUACUCUCUCCGUCCCAAAAUUAUUGUUCACAGACAAAAAAAAAACACACAGAUUAAGAAAACAUUAAUUACUACUAACUUUAUUCAAUAAAAUGACAGUUAUGUCCUUAUUUUGCAUUUAAUGUUCGAUUAAAUGCUUAGUUGGUUAAGUAAUAAUAAUAAAGUGUAUUUUGGUAAAAAAGUUAUUUAUUUUUAUAAGUGGACUAUAAUUUUAGGACAAACCAAAAAGGAAAGAUGGACUAUAAUUUUGGGACGGAGAGAGUAAUAAUUACUAAAAUAAAAUCCUAAAAUAGGAUAAUCUAUAGCCGUGCGCGCUGCGGACUAUAUAAUACAAGUUUCUUAUUAAGGAAAAAUAGGAAAAAUCACCCGAGUCGUCCGUAAGUCAUAAAAAUAAGUGUGCCAAAAUGUAUAUAUUAUUAUAUAUUCAAAAAGUACAUGUCGUCCUGAUCCCGAAAAUAUAAAUUUCGUAGAAAUCUUAGUUCAUAUGAAGACGAUAUGAAUUUUAUAAGACAUAAAAAUCAACAGCCUAACUAAAAAUUAUUAACGUCAAAAUGUACAAAGAGAAUGGUUGACCUUUGGGUAAAGUCACCAAAAUGAAAAUCAUAAUGCUCUUUAAUGUAAGAAUUUUGGUAAAAGAAACACAAAAACUCGGAGUCCGUAUGGGAAAGUUAUGAUUUUUGCAAAAUCAUUAAAUCAUAUAAAAAUAAGGGCUAAAAACAAAUUCAGAAUUAGCCGAUGGAGCCUAAAGGAAAGUUGUAGUAUUGUCGAGAGCUACAUGUGGAAAAAAAGAACGUCAAAAGCAGAGUCCGUAUGAAGAAGGUGAAAAUGCGACCCAAUGAGAGCUUGACACGUGACACAAUGUGGCUAGGGAGAAGUCACCUUAAAAUGCACGACGUACACCCCCAUUGCACACUGUGCACCCAAAAUCGGCUAUAAAUAGGAGGUCAAGCCUCAUUCACUCCUCAACACCGCUUCUAUCAUUCUCUUUCGAUUUCCUUUGGUUCUGGCCCAUUUUAUCUUAGUUUUAGCAUUCGGCGAAGCCCUGCGAUCCCUAAAGUAGUAGUAGUUAGCGAGUAGAAGCUUUGCCAAUGCAAUUUCCUAACUUUGUUAGGAAGAACCUUUGUAAGUUAAGCUAUACUCUAGUCUUUUCAAUGUAAGUUAUAUUUAUAGUCAUAAGUCAUUAUUAUGAACCUAUAAAUAAGAUUUAUCAAUAAUUCUAUGUCGUUAUACUGAUUGAUCUACUUACGGGAGAUGUGCCUAGAAUGGUCACGUUGGCUUGGUUGUUGGAUUUCAAAAAAGAUAAUGAUUCUGCCUCCCAACUGUCCUGCUUGGAUGAUCCUUAAUUGAUAGAUCUUGAUUUAGACAUCAAAAUUAAUGAGGAAUCUAGUCAUCAGGACCAUUAGACUAGAACUUUAUAUAAAUUAUACUUAGGUAUCGGAAAUAUCUGAGGUGUUAGGCAAAGCUCUGCCCAGAUCACCAGCCACCCACCUAAGUCAAGUGAGUACAUAGUCCCCUUCAUGAACACGAUUUAAUACAAGUAUUAAUUGAAAUAUUAAAAAUCUGCUGGAAGUCGUAUGUGAAUUAUAUACUUAUUGCCUGGAUUGUAUGUUAGGAUAUAUGGUGCUAUGUGCGAACUAGAUAUGGUUCUAUUUUAUGUUAAGAUAAAUAGAUAAUAUUACAUAAUAAUAUUCAAAGCAAAAUUGUUGAGAAGAUAAAUGAUUAAUAACACCUAAUACUCUUAUGGAAUAUAUAUAUAUAUAUAUACUAAGAUAGGUUAGUGUCGCCCAAGAAUAGAGUUGGUAUUAAAAAUUUAGUUUCAGGCACGGUAUUCUAUUCUAGGAAUAAACUUAGACUUAUGGAAGAUACCUAGUUCAAUUAAGUUGAUAUUAGAUAGUCUCAUUAGGAGAAUGUGCGUAACCUAGGAAUGGAGAGUAAAGUUUUGUUCCAUGACACUAUUAGGUGUCGAUUUGUUAUAGCUUCGUACUAGAUGACCAGAAAUGGUGGGUCCUGAUCAGGCAACUGUUAGCAGUAUGUCUAGUCACGCCACAUAGUAUUUUUGGAUUAGAUGUCCAAACCCAUAACUAUAAUUGGUAUAUACUUGACCCGAGAGUAGCAUGGUCCAUUUCAGGUUGCCUUCAUCAAAGCAAUUUGACAAGAUAGAUAUUUGAGAAAGAGGUUAUUUGUGAUUUACUAAUAUUAUAAGAAUAAUAUAUUAAUUAAGAAAUCAUAUUAUUUAAGUAGUAUUGUUCAAAAAUUAAUUUGGAAUUAAUUUAGUAAUCAAAAGAGACUAAUUAAAUUUGCAGGGACUGAUUAGGUAAAUCAGUGAUAUUUAUAGUUUGGGGCCUUUGGGCUAAUGAUCAAUGUUGAUUAGGAUUGGACUAAUUCUUUGUGAGAGUCCAUGAAGAGUUAGUCCAAAACGCUAAUGAGUUAUUGGAUUAAAAGCCCAAGUGAGUUAGGGUUUACAAGUUGAAUCCCUAGGAAUUCAUAACAUUAUUGAAGCAACAUACUAUUGAAUAAAAAAACUUCUAAACCCUAAUGGAAAUCACAAUUUUCAGAAGAAUUACAUACCUCUAAUUUGUUAUUGUAAGCAAACCUUUGAAUCCAACAAGAUCAAUCCAAAAGUCUCUUUGAAAACAAACUUCAAUUGUGAGCGAGCCUCUAAUGGUUCGCACUCACAAGACAAGAACCCUAGAAAGAUUAGGAGAGAGGUUCAAAUUUUUGGAUCUACUAUCUCAAUAGAAGUGGCCAAAAAUUUCAAGGUACAAGACCCUAUUUAUAGCUUAUUAGGAAACAUCUAGAAACCCUAAUUUGAACAUAAAAUAAAAUUAUCUCAAAUAAGUCAAUUAUUUAGUUUCUUGAUUAUCUGCAUGGAGGCUUCCUGAAACCUUAGUGGGUCUAAAAAAAAGGUCCACUGGAGGAAGGUUCUGGAAUCUCUCCUCUGCUCAACUCUUAAAACAAGUUUCGCUUUAGUCCUUCAACCUUUAAUUAAUUUUAAUUAACCAUAAAUUAAUUCCAAACCAAUUCUAAAUUAAUCAUAACUAUUUAUAAUUAAUAUAUUAAUCAUAUAAUAUAUUAAUAAAUCAUUUCUCUCUCUUCUAAAAUCAAUCUAAGCAAUUUCUUGGUUAUGAGGGCAACCCAAAAAGGACUUUGCUUUUAUUUAUCAACAUUAUAUCAAUUUAGUUUGGAUCUUAGACACCUUAAUCCAACAUAAGGUUCGUAAUACAUAUACAUGUUGUGUAUGUCCAUUAGCAAAACAAAAAUGAUUACCAUUUGUUUCUGCAAACAAUGUAUCUCAUACACCUUUUCAAUUGAUUCAUUGUGACAUUUGGGGUCCUUAUCAAAUCAAUUCACAUCGGGGUUAUAGGUUUAUCAUUACUAUUGUGGAUGAUUACACUAGAUUCACUAGGAACUAUUUGAUAAGACACAAAUCUGAGGCACAAUUUGUUAUUCCCCAUUUUUUUUUUUUAAAAAUGGUGCUCAAAUAAUAUCAUACUCAUAUAAAUAUUUUCAGAUCGGAUAAUGCAAAAGAACUUCAACUCAACGUGUUUUUUAAACUAAAUGGAGUAUUACAUCAGUUCUCGUGUGUUGAUAGACCACAACAAAACUUUGUUGUUGAGAGAAAACUUCAACAUCUCUUAAAUGUGGCAAUGACAUUGUUCUAUCAAGCUCACAUUCCUUUUAUAUGUUGGCUUGAAUGUGUUUCAACAAGUGCCUACAUGAUAAAUAGAACUCCCUCAAAAGUUCUUGGAAAUAUUUCUGCUUAUAAAAAUCUCUAUAAAGAAUAGCCUCAUUACUCAUAGCUUUGAAAUUUUGGUUGUUUACCUUUUGCAUCCACACUUCAUUCUCAAAGACAUAAGUUUGAUCAUUGAGCAAGAGCAUGUGUUUUCAUUAGAUAACCACAAGGAAUGAAAGCAUAUAGAUUUCUUGAUAUAGAAACAAAUCAAAGUUUUGUUUCUAGAGAUGUCAUAUUUCAUGAGGGGAUAUUUCCUUUUAAAUAAUGCUCGCCAUCUUCUCAUACAAAUCCAUUUAUCUUUCAUGUUUUGCCUAUACUUUUACCUAGAAUCACUCAUUCUUUUACUCCUUCAGAAAAUCUCAAUCAAUUUGAUUCCCAAAUUGAUACCUUACAAAUGAAAUUCCAAAUUCACAACCAAUAUUUCUAGACCACGAAGACAAAGAGCUCCUCCUUCAUAUCUUCAGGAUUUUCAGUAAUUUGAUAAAUCCAAUUCCAGAAGAAACAUCUAUCAAAUACCCAUUAUUUGUUGUAUUAUCUUAUUUACAUCUUUCUCCUUCUUACCAAGCAUAUACUUAUGCCUUAUCUACUCAAACUAAACCCACUUCUUUUAAAGAAGCCAUUCAACAACCUAAAUGAAAGCAAGCAAUUGAUGAAGAACGUCAUGCUUUAGAGUUAAAUAAUAGUUGAACCAUUGUAACCCUAUCUCUUGAUAGAAAACCUUUGGGCUGAAAACGGGAUUUUAAACUUAAAAAGAAGGUUGAUGGAUCCAUUGAAAUCCAUAAGGAUAUAAUGGUAGCAAUGGGCUAUAGUCAAUAAGGAGUGGAUUUUUUUGGAUACUUUCUCACUUGUGUAAAAUUUAGUCAUAGUCAAACAUUUGCUGCUAACAAAGCUUGGCCACUAAUCCAAUUAGAUGUUAAUAAGCUUUCCCAAAUGGGGAUUUAAAUGAAGAGGUUUAUAUGCACUUACCACAAGGAUAUACUCCAUCUUUGUUUCUAAUUCCAGUGGAAAAUUAGUCUGCAAUUUUGAAAAAUAUUUAUAUGGUUUACAACAAGCUUCAAGGCAAUGGUAUGAUAAAUUUUCAAAAUUUUCUUAUUUCUAAAUAUUUCAAGCAAUAUCAAUAAAAAAAUUCCUUAUUUUUCAAAGGAAAAGAUGAUAAUUUUAUGGCCUUAUUAGUAUAUGUAGACGAUAUUGUCCUUACGGCUUAUUCUCUCACAACCAUUAAUAACAUCAAACAACGUUCAAGUGAUGCCUUUUAUCUCAAAGAUUUGGGUAAACUCAAACAUUUUUUGGGUUUGGAAAUUGGAAGAUCCCCAAAUGGAAUUGUCAUUUCUCAAAGGAAAUGUGUUAGAUCUAUUUGAAGAUGUUAGCAUGUUGGUAUCCAAACCAACCUCUCAAUUAAUGGAUCCUUGUCAUAAAAAAUUAAUUUUUUAUGGAUAACCUGUAUAAGAUCCAUCUCAUUAUCGCCAUUUAGUUGGUCGUCUUCUUUAUCUCACAAUCACACCUCCCGAAAUAGCUUAUGUAGUACACAGAUUAAGCCAAUAUAUUUCUGAUCUAAAAAUACCACAUCUUCAGGUAGCUCAUCAUGUGUUAUGAUUUUUAAAGGAUAACCCUAGACAAGGUUUGUUUAUUUCAUCCAAACCAUCUUUGCAAGUCAAAGCAUUCAAUGAUUCUGAUUGGGUUGGAUGUAUUAACACUAGAAGAUCUUUUACAGGUUUUUGUGUUUUUCUUGGAGAUUUCUUAAUCUUGUGGAAAUCCAAGAAAAAAACCACUUUUCCAAGAAGAUCAAUAGAAGUAGAGUACAGGGCACUGGAUCUGUCAUAAAUGAUGUGAUCUGGUUAAGAUAACUUAUGCGUGAUUUUUUUUAUUAAUUUGGAUCCACCAACAUUUGUUUUUUGUGAUAAUAAUUUUGCAAUGCAAUUAGCUGUCAAUCCUAUAUUUCACUAGAGGACUAAGCAUAUCUAAAUCGAUUUCCAUUUCAUAAGGGAAAUGAUUGUGGAUCACACCAUCAAACUCAUGCCCAUUCAUACUUCAAAUUAACUAGCGGAUAUAUUUACAAAACCCCUUGCUUAUUCUAGAAUUGCUUUGAUUUUAUCCAAGAUGGCACUUAAAAGUAUUUUUUAGUGUACAUCUUGAGGGAGGUAUUAGAGCAUAUUGACCGCUUAGUUGAUUAAAUAUCUAUUACGAUGCCGUUUUAUAUUUGUCAUUAGAAAUAAAGGUAGUGAAACUAUGUCAUUUACUUGUGUAAAUAAGUUGUUAAGUUAGUUAGGUGCAUGUUAGCUAAUGUUGUGCAAGAUAAUAGUUAUAUAUAAUCUCAUUUUAUAUUUAUUGAUGAAUAAGAGAAGAUUAUAUUCCCUUUUCAAUUCUUUUUCUUCUUGAUUGUAAAUCUUUCCUCUACCCAUACCUUUCAUAACCCCCUAAAACUAUUUAAUCAAAUCGGUCACUGAAUUCUUGUUUCCAAUUUUGAUUCGAACGACGGUACCUCAAGCCAUUGUUUCAGAUCUUGAGGUAAAUACAAUUGCUCUAUUUCCCUUAAUUAUAAAUUGCAUUCAUGAUUUAUUGUUGAUUGAUGGUGCUAAAUGUUCAGAUGUAAAUCAUACACAUUGUGAACUUAUAGAAACAAUAUGUUGUUCCUAAAAUUGGUAAAAUCCAAAAUCCAAGAUGAUGCAAAUAUCGAUGCUCUACUAAAACUCAUAUAUGUCAAUGGCGCUACAUGAUGGAAAAAGAGCCACUUUUAGUUUGUUGUCAAAAGGCAAAGUGAAGUUAAGACAGUCUUCUCUCAAAUACGACCUCUAGCCUUAGGCUUCAAGUUGUUUCUCGUGUGAGUUUGGGUCUUUCAAAAUUCAACAAAUUUGCUACAAUGGAUACAAAUGUUCUUUAUGGAUACAUCACUAGACUGUAAAAUGAGAUUGAUAACAUUCACGAUGUUGUUAGAUUGCUUACAUUCAUGAUGUUGUUACAUUGGUAAAAGUCCGAGAUGACAUCAUGGUGGACGUUGGUAGAACGAGACAUGACAUUGUGUUCCUGCUCAGUACUACGCUUCCACCAUACUUAGUGUCACUUAUAUGUAGAAAGGUGUUAUCUAUAUCAAUUUUAUAUAUUAUGUAUAGUGUAGGGAGACAAUUUUAACAAUGUAUUGUAUAAAUAUAUUCUGCAAUAUACGCCUCCAAAUGAUGAGGUUUUUCCCACUUUAAUAUGGUAUCAAGCUACGGUUUCUACCCUCUUUAAUCAUACGUAUGGAUCAAACCUUUUACCGCCUCACAUUUUUUUUUCUGGCCAUUAAUCACGUUGUCGCUGCUCUUAUAUGCCACUAUAAUUGUCGACUGCUUCUCAAUUUUUCUCGACGUGCUCUCCUCCGUGCAUUAGGGUCUUCCUAAAAUAUGGUUGUGGUUGAUUCUUUUAUGUUUCCAACAAUAUUUUACAAUCUCCUGCUGUGAUCACAUAAUUUUGCCCUCAUCAUUAUUGUGUGCGUUUCUUGCUCCUUAAGGUAUUGCCUCCAUGACCACUCCUGGUUCAUCCUCUACCACCACUCCCAUGAAGUUAAGUCUCGUUUGUACUCUCACCAACGUUUACAAUCAUUUUAGUUUCAAAUUAAAUGUUGAUGAGCCAAACUGUAAACUAUGGAAUCAGAUUUUUUCAAACAUGUGUCGAGGCACAUUGUCCUAUGGUAAUAUUUCAUAGAAAUCGGUUCCAACCAGAGAUGAUGAGGAAUGAUAUUCGGUUGAUGCAAGGCAUCAAUUCUUAUUUUUAUAGUAUUGUGAUCCCGAGUUUCUUCAAUUCAUCUUGAGCGAUGAUUACACCACCACAAAUCUUUCGAAAAAAUUAGAUGAAUUUUUCGGAACAACAAAAUAUCUCGAAUGUUGCAAUUACAGGAUUAAUUUCGCAAUACGAAGAAGGGUUCAAGCUCCAUUACCGAAUUUUAUCACAUUCUCAAGAACCGUGCCAAUGAUCUCAAAGAUGUUGGUUCCACCAUCAUCGAAAUUGAGCUAGUAAUGCCAAUCUUGAGACAAUUACCAUCUCAUACCAUAGUAUUACGGAUGUCAUCACCAACAUCAAGCCUUUUCACUCUUUCCUUGAGGCCAAGAAUAUGCUUUUACUUCAUGAGUCUCGAGAAACGGCUUAAGAUUCCUUCACAAAUUCAUCCAUGUCUCAUAGUGUGGCUCUAUUUUCCUCAUCCAACAAUUUGGGAAAUCCAAAUACCGAUGGUCGAAAAACUGGAACAAUUCCCGAAAAAUUGAAAAACAAUGCACAUGGAAAUCAUUUUGAUUCGCAACCGCAAUUUAUUAGAAUUCUUGGAAAUGCUCUGUUGCCACCUCCGCGUGCUGCCUCUGGUUACGUUGCUGCUAUCCCAGCUGCUUCGCACUUAAUCCUACUGUCUUACAGCUCCUAUCUGUAGGUUCCAUUCUCGCCGAAUCAGCAGCCCACGUGACAACUGUCAGUGCCUCCGCAACCCUCUUCUCAACAUUUCACUUUUCAUCAGCAUCUGACUCAUGUUGUUGGGUCUUCAUCAUCAGCUACACCCCUCAGACUUGUUUCUCAACAACCAAGUCAGGUGCCUCACGGUCACUUUUCUCAACAUCAAUUUUUUGGUGGAUCUACUUUUGGUUGUCACGUUCAGACUACUCCUUAACAAUUCAUCGAUAUCGCCUCUGCCUUUCAAUCCAUGUCUCUUCAGCCGCCUCUCGACAACAACGUUUACGUGGACUCCGGUGCUAGCUAUCACAUGUCCUUCAAAUCAGUUAACAUGCCUUGCCUAUCACUACGUAAUUCUAGAUCUCUAAUAGUUGCUAAAGGUGCUAUACUUCAUAUUACUCAGACUGGUCAAAUUUUUUUUCCACAUUCACACAACUGUUUAGCUCUAAAUAGCAUACUUGUCUCAAAUAAAAUUGUUAAAAAUCUCAUUAAUGUAUGUCAGUUCACUGUUGAUAACUUUGUCUCUGUAACUUUUGACCCUUUUGGUUUCACUGUGAAGGAUUUUAAAACAUGUGCGUUUAUUUAAAGAUGUGAUAAUGGCAGUGAUCAUUGUCCCGUUAUCCCCAUGCCAACUCCUUCUUUUUCUAACACUAGUUGUGUUGUUGUUUCUCUCCCAACUUGGCAUAUGCGUCUUGGUUACCUUGGCUCAUCUAUUUUGAAUUUUUUACAUUCUUGCAAGUUUAUUUCCCAUACUACUACUAAACUACCCAUCUAUCAUGCUUAUUAGCUUGGGAUGCAUUGUCGUUUACCCUUCUCUUCGUCUAUAAUUAAAACUACUAGUAUGUUUGAAUUGGUGCAUUUAGAUUUAUGGAUAUCUCUUAUUGCUAGUCUAAGUUGUUUUAAAUAUUAUAUUUUUUGGAUGAUUUUACUCAUUUCUUAUGGGUUUUCCAUCUUCGUGAAAAAUCUGAUAUUUUUGAUGUUUUAUCUAACUUCCAUGGAUGUGUCCAAACUCAAUUUAAACCUGACAUCAAAUUUUUUCAAUGUGAUAAUGGUUGUGAAUUCAAUAACAAAUCUGUUCUCACUUUCUGUGCCCAUAAGGAAAUCAAAAUUGGCUUCUCUUGUCCGUAUACGUCCCAACAGAACGAUAAGGUUGAAAGAGUCAUACGAACCAUUAAUAACAUCCUUCGAACUUACCUGUUUCAAGCCUCCCUGCCUCCAACAUUUUGGGUUGAAGCUCUCCUCAUUACUGUUCAUACCCUUAAUCUCCUUCCCACCUCCACUCUUGCGUUUCAAACACCCUUUGAGCUUCUCUUUGGUGUUUUUUCCCUCCUAUGAUCACCUUUGAGUAUUUGGGUGCCUUUGCUACCCAAAUCUCUCAUCCACGACUCCCCAUAAGAUCUCUUAUAGGUCUUCUUCAUGUGUAGACCUCAAUCCCUCCUCUAAUCAUUGUGGCUUUUGUUGCCUUAAUCUCAUCUCCCAACGAGUAAUUAUCUCUCGUCAUGUCAUCUUUGACGAUCACUUCCAUUUCUCUACCUUUCAUGAUAAACCCUCAACCAAUUACUAUGAUCCUUUCCUUUCCGAGGAUAUACCUCCCCUCCUUACAGUAUGCACUACUCUUCGCAUCACUGAGCCCUCUCCUAGUGAAUCUUCUCCCGCUCUUUCUGAUAGUAGUUCCCCUCAACCCACUGCCUCCUCCUCCUUUCCUAAUACUAUUCCUACCCCCUCCUCCUACCCAUCCCAUGGUCACUUGCUCUCGCACUGGCUUUCUCAGGCCUAAGUAGAUUUUUAAUCUAUUUGCCACUUCUGAUGUCUCCCCUAUCCCUCGCUCUAUAUCUCAAGCUCUAUGUGAUCCUAACUGGAUUUUUCCAUGGACUCUGAAAUGCAGGCUCUUCACUCCAAUCACAAAUGGGAACUUGUUCCCCUUUCUCCAUGCCAAAAUUGUUGGUUGUCGCUGGCUUUAUUGUCAUAAGUUUGACAGAAAAGGUAACCUAGAUCGCUAUAAAGGUUGCCUUGUUGCUUAGGGAUUCUCUCAGCUUCCUGGUCUUGACUUUGAUGAUACCUUCAGUUCUGUUGUCAAACCUGAUACGAUUUGUACUGUUCUAAUUAUUGCGAUGUCCAAGCAUUAGCCAAUUCAUCAACUAGAUAUCAAAAAUGGUUUCCUACAUGGUUACCUAUCUGAGGAAGUUUACAUGAAACAACCUCAUGGGUAUGUCCAUCCCUCCCUUCCUAAUCAUGUAUGCCGACUUCUCAAAGCUCUUUAUGGUCUCAAAUAGACUCCCAAGCCAGGUACCAACGCUUUGCUGUUUUCAUCACCUCUCUCGGUUUUACUAGAAGUCGGUCUGAUUGUUCCUUAUUUACUUAUCACUCUGGUUUCGACCAUAUCUUCUUUCAUUUUUAUGUUGAUGAUAUCAUCCUCACCUCCUCCUCUUUCUCCACUCUCAUCACUCACAUUAUCUCAUGUCUCUCGUCUGAGUUUUCCAUGUCCAAAUUGGGUCCUAUUUCCUUAUUCAUUGGCAUCGAUGCUUUUCGAUCUGAGGAGAGUCUAAUUUUAUCUCAGGCUUCCUUUAAUGACAUCUUAGCUCGUGCUGACAUGUCUUCUUGCAAUCCGUGCAGUACCCUAUCUGACACUAAAUCUAAACUUUCUCCUCACGGCUCUCCUGUCUCUGAUCCCACUCUCUACAGGAGUCUUGUUGGUGCCUUACAAUAUCUUACUUUCACUCGUCCUGACAUUGCAUAUGUUGUACAGAUCUCUCUUCAUGUUUGCGUGAACCUCAUCUUCUUGCUCUUAAACGUAUCCUUCACUAUCUUCAGGGUACUAUUUCUCAUGAUAUGUUUAUUCGACCUUCCUCCAUUGAUCACUUGGUCUCCUAUUAUGAUGCAAACUGGACCGAGUGUCCUCAUACUCGUUGGUCUACUUCUGGGUUUUGUGUUUAUCUUGGCAAUAAUCUCGUCUUUUGGUCCUCUAAACAUCAACAUGUUGUUUCUCACUCCUCAGCUGAGGAUGAGUAUUGUGGGAUGGCUAAUAUGGUUGCUAAAGCUGCUUGGCUUUGUAAUCUCCUUCUUGAGUAAUCUUGUACGUUAUCUAAAGCAACAUUUAUGUUUUACUAAAUGUGAGUGCCAUGUAUUUAUCUUCUGAACCAUUAAAACACGAACGUAUUGCUCGUGCCGUCGAUUCACUAAUUUGCAGAUAUAUUUACAAAGGGUCUUCACCGGUUUAAAUAUUUGUAAAUCUCAUGCUCUAACUAGAGGGUGCCUUAGUUUAUAUUAGUUUAUAUAUAUUAUGUAUAGUGUAGGGACCAAUUGUAACUUUAUAUUGUAUAAAUAUAUUCUGCAGUAUAUGUCUCAAAUUGAUGAGGCUUUUCCCACAUUUAACAAAAGGAAAACUAAAUUAACACCAAAUUGCCCAAAAUUAAACCAUAUAUUAUACUAAAUUAAUUCACAACAGUUCGACAUCAAUCAAAUAUUAUCUCGCACUCGAAUUCACAAAACUCACUUUCCGGGUACAAAGUUUGUAGCAUAUGACCAUGCAUUGUUUGCAACAGGGUCAGCAAGGUGGUCAGCGAGGUUCUCCAAUGGUCCCUUUCCGGUAACAAUGGCUUGAACAAAGAAUCCAAACAUAGAGAACAUGGCUAGUCUACCGUUCUUGAGCUCCUUCACUUUCAGCUCAGCAAAUGCCUCUGGGUCAUCAGCCAGACCCAAUGGGUCGAAGCUACCACCAGGGUAAAGUGGGUCAACUACCUCACCAAGAGGUCCACCAGCAAUUCUGUAACCUUCAACUGCACCCAUCAAGAUCACUUGGGUAGCCCAGAUGGCUAAAAUGCUUUGUGCAUGGAUCAAACUUGGGUUCCCCAAGUAGUCAAGACCACCCUCACUAAAGAUCUGGGAUCCAGCCUUGAACCAUACAGCCUCACCAAACUUGACACCAUUACGCGCCAAGAGUUCGGGGAAGACGCACCCAAGAGCUCCGAGCAUGGCCCAUCUGCUGUGGAUGACCUCAAGCUCACGGUUCUUGGCGAAUGUUUCAGGAUCAGCAGAGAGCCCAGCAGUGUCCCAACCGUAGUCACCGGGGAACUCACCGGUCAGGUAAGAUGGGGCUUCGCCGGAGAAUGGGCCAAGGUACUUAACACGGUCGGGGCCGUACCAUGGACUUCCUGAUGGUGCGACUUUCUUGACUGCUGUCUUCCUCAUGGAAACCCUUCCAUUUCCGGUGAUUUCUGAACCAGAUGGUGCUACUUUCACCGCCUGUCCGACGAAAGAAGAGGAUAGUGCCAUGGUGGAAGCUGCCAUUUUUGUGAGAUUUGUUUUGAAGAUGUUUUGAUGAUAUGAUAGUAUUAUGAGUGAUGAAGAUGUGUGGAUCUGGAACAUAGAUUUAUAGGGUGGUUUUUGGGCCAAGUAGUUGAUAAAUGUUUAUCUUGAUGCAAUUUUUAACUUCAUUUUGAUUGGCUACCAAGAUUUUAGUUCUAUCAGUGGGUCCAUAAUCUGCGUGGUUCCACUAUUCGAGUUCUCUGGCCCACAUGAGAUAUUUGAAGGGGCAGCGAUAUUCAUGGCUCUGUCUUAUUAAGCGAAUAUAAUGGCUAGAAAUCUCAGCCACUAGCUACCAUGCACAAACCGGUUUUUUUUUUGAACCGGACCGCUUCAAAAAUCCGGUUCGGUUCUAGUCAAUUUAGUCAAAACCAGUUUGGUUCCAAACCGGUCCAGCUUCAAAAUAAUUCAAACGUAUGUAAACUCGUUAAAGAAAAAACCGGUUCAAAAAGGGUUCAAAACCAGUUUGACGGAAAAAAGGUUUUUUUCAAUUUUUAUUUUGUUUUUAGGCUAAUAACUGAAAAAUAGGAAUUUUUUUUUAUAAUAUUGCUUUUAUUGUGUUUAAAAAAAAAGUUUCACACUAGGUUUUUUGAAAAUGGAAGUGGAAUGAAUUGGGAAUUCAUAAGCCUUUUUUUUGGUAAUACACACGUACACACGUCCAUAUGCCAAAAGGUUUUUAUUAUUAUUUUUUUUAUUUCUUGUUUAAUCUUUUGAUGUAUUAAAUUUUUUUUUUGUUUCAGAUUUGAUGUUUUAUCUUUUUUUUUUUCAUUUUUUUUGUUUUUUAUAUUGGAAAUACAUAAUACAACUUCAAACAUAAAAACACAAAACAUCCAAAUUGUCAAACUAAUACAUCUUCAAAUAUAAAACAUUGAUGUCGUCGUAGUCUUCAUUCCAAGUCCGUAGUCAUUGUAUUUAUUCGUCAUCCGCCAUGUCGUUGCGUAAUUCUCUCUCAUACUCGAUCUCUUCUAGGGUGAGUGACACCGACAUUCCCAUCGCUACUUCUUCCUCAUGUACUCGUGCUUCGACAUGCAACGAUGUGCCUUCUAGUGCUUCGAUGUCUUGUAUCCUUUCCACGCCAUCAAGGUAGUAUUUCAAGCAAAUGCACACUUCCACCGACAAAUGGGUUAGUUUUGUUCUUCUUGGUGAUAUUACCCUGCCACUAACAGAAAAACCGAUUCCGANUUACCCUGCCACUAACAGAAAAAGCCGAUUCCGAAGCUACCAUAGAAGCUUGGGAGCUUAGUAGAUCACGGGCCAUAGCGGCUAGAAUUGGAAAUUAGGUUUCCUUUCCUUUCCACCAAACCAAAAUAUCAAAAUUUUCAAACUCUUGAAUACUCAUUUCACUACUAGAAAAAUAGCCUUUUACGACGCGCGAACAACGACACGCGCUGUUUUAUGAUACACAAUAGUGUGUGCCCUAAAAAUAAUGUCGGCUCUCCAAAAAUUAGAAGGAUUUAGGGUACGCAUUUUUGCGCGCCCUAAAAUAAGUGUUACAUUAAAAAAAAACACGGAGGGCACAUAACAUAAAACGCGCGUCCACUAAGUAUGUCGCUUUAUAUUUUUUAAAUGAAAUGCGGGUCACAUUUUUUAGGGAAAACGAAAUUCCAAAAAGUUUGAAAGGCCCGCCAUGUUCCUACCUUCUUUCCACCGUUCUUCUCUCCCUUACUCAAAAUACCCAAAAAAAACCCUAAUAUACUCAUCGCUCCUCUUUUCUCCCAUAACAAACUCGCACCAUCACCAAAUCUCUGAUCUCCCACCAGCAAAAGGUCUCCUACCGAUGUCUCCACCUACUCUCUGCCCUCUCACUAUUUCUCUCAAUUAAAAACGCUAGAUCUCUCAAUCAGAGAACCAUGGCUACUUCUCCUUUCUCCCACACCAGUUGGCAAAAAGUGAGGAGUCUCGAGCCUAGCAGUUGAUAUUCACAUGCCCUCUUAAAUUGAAGGAAUCAGAACAUUGUCGACAUCAAUUCGUUAAUCAUCACUAGAGAAAUCAGAUACGCCAUCUGGUUGAUGAGUCAAGAGAAAUCACAUAUGUCAUCGCUUCAGCAAUCAUCCCUCCUUUUAACCGUAAGUUUUCAAUCUUACACUUUACAAAUAUCAUAUAAACAUCUCUCUCUCUCUCUCUCUCUCUCUUUCUCUCUCCUGCUAUACCUUGAUGAAUUAUCGCAUACAUAUGGAGGAACUGCUUUCUAAAAGCCAGCUAUCGGGAGAGUCAACAGGGUCAAUUGGGUGUUCAAAAGGUGCUUCGAUAUCAUCUUCCCGCCAGCAAAUCUCUGUUAAAGUUGUCACAGAGUAAUCCAUUUGAGUUUGGGCAUAUAUUUUUUGUUAUUAAUUUAGGGGGAGACUGUGUUCCAUGAUUUUGGUCAUGCAUUUCUUCAGCACACGCUAACAAGACAAGAUGAAGGGCUUGUUGUUGGUAUUCGUGGCAUAGAGUGGAUGCUGUUGAGUUACCUUUCCAGUUCAUGGAAAAUUGGUGCUACCGUAGGUAGGUAUAUAUAUCUCCAAUUUCAAGAUGUUGUUCAACUGCUGCAGGAACGAGGUGAGGGUGGCUGAUGAGAAUUUGUGACAGGAACUAUCCGAUUGGGGAUUCCAGCUCAAGUGGGGCAGUUGGCGCAUCAGAUCCAGCAGAAUCAGAAGAUAAUGAGGCCUUUAUUGCAAUUCUCUUCUUUUGAAUAUGAAAAGAUGCACUUUUCAGUCCUAAUCUGGGAUGUGAAAAUGAAAGGAACCCCUGUUUAGCCAACAAAACAAAGUAAAAUUCAGUUACAACACUUACCCAAAUAUAGCAUUCUACCUUUAAUUUUUCUCAUCAAGACAAAAUUGAAUCAGUUAUGAAACCGACCACAUAAAAGGCUGUUUUUCUAGAGUUGCAAUGUUAGGAAUAAAAGUCACAAUGGUAUGUGGUCGGUUUCAUAACUGAUUCAAUUUUGAUGAGUAAACAGGUUAGAUUUCAUAUGGUUGUUUGUUCAGAUUGGUAUUCAUCCUGAUUUUCCUUCAAUUAUGCAACAACUAUGCUGGAAUUUGCUAUGUUCCAUACUCGGAUUUUGAAUUUAUCGGAAAAUUGAAUAAUUAAUCUGGAAAAAUACCAUCUUUGAAUGAUUUUUUUGUCAUCUGUAGAUAAGGAAUACCAUCUUUGGGUAAUUAGUUUAUCUAGUCUACAUGAUUAAAUUAAUGGACAUAUAAUUCUCUAUUGAUAGAACAAAAAACAUUGCUUUGUAGUGAAGAUAAGGAAUACCAUAUUUGGGUAAUUAGUUUAUCCAUACUCGGAUUAUGAAUUUAGCCCACCAUCAGCAGGGGAUUGCUGAGUUUUAUGUGACCAUAAUGCCCUUUCGGUUUGUAGUGAAGAUCCAAGCAUGUAAUUAAUAACACCUCUAAUUAAUUAAUUAAUUAAUCCCCUAAAACUAACUAUGGUUAAAUUAAACUGGUGGUAGGUGCCAGUGUACAUAGGGGCACAUAUGGUCAAAUAUGUUUUAAUUAUUAGUCUAAUAUCUUUUGAUACUUAUCAAUAACAACAAAAUAAUGUAAAAUCGUGUGAAUACAAUUCAAGGGUAUAAUGGUCUAGACAGAGAUUAUUUUUAUUAAAGAUAUUUAUUUAUUAAUCAUCAGAGAAGAAGGAAUUAAUAUGAAAGAAUCACUUACUGCAAAAUAAUCUUCAAAUGUAAAAUCAACAUAGCCUAAGCCCUGAUUUUUAUUUCACCACAGGUUGGCGAGCUGGCGGGAAUAGCUUUGGGAGCAACUGUCAUGCUUAAUAUUCUUAUAGUUGUGUACGUUAUGGUCAAAAUAGUUCAGCAAGAACCUCUGUUGAAAUGAUAUAGGCCACUAAUUAUUUAAAACUAUCACUGGCUCCUCAUUAUGGUCAAAAUAGUUGGUCUGUUAAAAAUUGUGACUAUGAGCAAUUUGCCACUUCUAAAUGGGUUCUUUGUAGUUUUCCUUUCUAUAAUUCAGGAAAUAGGAUCAUAUUUUACUCUUGCAGAAAUAGUUAUGGUCUGUGAGCAUUCUUCCAGAUUGUAAGAACGUAAUUUUCAACACAACAAAGGUGAAAUUAUAUCUAUGUUUUCUUGUGUAUUUAACUUCACAGGAGCUGAAACAUGAUCUAAUUUUUUUUAUCUAUUGGUUAUGUUGAAUAUGGAUAAAAGGUUGUGGCUCAGAAAAGUGUUGGUGAUGCUUCUACAUUUGUUGAGAGUGAAUUUUCACUGUCAAAUUCAAGUUGGAUUUGGUAUGUAGAAAAAGUGUGUGUUUAGAGUAAGGACUUUUUCCUUGUUGGACUGUAAUAGUAGACCAAUAUGAUUCGUUUUAUAAAACCCUUAGACAGAUCACAGUUGGUUCUGCAAUUGCAUGGUCAGGUAAACAUUCUAAACACAUUUUCAAUUUAUUUUGUGAUAUUUAAUUUCUCCCAUAUUCUUUUAAAUUAUAUUAUAAUAUGCUUAUAAACACUACUUUCCUUUCAUGUAGCCAAAAAAUUGUCCCAAAGUUGACUGAGGUACUUUGGACAAAAAUACAAUGUUAGCUUACAUCUUUAUUAGUUAAUAUAAUCAAAUUUCUAAUUUUAGGUGCUAACUGAUACGCGUCCGCAAGUUCAGUCUGCAUGGCAGACAACACUCCAGCAGGUUUGACUAUAUUCUUAUGGGUUGUGGCAUUCACAUUCCCAUAGUGAUCUUGAUAAAGUUGCUUCUAUUUCCAUGCUAAGUUGGCUUUUAUUUGUAAUAUAGGAGGUCCAAAAUCUUGCAAAGAAGGCUGCAGAAACUGUGGUGUUGGUAAUUGAUGAUGAAGGGACUGAGUAUUUGAUAUCAGAACUUCUCAAGUUGCUUCUAUUUCCAUGCUAAGUUGGAUUUUAUUUAUCUUACUGUUUAUUAUCAUUUUUUAUAUAAAAUUUCAUCAUUUAUAUUAUAUAUAUAGUACAUUAUAGACUUUGCAUCAUAAUUUGUUGAAUGUUACAAGAUAUAAUUCAAAAUUCAAUUUCCUCAUGUUGUUGCUGAAAUGACAGCAAUUGGUUUUGGCCUACCAAAGAAUGCAUUCACCGCUUUAAUGAAGAAUGUAAGUGUUUAUUUUUCUUUUCUGUUUGGUGAAAAUCAUCAAAUGACAAUCUCAUUAUAUAUCUUAGGAUCUUAUCAGUUAAUAAACUUGAUCGUGGGUAUGAUCAAGCAUAGGUUUACAUUUAUACCCCUGCUUUUAUCUUUUAUCUUUUAUGUUAUAUAAUUAUAUUCCCCCUUUUUUUAUCAGGUUAAUUUGGUGGUUAAUUAUGAUCUUCCUAUAAGACAUGAUCAUCAAUCUCACUACAAGAAAAAUACCCUUUUACGACGCGCAAAACACGACGCUCUUUGAUUUAUGUUACGCAUUAGAGAGCGACAUUAAAAAAGUGUCAUCUCUUAAAAAAUUUUAAGGAUUUAGGUCGCGCAUUACUGAGUGCCCUUAAAUUAGUGUCUCAUGUAAAAAUAUUAAAAACACGGAAGGCACUUGUGCGUCGUCUGUGAAUGUCGUUUUAUAUUUUUUUUUAAGAAACACGCGUCUCGGAGGGAAAAUGAAAUCCCCAAAUUUUUUAAACCCCCACCUUUUUCUCCCUCGUCUCCACCCCUCAUCCACAUCCACUACCUCCGAUCCUCAUUUCCUCUUCUAGCCUCAAACUACGGCGAUGCACCUUCCUUCUCGAAGAAUGCUUCAUUUACCACCAUCGUCCGAUUAUGUGAGCCCAAGGAAUUGACCAAGACGAAGAAGAUAAUGGAUCAAUUGCUUCACAUCAUGUUUAAGGUUAAGGGUUUGAGUUAGUCCGCAACAGGUAAUCGAAUUUUGCCUAAUAUAUAUUUCUACUCUCAAACUGUUUAUUCGUCCGAUUGGAUGCAUAUUUACUAUUAAAUUUGGGGAUUUUCUUUUAAAACCCCCGCGCCUCUUCUUGUUUGUAGCUAAACAACCGUGAAUUUGUUAGAGUGAUUGGAAGAGGAAAAAUAGAAGAUAGAAGAAAAAGAAGAAGAAGAAAAGCGAACAAACGGGAUUUCUUGACCUGAUGUGUUAAUCCGUGAUCAGGUCUUCUGAGCGAAGAGAAGAUCUGAGGCUCAAUUGAAGAAAUAUGAGCGCUUCUAGAUUUAUAAAGUGCAUCACAGUCGGUGAUGGCGCUGUCGGGAAGACUUGUCUCUUGAUUUCCUACACCCGUAACACCUUCCCCACGGUAAUCAUCUCUUCAUCAACCGCCUUCAGUUUCUGCCCAACUAAAGCACGGUUACACACUUAUUUCUCUUCGGACGUUUCUGUGGCUUCCAUGGGAACGGAGGAGGAUGAUAUAAAUGAGGCAACAACUUCAUUCGCUACAUGUUUGAACCUUAAAUUGAAGGGAUUAUAUAUUGAAAUUUGAAUCUACAACUUCGAAUUUCAGUCAUCUCUCUUCUCUUCUACAUCUCACCUGAUUCUCUAUUGAAAUUUCUAGGGUUUUUAAUUGAACCUACAUCUUCAUCUUAAUCUUCUUUUCUGAAGUUAGGGCUUUUUUCUUAAGAACAACUAAUUUUUUGCAGUAAGUAAACCUCUAAUUUUUUCAUUUCUCAUUUCCUUAGACCUCUCCCCUUUCCAUCUCAUAUCGAGGCAAAAUCAAUUUCACUUUGGUGGCUUCGAUUUCCUAGCACAUAUUAUGUUAUUAUAUGGAUUUGUAGGAAAUUAGAAAUCAUGUUAGAAUGUUUGAUGUUCUGUAUGUUCAUAAAAGUACAUCUAAAACAAAAAUCUUAGAUUAAACAAAACUGAAGCAUUUAAUGAGAUGUAAUUACUAACUUUUGUUGGAGAUGCAAAUGCUAAAUAAAGAAAACUGAAGCAUUAAAUGAGAACCUUUAUAAUUCGAUUUCAUUCAGAUCUUCGGUGGAUAUUUAGGGCUAACAAAGAAAACUGAAGCAUUUAAUGAGAUGUAAUUACUAACUUUCGUUCAAGGUAACCCCUGUUAUGAAUACAUGUAAGAAUUUAUUUAUCUUUUUCUCUCACCACUUGCUAUCCAUGUGCUGCUCUCUCAUAGUUGAUAUCUAACAACAAAGACCUGAUCAGUCUAGUUUGCUUGUUUUUUUUCUUUUUCUUAUAAUUCUUGAAUACGUGCAGAUUUUUUAAGACUUCUAGUUUUGUUUUUUGUUCAGUGAUAUUGAUGAUGAGGCAAGUUUAUCAACACUAUGGGAGAGAUAUCAAAGUGUCUCUGAAAAGGUAUUGCGAUAUCAAAGCAUAAAUUAUUUAUGGAUUAAAAUGGGAAAAUGACUUAUAUGGGUAAGAAAGUUUUAAAAACUUUUAAAAAUGACUAUCAAAGUAUUGUUUGUAUAAAAAACACCAACCAAGUUUACCAUUUUGUCAAAUCUAACAGGUUGGUAACCUGCAUCUGCCGGUCAAAAAAAAUUACCUGAUCAUUUUAAAAACUGAAAUUAUAAAUGACAUGGCAUCCUUUUUUAGUCUUACGUGGAUUAAUUGCAAGGGAAGAUCCAUUUUCUCAGCGUUCUUUCUCAAAAUCAGGAGGGAGUCAACACAGAACCCUCUCUAGGGUUAGUUUCUGCCCCUGUAUACAGUUAUUUUUGUUUAAAUUGACUGAUUUUAACAGUUGACGAAUAUGCUCCUGCUUUGGGCUAAUCACACAUAUGUCUUUUUUAUGACCAAAUUGCCCCUGUAUAUAGUUUUUUUUUGUUACAAUUGACUGAUUUUACCAGUCAAUUAAGGUGUUGUUUAGAAACUGUUAGUAUCCAAGACCAUUUACAUGCUCGUGCACAAAGACGAAUUUGCCCUUGAUUGUGACCAAACUGCCCCUGUAUACAUAUUUUUUAUUACUAAAAACACCCCCUGUCCUAGAAAAAUAUGACACUUCUAUACAAAAGCUAAUACCAAUUUCUCACUACAAAUCAACUAAUAAGAAAAGAAGUGGGCAACUCUCUAAAAUGACCAAAAUUUGAAUUGCAGUGUCACAAAUUGACAAUUUUUUAAAGCUAUAAUGAAAUAAUGCUUUGUUUUGUAAAAUAUACAAAAUCCGUUUGUUGUUGUGUGCAACUAAUCCACAAACAUUUACAUAAUUCUCGUUAGUGUACUUUGCAAAGUGGUGCUGAAGUAAUUUGGGCAACAAAAGUACAUAUAACUAUAUUAAUAUUCUCUAAAUAAUCAUAUAUAAUGAAAUAAUGGUUUGUUUUGUAAAAUAUACAACCCAUACUGUAUUUUUGAUAAAAAAAAAUAAUGAUUUUAAGAGAUUUUGUCCGAAAUACCCUUAUAUACUCUUUUUUUUGGUAAAAAAUUAAUGAUGUAAUAGUUUUUGACUAAAAUGCCCGUAUAUACUAUUUAACAGGUUUGACCCCAUCUGAAUUAUGAUUCAGCUUAAAAUUGAAUGCCAUUUUGACAAUUUUAUUGCUUUUAAGACUAUUUACUGCUGAAAAUAUGUCAAAUUUGUUACAUUUUGCUGCUAUAAAUAGUCAAAAAAUAACUAAAAGUCUACAAAGAUUCAAGGUAACAGUAAAUAAUACUGGCAUUUCCAGCAGCAAAUCUUCAAUUGCAGGGACUAAACUUUGUCAUUUUUAGCAGAAAACUUUAUCAACCAACAAAAAGAGGUUAAUAAAGAAUCUAAAUGGCAUUCCAUUGUAACAGCAUCAAAACACGACCUGCACUCAAAACCCUCCAAAAUAGCCCCUACACUCAAUUGUAACAGCCCCUCUGUUGUGAUUCCUUUAACUGUGACCAAAUUGCCCCUCUAUUGUGAUUCCUUUAGAUUCAAGGUAACAUUGUUUUAAGUGAAAAGAUCAUUUCAUAACUUGUUUACAUAAAUUCUUUCUUAGCUUGUUUACAUAAAUUCUUUUUCUGUCAAUUCCUUUCAAGACAAAAAGAAAGAAAGCAGGAACUUAUAGCCAUGCAAGUAAUUUCAUUAUUUUUCUCAUUAACGAUUGUACUUCCUUUGCUCUUUCUUGCAUAAUAAUAAACAGAUUUAAAGAGGAGUGGAGCCAUAUGACCACCUGAUGCCCCCAAAUCAAUUUAUUUGAGCUAGAUUUGAACGAUUUACAAGGAGAAGAAGAAAAUCAAUUGUCAAGAGGAGAGGAGAUGUAUGACCACCCACCUGAUGCCCUAAAUCGAUUUAUAAUAUGUAUUUUUCAUUUAAUGCUGAGUAGAUGUGCAACACACUACCUAAAUAUGCCAACUAAUCAUUACUUUUGCCAACUCAGCCGUUCACCUGGAGAUCCGGUUACCACCGGGUCAUAUUUGAACAAAAGAUAAACUUCGUUGGUAUUUUUUGUACGACGCCUAUAGUUAAAUGGUAUUUUUGAACAACUAAAACUUCAAUGGUUUUUUUUGAAUGUUUUUGAAACUUUCUUACCCUUAUAAGUCAUUUUCUCGAUUAAAAUUGAACUUUUUUCAUACAUUACCUAACAUUGACUUGUCUUAAUUUGCAGGCAGAAAUACAAAAGGCUUUUCAUAUAUUUCUUAAACAAUUUUUUGUAAUAUACAAGAAUUGGGAGCCAUUAGAUUUAGAUAAUUCCAUAGAACCUUUCAUUGAUUCAAGGGAUCCUCUUUCUGAAAAAAAGAUUGCAGUGGCAUCAGAAGGCAGUCAUAUCAGUGAUGGAAGCUGGUGGUCUUAAUUGGUUAGUAGGUAAGGUAUGCAUCUUCAGAUUUAAUUUCUAUUGAGAACUAAACACAUUUGAAUAUCUGAGAACUAAACACACUUGAAUAUUUAUAAAUGAUGCACACAUCCAAAGGGAUAAUAGCAAUGUUUCUAAUGGCGUCAAAUAGACCUGAUUGUGACCACUAAUGGUUCAUCAGGUUUGUUGAUUUUUAUUUUAUUUUAUUUGAAGUGCAUUAUCUGGUUUAAUAUGAAAUGAUUCAUGUUGAAAUUGGUUUCUUUUGUUACUCCAUAAUACUUGAUAUCUUAUUUUUUGCAUGCAGGUGCUAACAAAUAUGGUGUCAUUAUCAUUGUUGUUGUUGUUGUUGGAUACGGAUAUGUUUGGUGGAAGGUAAAUAUAAGCUCAUAUAUUAAUAUUAUUACUUUUUACAGUUAACUUGUACAUAGUUUUUCUUCAACUAACAGAAAUGGUAUCAUUAACAGGGUUGGAAACUUCCUGAUAUGAUGUUUGCUACAAAAUGAAGUUUAUCUGAUGCCACAUAUGCUUUAGCUAAAUAGAUUGACACUGUUUACUCAUCACUUGCAGUAAGUUAUUUAAAAACUUUGUUAUUUUUUUGUUAUUAAUUUGGGUUGUUUAUUAUGUUGUUUAGGCUACCAAGAGACAUUUAUCUACAAGGAUUGACCGUGUUGAUAGUAGUUUAGAUGAGGUUGCAGAAAUUACUGCUGCUAAAAAAGAGGAGGUAUGACAAGAUAAAGGUUGUUCUAGAUGUUUAAUCUAUACAUAAUGCGGUUUACACCCUGGUGUGGUUCUUUUCCAUUUUGUCUUGUGACUUUGAUAUUGUUUUCUGAGUUGGAUAUGUGGUAUGAUAAAUUAUUUUUACAUGAGAGUAGGCUGAGUAGGGUUGAAUUGAAAUAGGUACUGAAUAUUACCGUUUGACAUGCGAUUUUUUCUAGCUUAAUGAGAUAUUUAUAACAAAUAAUUUUGAAUUUUUGUUGUCUUUUGUAGGGAAAUCCAUCAAGUUCAUCAAGGCCAGCUCUUGAAUUACCAUAGAGAGUAAACUUCUAAUCUUAUACAAAUACAAUGAUUUGCUAAAUUCAAGAAAUAACAAUGCACUUUUAUUUAUUACUUUUAUUAAAACAUCCUAGUUUAAUUUCUAGCUUAAUGAGACAUUUAUUACUUUUAGCAGAGAUCGAUAUAUAUAUGAGCUUUUUGCUUUCAAACAUUGUUGGGGAAGAAUGUUGAAACUUGCUCUUUGUGAAGGUAAUUUUUUUUCUUAAUGCAUUAUCCUCUAUAUUCUUGAUAUUUUUCCCACUUUUUAAAUCUUUUAUCAAAUUCUCACUUUUGGAUACAGUGCUUGAUGAGAGAAUGUGUGACCUAAAUCUUUUAUCAAAUUCUCACUUUUGGAGUUGGCCAUAAGAAAAUGUAGGCAAAGGGUAAUUUGUUAUAGUUCAGGUUGACAAGGUGCUGUAUUUUUCACAUAAUUGACAAGGAGCUGUUGUAUCUAUUCAGACUAGACUUAGAGCAAUGGUUGCAAGAGAUGAGUUCAGCAGAAAAAGAAACAAGGCUGCAACUAUAGUUAAGGUACUAUGGAUGAAUUAUGUUUGUAAAGUAUUUAAGAAAAUGAUUAUAAACAAGGGUGAAUUUGUACAAAUUAGUUAGCUACUUGCANUGAGUAUUUGAUAUCAAAACUUCUCAAGUUGCUUCUAUUUCCAUGCUAAGUUGGCUUUUAUUUAUCUUACUGUUUAUUAUCAUUUUUUAUAUAAAACUUCAUCAUUUAUAUUAUAUAUAAUACAUUAUAGACUUUGCAUCAUAAUUUGUUCAAUGUUACAGGAUACAAUUCAAAAUUCAAUUUCCUCAUGUUGUUGCUGAAAUGACAGCAAUUGGUUUUGGCCUACCAAAGAAUGCAUUCACCGCUCUAAUGAAGAAUGUAAGUGUUUAUUUUUCUUUUCUGUUUGGUGAAAAUCAUCAAAUGAAAAUCUCAUUAUAUAUCUUAGGAUCUUAUCAGUUAAUGAACUUGAUCGUGGGUAUGAUCAAGCAUAGAUUUACAUUUCUACCCCUGUUUUUAUCUUUUAUCUUUUGUGUCAUAUAAUUAUAUUUCCCUUUUUUUAUCAGGUUAAUUUGGUGGUUAAUUAUGAUCUUCCUAUAAGACAUGAUCAUCAAUCUCAACCUGACCAUGAAGUGUAGUUGCACUGAAUCGGAAGAGCAGGGUGAUUAUGGGAGAUGUUAAGUAGUUAUAGGGCUUUAGAUGCUUUCCCUUUGGGUAGGAAAUGUUUUUAAGACAUGAUCAUCAUUCUCUACCCCUGCUUUCCCUCUGGUGUUUAUCUCCCAUAAAACCCUAAAAUGUGGAUGUGCUAAAACUGAAGAAAUUAGAAGACACAUACUGGAUUUUAGCAAGUCGGGUAAGUUUAAAAAUAUCUUAAUACGAUAUUGAUUAGAUUACACAACAUGUAAUGUAGAAAAUAUCAUGAAUAUUUAUGAUCAAUAUUCAACUUUUGAAAAUGUAUCCAGUUUGAUGUUUAUCUAUUUGACAUUUUUUUGAUAGAAAAUGAGAAUACCGGAGAAGAUGAACCACAAAUUUACAUUGAAAUGAUCAAUGGAAUUAUCAAAUCCCUUCAGGUAUCAUCUCAUAUCACUUGCUUAUGAAAUUUAUUCAUCUAUACUUGAAAAGAUAUAUUUAUUUUUGUGUUGUUUCCAGGCUAUCCUUGAUGCAGUUCUCAGCACAACAAUUAUGAUUUUAUGAUGUUAGGCUAAACUAUAAAGCAAUCAUUCUUUGUUUUAGGAAACGUUUCAGAGCUUCUUUAGGCAGCUUAAUGAUGAGUUAUUGAAACAAAAUGGUGCCCCUUUAUAGCAAUGUAGUAUUAGGUUAUAUAGAUAGGAAAAACCUCUUAAUAACAACGUACAAUUAGAUCCCCUUAAUAUCAAUGUAUUACAAUUUUAUGACAUGAUGUUAUUGAAUGAAAUUGAUUGUGUAAUGGAUUGUAUUUUUUGUAUAUGGUAUUUUAUUUUCUAUUAUGAGACAUGAAAUGCAAAUUUAAUUUGAAAAUUAGUAAAUCUAUAAAUAAUUUUUAAAAAAAAUAAAAUAAAAAUUAUGAUACGCAAAAAUGUGUGUCAUCUUCAUUUAUGACAUGGCCUUUCUUGACAGUGGCUUUAAUGAUACGCAUUGCGUGUCAUAAAUACGUGUCGUCUAUAGACGACGCGCAAAAGCGCGUCGUCUCUCGUUAUGACAGGGCCUUCCUUGACGCGCAUGCGCGUCGUCUGACCGUUUUACGACUCGCAAUGAGCGUCGUAAAAGGCAUUUUUUCUAGUAGUGUUUGAGACAAGAAAUCAGAACCAAUGUACCUUCCGAGCUCGCUACUUGGCGCGUUAGACCGAGCUCGUUUGGAAUUUUCAUUCCUCAAAGUAUUAUAAAGCCUAAUUGUUUCGUUAUUUUAGUGAAAAGUGGAUCCGGGUGCCCCCAUAUUUUGCAUCACGUCAUGAAUGUUUGUUGAACCAUAUUUUGUUAAAUAAACUUCAAAUAAAUUUUGAAAAACUUUGUUAAAUUUUGAAACUUCCUUUGAUGCAUAAUCAAUGUCAUCAUCCAAUAAACCCAAAUCGUAACAAAUAUUUUCAAUUAAAGUCUCAACCCCCCCAACAUUUAGAGUUGGAUUCAAAGUGGCGGAACAAGUAAUAAUGGGAGCCAUUUCUUGAAAAUAUUUUUUUAACUUUGCUUUCAUCGGUUUCAUCAUAUUAGCAAACAUUGUGCUCCUCAUUUCAAACUCAUUUAUUUUCGCACACAUUAAAAAAAUUUGGUUUAAAACUAAACAACUUGUAGGAUAAUAAACCCCCGAUAAAAAAGUGGUUGUUUUUUUUUUAAAAAAACAUCAAGCAUGUCUGUAACAAGUUUGAUAGUAUCCCAACUUGAUUCCGGAUAAGCCGUAACCUUAUUACGGUCCGAAGGUUGUCAUGUAACAUUUUUAAAGUAUGUUUUUGACGUAAGGCACAUUCAAAAAUUUUGCAAGUGGAGUCCCAUCGGGUAUUAUUUUCCCAAUUCAGACCUAAAAAGAGGGCAUUCGCAUCGACACAAAAUUGCAUAUAAUUAUGAUAUCGAGCGUUACUAGAACUAAAAAUAUCUUUUAGCAUGUCUUUGAAACCAUCUUUUAUAGUUUCAAUGUGAGUUAGUCCAUCUUGCACAACCAAAUUAAUCAUAUGUGCAACACAUCGACUAUGAAAAAUAAACACCAUCACAAAUUGGUUUAUAUUUUAGUUUUAGUUGUCCAACCGCGACGGUGUUGUUUGAAGCAUUAUCAAAAGAUAUAGAAAAAAUCUUUCCUUCAAGUUUAUAAGUUUUGAUCACACAAUCUAAAAUUUUAAAUAAAUUUCUAUCGGUGUGCGGGUACUCAAACAAUUCAAACGUAAUCGUAUGCUUUAUCAUUACCCAAUUAGUUGGAUUAAUCCAAUGAGCGGUAACACAAAGGUACGCAUCCGGUGAACCGUCAGGAGCCGUCCAAACAUCACAAGUUAAAUUCACACCGGUUUCUAAAGAUUGAAAUCCUAAAAUCAAUUCAUUUUUUGCAAGUUUCCACAUUUCAAUACAAUCGCGUCUAAUAGAAGUACGACUCACAUGGCAAUAUCGUGGUUGGAGAGUAUCUUGGAUGAGUGAAGUCAAUCGUUUGUUGUCGAAGUGGUCAAAAGGCAAGCAUUCUUGAAUCACGAACUUCGUCAUCCUAUCCCGAACUUUAGCCAUAUCGUAACUCCACAAUGUUGCAUCAUUCGUCAUUCUUGUUUGAAUAUGUCCCGACCCAAAUUUCACCGUGGGGCAUCUUUUGGUCAUAUGAUUUUUCAAUGUCGAAUUCUCAUCUUCAUUAAAAAAAGCACCACAUUUCUUGCAUUGCGCUUUUUUAUACCGUUCGACAUUACACACAAAUCGUAGUUGCACAAAAUAGCCGGAUUUCUAUUUGUUUCUUUGAUGCUAACAACGGUAAGAGUGUUUGAUGAAUCUCGAACACCAACGGAAGCCGAAUCCAUUGUUUGAAUUAAGAGUGGUUUUUGAACUAAGAGAGGUUUGCGGUUUUUGAACUAAGAGAGGUUUUUUGAGGUUUGGUUAAGGUAAAGUUGAGACCUAAAAAUGUAAUACAUAUAUAUAUACUAUAAGGAAUAGUUAAUAUGGUAAAAAAGAAGCAAAAAUCGAGUCUUGAACAGCCUCAAACGACUAUAUAGCCGUUAGGAAAAGACAAAAAAACGGUAACAUUACAAAAACCGGUUCACCAACGGCACUUUCGAAAUCUGGUUCAAAACUGGUUCAUCACACCUGUUCAGAAUAAACCAGUUCCAAACCGGUCUCCAGGGUAAAACAUGCGAACUGGUAACAUCCGAUGGUUCGGUUCACUAUGGGUUCGGUUCUUAUGUGAACCGGUUCAAGGCUAAACCGGUUUCCGGUUCACCAACCGGUUCGGUUCCUAAACCAGUUUUUUUGCCCACGCCUACCACUAGCUAGUCUAGGUGGGCUUUUAGUACGGGGGUUUUCAUGAGGAAUAGGUUGAAAGGAGUGUUGGCAUCUCACUGCCGUCAUCUGUUACCAUUUCAUAAGGAGUGGUAGCAUUCCUAGCACAUUAGAUUUUUUUUUUUUGAUUUUUUUUUUUGAACUUAAAUAAAUUAUAUUUUUAUAAAACACAAACAAUUCAAUAUUAAUCAAGAAACUAACUACAUUUUAUAGAUAAAUUUACCUUAUUUAAACAAGGAUUAAUAGAAAGGUCAAAUAAAAUUUAAAUGGUUAACGACAUGCUUAAAAUUUUACAAAUAUAUUGAUUUUGUAACGACACAAUUUUCUACUCUAUCAAGGUAAAGAAACAUUUAUGUUAAUAAUAAAGUGACACUUUAAUAUAUAUCUUCAAAUAAUUAUUAAAAAUAAAUAAUACUAUAAAAAAUUACCAAUACUAUCUAGAAACAAAAACCACUCACAGCACGGAAUUUACAAAACAACCAUCCAACUUCCUUAUUUUUUUGAAAGAGCUUUUACGAUCUCCAUUUCCAUUUCCUUUUUUUCUUAAAAUUACAUCUUACAUCUUCCAAUUUGCUAUUAUCAUUUCUUAAGUUUGUGAAAGUAGACUAUUCCACAAAACUACUCCUCCAAUUGUGUGAAACACGAAGCAAAAGCGAGACCUUUGAGCUUUUUCUUAAAAAAUAAUCCUUGUUUGAGAUGGAGACCACACCAUUGAUGGGAGAAAUGAAGGUUCUAGAGAACGAUUGUAAGAGGAAGAUUAUUGUAUCCACAGGCCAAUAUCCAACAAAUCUCUUUCUCUUUCUUCUCGCUAUGGUGUUGACGAGCCAUGGCUGGCGACUUCCUUGGCGCAAGCCAGGGGGCGGCCUUCAGCGCCCUUGGCGACCGGUGGCGACCUCCAUAGCGAGGCCCACUCCCUAAAGCCUUAUAACACACCAUUUAUUGACCAAGUUUACCCAACAAUGCAUCCCAAUUCAUUAGAUUUGUCUUAUCAUUAUACUUUUUAUACAAUUUCAUCAUUUUUCUAUAAUAUAUUAAAACUCUAUGAAAAUUCAAAAGAAUAUACUUUUGAAUUUUCAUAGAAUUUUAUUAUAUUAUAGAAAUAUGGUGAGAAUCCUAGAUGCUUUUAUCUCUCUUUCAGACUUAAAAGCCAGUAUGCGUUCAAUAAGUACGUGGCCAACUCCGGACCUAGCUUUUGCGAACGUGGGACGUUCACUUCGGAUAGCCUCGAAAUGAGUACCUCUUACUUUAAAAAUUUAUAACUUUGGCAUACGAGCUCCGUUUUCGACAUUCACUUUCAUUUAGACUCUGUUUGCUAAUUUUGAUUUUUAUUUUUAAAUUUAUAUUUUUUAACAGGCCGGGACUGGAAAAGCCCGUUAAAAAUUCAUAACUUCUUCAUCCGACGUUCGUUUUCGUAUGACUUUUUACCAUUAAACUACUAUCGACGAGAUUUUUGAUUCUCAUUUACAUUGUGUUGGAUAAAAAUCGCUCGAUCUAUACUUCGAACUACGGGCUGCACAAUGUUAUGCCAAAUCUUAGAAAAUUCAUAACUUCCUCAUACGAAGCUAGAUUUGGAUUUCUUUUUUAUGCACGCUCUUGGUUUAACGUAUACUACGAUUUUCAUUUAGAUUGCUAAGGCUAAAAAACACUUUAUCGUAAACUCACUUUUCACGUCACACAAUGUCAUGUCAGUUUUGUCGCGAAACUUCGAUAUGUCAUAAAUUCUUCGUGAUCAGGGCCGAUCUUGAAAAAUGAAAUAUUCUUGGAGCCCCAGGACGAGCAAGAAAAAAAUGGCCCUUAUCUUUAUUAUAAUUUUGUAAUUUUAAAUAAAAAUAUAUAAUGAAAAAAAUUAGGCCAUGUGCAGCUGCCCACUUUGCCUCCUUCUAAGCCCCCAUUGUUCAUGAUAACUCGGAUUUCAGCGUUCUUUAUAUUUCUGGAGUCCUUGUCACGACCACUACAACUUUCUUCAUAGAUAUCGGGUUUAUAUAACAUUUUAUUUUUGACGCUUAUUUUUAUUCUUAAUUAAUUAUAUCAUUAUAAACAAGUAUAUAAUCACAUAAAAUCACGUAAUUCACAUAAUACUCAAGUAAUUCAUCUUUAUUACAUUAAAAUAGGUUACAAUGGUUGACCUUGACUAUUACAUCAUCAUACUAAUGUGAAACAACCUAAAAUACGACCCAAUUUUUUUUUUGUUAAAAUAAUACUAAAGAUAUCAACCAUCAUAAUAUAUCAUGAAAUCGUACGUCAUAAAUCCCCAAAAAGUUAUAAUAGAUAUGUCAUGACAAAAGAGUUGUAUCAACAUACCAUAGUAUCUAAAAUAAACUCCCAGGACAAAAGUUGAAACUGUGGUGUGUGCAAUGUCAUCAUCCUGAGCUCUUUCCUUUGCUUGCGGAAAUACCUGAAACCAAAACUGAAACUGUAAGCACAAAGCUUAAUGAGCUCCCCCAAACUACCACAUACCAUACAAUAGCAUAUACAACACAUACUAGGCCUUGCCCACUGCAUCGGACCGAAGUCCGGAAAUUGCAUCGGACCGAAGUCCAGAACUAACCAAGGCCUUGCCCUCUGCAUCGGACCGAAGUCCGGAACUACAUCAGACCGAAGUCCGGAAACUAACCAGGGCCUUGCCCUCUGCAUCGGACCGAAGUCCGGAACUAACUGCAUCGGACUGAAGUCCGGAACUGACUGCAUCGGACCGAAGUCCGAAAUUGUCUGAACAUAACAUAUCAUAAACAUCUCAACCAGUAUGAACACAUAAACUGCAUAUCGCAUCAGACCGAAGUACGAAACACAUAACACAAAUACAUGCUUGAAUCACAAAGACAUCAAGCAUUCUAAGUACUGCAACGGACGGAGGUCCGAAACUUCUGCUAACUAAACCGACCGGCAUUGUAGCCGUAGACCCGUUCCUACUGGAAGGAAAACUCACCUCGUAAUGCUGGCUGCUGAGAUGCUAACUCUAAAAGUGACUGACCGCUGCUUCGGAACUGUCCGACUACAAAUCCCAGAAACACUAGAUUAGUUACUUGCAUAUACCCUCAGGGUAAGAUGACUAUUUUGCCCCUGGUCAAAGUCAACUUCUAGUUGACCGGACUCGCCGACUAUGGGCGCAGAACCGCCGAGUCCCUCCUUUACUAACUCUGACUUUAACUCACCGAGUCCCUUUCCCACUCACUGACUCUCUCUGAACUCGUAGGUCGAAGAAAAAAGGGGACUCACGACUCGACUCGUCGAGUCUGAAGAACAACUCGCCGAGUCCUGCCGUGCAUAUUCCAAACAAACGAAUUCAAAACUAUUCCAGAGCAUCUGACUUGAAGAUCUGAGCCCUUGGAACUAUCUAAACACGUGAAGUUUCUAACUUUACGUGCAACUAAGAAGGAAUGAAGCUAUUUCACUCAAACACUACUUUUCUUGGGAAAACUCAUCCGACUCGCCGAGUUGUAUGAACAACUCGUCGAGUCUAAGGUGAUCUUCAUCGGACUCGCAGAGUUGCUCAUCAAACUCGUCGAGUCUACGACUAUCUUCAUAUGACUCGCCAAGUCACACAUGCGACUCGCCAAGUCCAUUCAGUCCCUUUUUCCAUACAGACCUGAUUUGGGCCAUGCAGUGGCUCCAAAUCACAGAUCCAAGAUUCUAGGGCAUGCUUAUCACGUAAAUUUGCAAACUUUACGUGCAUGCAUGGCUUUAAAGGCUUCAAAUGCCAACCCUAAGCUCUUAAUGGGGUUCCAAGCUCAAGAGGGACCUCAAUCACGACCAUAACCGAAACUUUACUCUUCUAGAAUGCAAUGAGAGUCUAGAUCUGAUGUUUCCAUAAAAGGGGAAGUCCAUCUCUCAAGUUUGAACCAUAAGAGGCUCCAAAGAGGGCAUAACAAGCAUAUAUGAGGUUAUAAUGGGGGAAUGCACAAGGUCAUAACUUCAUUACCUGAAUGAAAAACAGAUGUAAGCUAACUCCUAGAUUUUCCUUCCCUUCUAUGGACCUUCCUUCCUUCCCAAAGCUUCCAAGCUAUCACAAAUACCCUCAAACUCAACAAUGGGGCUAGGGUUUACAAGGGAAAUGUUAUGAGAGUGAUAGAGGCGAGGUUGGGGGCGCAUAAGUGUGUUUAAAUAGGGUGAAAACCCUUAAAAUUAGGGCUUCAUCCAGACAGGCGGACUCGCCGAGUCCAACGUAUGGACUAGUCGAGUAGCCAUCUCAAAACGCGUGAUCGUCCCGUCUCUACUUGACGAGUCAGGCUACAGACUCGUCGAGUACCCCUUCAGAAAUGAAAAUACUUUAUUUGAAUUACAUACCAGAAAUGGGGCGUUACAACUCUCCCCCACUUAUCUUAGACUUUGUCCUCGUAGUCUGCUGCUGCUGCUGAAAAUAACUCUGGGUAAUGCUCCCUCAUCUCCUACUCGGACUCCCACGUCCACUCUGAACCCUUUCGGUGCUGCCACAACACCUUCACUAGCUGAACCACCUUGUUCCUCAAGGUCUUCGUCUUCCAAUCUAUGAUCGCAACUGGUCUCUCGAUAUAAUUCAGGCUGCUAUCAACCUGAAUAUCCUCCAAGGGUACAACUGCUGACUUGUCCACCAAACACUUUCGCAACUGGGAAACAUAGAAAGUGUUGUGGAUCUGGCUAAGCUCUACCGGAAGAUCCAACCGAUAAGCAACCCGACCCACCCGGACCAAAACCCUAAAAGGGCCAAUGAACCUGGGACCCAGCUUGCCUCUCUUCCGAAACUUGAUAACACCCUUCCAAGGUGAUACCUUCAGGAGGACCAUAUCGCCCACCUGAAACUCCAAGUCCGAACGCCUCUUGUCGGUGUAACUCUUCUGCCUACUCUGUGCAGUCUGCAGUCUACUACGAACCUGCUGGAUCAACUCUGUGGUCUUGAGCACCAUUUCAGUGCUCCCAAUGACUCACUGACCAACCUCGCCCCAACAAAUCGGAGUCCUGCACUUCCUUCCGUAUAGCAUCUCGAAAGGAGGACGUUUAAUACUAGUGUGGUAACUAUUGUUAUACGGAAAUUCCGCUAGUGGGAGAUACGUAUCCCAACUACCACCGAAGUCUAGAACACAUGCCCGGAGUAUGUCCUCGAGAGUCUGAAUUGUCCUCUCACUCUGCCCGUCCGUCUGGGGGUGGAAGGCGGUGCUAAAAUGAAGACGAGUCCCCAUCUCGUCAUGAAACUGCUUCCAAAAUCUGGAAGUAAAACGGACGUCUCGGUCUGACACUACCGAAACAGGCACUCCGUGCUGUGCUACUACCUCGCGUACAUAGAUGUGGGCUAGCUUCUUAGCCGAUAUGCUCUCCUAGAUCGGUAUAAAAUGUGCGCUCUUGGUCAGCCGAUCCAUUAUGACCCAAAUCGAAUCCACUCCCCGUGCGGUCCUGGGAAGCUUGGUGACAAAAUCCAUGGUAAUGUCCUCCCAUUUCCAUAUGGGAAUAUCUAACGGCAGCAUCUUGCCGUGGGGUCUCUGGUGCUCUGCCUUGACCUUCCUGCAGGUCAGGCAUCUCCCCACAUUCCAGGCGACAUCCUGCUUCAUGCAGGGCCACCAAUAGUCGGGUCGAAGAUCUCUGUAGAUCUUCGUUGCCCCUGGGUGGAUGGAAAAUCAAGAAUUAUGAGCCUCGUCCAUCAAUACCUGCCAUACUCCGCCCCAGUACAGUACCCAAACCCUCCCAUGGAGGGUCAACAAUCGUUAACUGUCAUAAUCAAAGGAAGCUACUCGGUCCACGAUUCUCUCACACUUCUGCCUCUCCUCCUUGAGGCCCUCGACGUGUGCCUCCCUGAUCUGCUCCAACAAGGGAGUAAUCACUGUCAUCCUCAAGCAUACAUCCCUGAUCGGGGCCGCUGCCGUCUUGUGGCUCAGGGCGUCGGCCACUACGUUGGCCUUCCCCGGGUGAUAAAGGAUCUCACAGUCGUAAUCCUUCACCACAUCUAACCACCGACGCUGCCGCAUGUUAAGAUUCGGCUGGUCCAUGAGGUACUUCAGACUCUUGUGAUCCGUGUAGAUGGUGCAACGGACCCCAUAGAGGUAGUGUCUCCAAAUCUUGAGGGCGAACACCACUGCCCCCAACUCCAAAUCAUGCAUCGGAUAGUUAGCCUCGUGAGACUUCAACUGUCUGGAGGCAUAAGCUAUCACAUGCCCCCGUUGCAUCAACACUGCCCCCAUAUCUGCGAUCGAGGCAUCACAGUAGACUACAAAAUCAUCCACUCUCUCCGGCAAGGUCAGAAUCGGUGCCUCGCACAAUCGCUGUCUGAGAGUCUCGAAAGUCGCCUGCUGCUCAGGCCCCUAACGAAACACCACCGACUUCUUGGUUAGUCGGGUGAGUGGAACUGCUAUCUUGGAGAAAUACUGAAUGAAUCUCCUGUAGUACCCUGCCAAACCUAGGAAGCUCUGAAUCUAUGAUGGAGACUUUGGGACCUCCCACUGCAUCAUGGCCUCUAUCUUGGCCGGAUCUACCAGUAUACCCUUCUGGUUGAUGAGGUGCCUAAGGAAUUGCACCUCGCGCAACUAGAACUCGCACUUGGAGAACUUUGCUAAAAGUUUCUCCCUCCUCAAGACCUCUAGCACCUCCCUUAGGUGCUCCUCGUGCUGCUCCUGAGUCUUGGAAUAAACCAAGAUGUCAUCGAUGAAUACAAUCACAGACCGGUCCAACAUCGGCAUGCACACGCGGUUCAUGAGUUCCAUGAACGCGGAUGGAGCGUUGGUGAGCCCAAACGACAUCACCACAAACUCAUAAUGACCAUAACGGGUCCUAAAAGUUGUCUUCUGAACAUCCUCACCCCUGACCCGCAUCUGAUGAUAACCGGAGCGCAAAUCAAUCUUGGAAAACCAAGACGCUCCUUGAAGCUAAUCGAACAAGGCAUCUAUCCUCGGAAGUGGGUAACGGUUAUUCACCGUUACCUUGUUCAACUCCCAGUAGUCUAUGCACAUACGGUGCGACCCAUCCUUCUUCUUCACAAACAAGAUUGGGGCUCCCCAUGGAGAACUAAUUAGUCUAAUGAAACCCUUGUCUAGCAGCUCCUGCAGCUGCGUAUACAACUCCUGCAUUUCUGGAGGAGCCAACCGAUACGGCGCCUUGGCUAUCGGAGCCGCACCAGGAACCAAGUCAAUCUUGAACUCAACCUGUCUCUCUGAAGGUAUCCCAGGUAAUUCCUCUGGGAAUGAGUCCGGGUACUCUCGCACCACUGCUACAUCAUCUACUGUCAUCGUACUCUUAUCCCGGGUAUCCAUCACAUAUGUGACAUAACCUGCUUAACCCUGUUGGAAGUAGCGCCUCACUCUCACUGCUGAACAAAGAAUCGGUCCGCGUUGUGGGCUCUCGCCCUGAAUCACUAACUCUCCCCCGUUGGGAGUGCGAACCCUCACUAGCUGCAAUUCGCAAUCAAUCAUCGCCCCAUUGGGGCUCAACCAAUCCAUGCUUACUAUGGCCUUGUUCCCUCGCAAAGGAAUAGGGACCAUGUCCACCGAAAACUGCUCAUCGAAUAACUGCAGUGAGCAUGCCUUAUGCACCCUCGUGACCCUGACGGUCCUAUCAUCGGCUAUCUCCACCUCGAGUGGACAAUCCAGCUCCCUAGGAUCUCUGCUAAACCUCUUGCUAAGUGCAAGAGAGACAAACGAUCGGGUAGCCCCUGAAUCAAAUGACACUGUAGCUGAAAUGUCGUUCACUAAGAACGACCCUAUACAUAAACAUAUAACAUUAGAAACAAUCAAUAAUCAAUGCAUAGAUAAAAGGAAAAUACAUACCCGUCACCACGUCAGGAGUCGCUCGCGCCUCCUCUGCUGUUAUCUGAAAAGCUCUACUCUUCGCCACUGGCACCUCGGCCCGCCCCUGACGACCGUUCGUAAUCCUCAAUGUAGCAGGGGCAGGUGCCGACACCUUCCCUGCUGCUGCUAAGCUUGGGCACUGGGACUUUUUAUGUCCCCUCUGAUUGCAAUGGAAGCAAAUCAGAUCUGAUGCUGCGGUAGCUGUGGUAGAAACUGUACAAUCUCUGCUCAUAUGCCUAGUCCAACCGUACUUGUAGCAGCCGGAACUCCCUGCCUUGCACGCCCCAUCGUGUAAUCUCCCACACUUGCCACACCGACUGUGGCUCUGCUGACCUCUGGACCUAUGAUCCGAAACCUUGGGCUUCUUGCCCAAACUCCCUGUACCCGAAGCCGCCUCCGCCUUCCUCUUAUUCUCCAUCUCAAGAUCAAUCUCUCUCUCUCUCUCUCUCUCUCUCGCCCUUGCAAUCAUAUCAUCCAGCAUCUUACAGCUGGAUCGGCUCACAAACUGGCGGAUAUCACUCCGCAGCGUCUCAUGAUAACGGGCCUUCUUCAUUUCCUCGUCAGCUGCGUACUGAGGAACAAGAAGAGCCCUCUCCCUGAACUUGGCGGUAAUCUCCGCCACUGUCUCUAUAGUCUGAGUAAGGUCUUGAAACUCUCUAGCUAACUGUUGCACCUCAAUAGUCGGUGCGAACUCGGCUCUGAACCUGGUGGUAAAAUCAGCCUAAGUCAUAGUAUCAAGUGCUAUGUCAUCCCUGAUACCAUGCCCAACCUCCUCCCACCAGUCACAUGCCCUAUCCUUCAGGAGACAGGAUGCUAAUCUGACCUUGUCCCCUUCGGGACAUCUGCUAGUGCGGAACACGUUGGCAACAUCUGCCAACCACCUAGUGCUCGCAAUGAGGUCCCGCACCCCAUGAUAGCCUGGAGCUCCACAAGCCCGAAACUCCCUGAAGGUGAGUGUGCGCGACCCCAUCAUGGCCGCCAUCUCAGCACGAAAUGUGCUCAACUUCUCAUCCAUCAACUCCAAGAUACCCUCCUUGAUCGAACCGAAGAUCACAGGACUCUGCUCAAGUAUGAUACGGGUAACCUCUGAAGUGAAAAACUCCCUAGUUUGCUCAUCCAACUGCUCGGCCCCCCAGCCUGAUCCUGAUCCUUCCUCGGCACCUGAGCUGCCGACUGCUGGCCUAGGGCGUAAAACCACCAUUCUGAAAACACAUCAUGAUAAACGUCAAAAACACUGAUAUAUCUCUAGGGAUCGCUACUACUAUAGGUUUCCUGGUCUCGCCUCUGCCUUCCUUGAUUCAAGUACAAAUCCUCAACAAAAACCAGUCCUCAACUGCUGAAGGCCUCCUUGUAAUGCCAAUUAGUCAUCACCUGAAUAUCAUCACAUGUGACGAGACUCAGAUAAUCCUUCGAGUAAAAGACUCAUUCCUACAACGGAUGGACUCAAACAAGAGCUGCGCAGUAGAGCCAAAUCCAGCACUCUGAGAUUAUUCAACCCUGAUCUCAGGCGAUGUGUCGUAUUCACCUAAUGGUUAACUCUCAUUACCCGGAGUCUCAUAAAGCACAAAGCAAGCAGCAUUCGGACACAGGAAACUAAUCAAGCCACUCUAUUCUCAUAACAAGAAAUUGUACUAGCAUACAAUGUUAAGCUCGUACUGUCAGGCAUAACCUAAACAGGCUAUCCUACUGCUGUCUACUCAAUACUAGCAUGCAGUUCUCAUAAAGCUGAAGCACAUAUAGCAUGCACAUAAGGCAUCCUGCUAGAUCCUUAGUCCUAUUCUAGCAUGCUGUUCUACUGAAACUAAAACUGAUAAUCAUAACAUAAACUUGUAUGGGUAAUUUAGGGGUACUUACUUGAGCUCGACUGAUCGCAUGCACCACACCCUUUUCUCGUUUUCAAAACUCUUUUCUUUUUAAGUCUCUUUCUCAAAAGUUCUUUUGAACACAUUUUUCUUUCGAAAAUCUUUUUUCUAUUUCCUCAGUUUGAGUUCAGUUACACCCGUAAGUGUGUCUGAAUCCCUCAAACCAAGGCUCAGAUACCAACUUGAAAUAACCCAAAAUACAACCCAAUUUUUUUUUGUUAAAAAAAUACUAAAGAUAUCAACCAUCAUAAUAUAUCAUGAAAUCGUACGUCAUAAAUCCCCAAAAAGUUAUAAUAGAUGUGUCAUGACAAAAGAGUUGUAUCAACAUAACAUAGUAUCUAAAAUAAACUCCCAUGACAAAAGCUGAAACUGUGGUGUGUGCAAUGCCGUCAUCCCGAGCUCUUCCCUUUGCUUGCGGAAGUACCUGAAACCAAAACUGAAACUGUAAGCACAAAGCUUAGUGAGCUCCCCCAAACUACCACAUACCAUACAAUCAUAUAAAACACAUAUUGGGCCUUGCCCACUGCAUCGGACCGAAGUCUAGAAAAUGCAUCGGACCGAAGUCCGGAACUAACCAGGGCCUUGCCCUCUGCAUCGGACCAAAGUCCAGAACUGCAUCGGACCGAAGUCUGGAAACUAACCAGGGCCUCGCCCUCUGCAUCGGACCGAAGUUCGGAACUAACUGCAUCCAACCGAAGUCCGGAAUUGUCUGAACAUAACAUAUCAUAAACAUCUCAACUAGCAUGAACACAUAAACUGCAUACCGCAUCGGACCGAAGUCCGAAACACAUAACACAAAUACAUGCUUGAAUCACAAAGACAUCAAGCAUUCUAACUACUGCAACGGACAGAGGUCCGGAACUUCUGCUAACUAAACGGGCCGGCAUUGUGGCCGUAGACCCGUUCCUACUGGAAGGAAAACUCACCUCGUAAUGUUGGCUGCUGAGAUGCAAACUCUAAAAGUGGCUGACCGCUGCUCCGGAACUGUCCGACUACAAAUCCCAGAAACACUAGAUUAGUUACUUGCAUAUACCCUCAGGGUAAGAUGACUAUUUUGCCCCCGGUCAAAGUCAACUUCUAGUUGACCGGACUCACCGAGUCAGGGCGCAGACUCGCCGAGUCCCUCCUUUACUAACUCUGACUUUAAUUCACAGAGUCCCUUUCCCACUCACUGACUCUCUCUGAACUCGUAGGUCGAAGAAAAAAGGGGACUCACGACUCGACUCGUCGAGUCUGAAGAACAACUCGCCGAGUCCUGCCGUGCAUAUUCCAAACAAACGAAUUCAAAACUAUUCCAGAGCAUCUGACUUGAAGAUCUGAGCCCUUGGAACUAUCUAAACACGUGAAGUUUCUAACUUUACGUGCAACUAAGAAGGAAUGAAGCUAUUUCACUCAAACACUACUUUUCUUGGGAAAACUCAUCCGACUCGCCGAGUUGUAUGAACAACUCGUCGAGUCUAAGGCGAUCUUCAUCAGACUCGCCGAGUUGCUCAUCCAACUCGUCAAGUCUACGGCUAUCUUCAUAUGACUCUCUGAGUCACGCAUGCGACUCGCCGAGUCCAUUUAGUCCCUUUUUCCAUACAGACCUGAUUUGGGCCAUGCAUUGGCUCCAAAUCACAGAUCUAAGCUUCUAGGGCAUUCUUAUCACGUAAAUUUGCAAACUUUACGUGCAUGCAUGGCUUUAAAGGCUUCAAAUGCUAACCCUAAGCUCUUAAUGGGGCUCCAAGCUCAAGAGAGACCUCAAUCAUGACCAUAACAGAAACUUUACUCUUCUAGAAUGCAAUAAGAGUCCAGAUCUAAUGUUUCCAUAAAAAGGGGAAGUCCAUCUCUCAAGUUUGAACCAUAAGAGGCUCCAAAGAGGGCAUAACAAGCAUAAAGGAGGUUAUAAUGGGGGAAUGCACAAGUUCAUAACUUCAUUACCUGAAUGAAAAAUAGAUGUAAGCUAACUCCUGGAUCUUCCUUCCCUUUUAUGGACCUUCCUUCCUUCCCAAUGCUUCCAUGCUAUCACAAAUACCCUCAAACUCAACAAUGGGGCUAGGGUUUACAGGGGAAAUGUUCUGAGAGUGAUAGAGGCGAGGUUGGGGGCGCAUAAGUGUGUUUAAAUAGGGUGCAAACCCUUAAAAUUAGGGCUUCAUCCAGACAGGCGGACUUGCCGAGUCCAGCGUAUGGACUCGUCGAGUAGCCAGCUCAAAACGUGUGAUUGUCUCGUCUCUACUCGACGAUUCGGGCUACAGACUCAUCGAGUACCCCUUAAUAAAUGAAAAUACUUUAUUUGAAUUACAUACCAAAAAUGGGGCAUUACAUAAUGCUUAGCCCAGAAACACGGACGUUACACUUCUCUCCUCCUUAGGAUGAUGCCAUCCCCAGAAUCAUACAUCAACAAACUAAUGCGGAUAGCGACUCAUCAUGUCACUCUCCAUUUCCUAGGUGAGAUUUGACUCAUUCGUAUGUUUCCGUCGCACAAGUAGUAAGUCAACCAUCUUGUGACGCAACUUCUUCGUCUUAUGGUCAACAAUCGCCUCCGGUUCUUCAACUAGCCUCUUAUUUUCAUCCAUCCUUAGCUCAUAAAUUAGAAUUAUGUCAGGAACUUCUCCCAUGAAUUUCCUCAAAUAACUCACAUGGAAAGUGUUAUGAAUAAUGUCUAGUUCUUCUGGUAGUUCUAGCUUGUAGGCUUGGUUCCCAAUCCUCUGAAGAACUUUGAACGGUCCAAUGAAUCUUGGACUUAACUUCCCUUUUUCCCGAAUCUUAUAAGUUCCUUGUAGCACCUGGUUCCUGGUAUGUAAUUUAUUUAAAUAUUUUGCAUUUUUGGCCUUGGACUCGGCAAGUUGAAGGACCAACUUGCCGAGUAGAAGCGGGAUGGGACGUGGGAUUUAAGUGAUGGACACGUCGAGUCGGGUCCCGGACUCGACGAGUAGGCUCUGACUGAAAAACCCUAAUCCGAGGGUUUGCACCCUAUUUAAUCAUCUCAUUUUCCCCUAAUGCUCCCAGAAACCCUCCCUAGUAAACCCUAAGUGUUUUGGUGCAAGAUCUAAGGCUUUUGAGUGAUUUUUGUGGGUUUUGACCUCAAGGAAUAAGGAAGAGCAUAGAAGGAUCAAGAGGAGACUGAAGGAUUAGAGUUUGGUGCAUCAUUUUCAGUCCUUGAAAGGUAUAAAUUAUGUACCUUGCUUGUUCAUUUGUUAGAUCCUUUUUUGGGGAAGAUUUAGGGCUUCUUAAGUCAUAUGAGGUGGCCAAACAUGGUUGGGGGUCAAGACUUCGGAUCUAAGUCUUGGAAGGAGUCCCAAAGCAGAUUUGGGUUGCUUUUGCACCCAAGGAAGGUCCCAUGCAACAUAAGAGCCAUUUUAGAGCCUUUUUGGGUCAAAAGUCCCAUGCAUGCACGUAAAGUUCGAAACUUUACGUUCUAGAUCGAGCUUAGGGCUUGGAUCUAUCUUUUUGUCAAAGGUUGUACAUCAGAAAUCGAGGAUUUAGGGUGUGGAUGUUAUCGAAUCGGCGAGUCAGUUCUUGGGACACGACGAGUCCAAAGCAUAGGGUCUGUUAUCUGUUGAGGGUCAAAAGAACCCAGUUGGGUGUUAGAAGGGUUGUAGAAGGUCCGAGAGAGUGACCCAACGUGUUGGACUUAGCCUUAGACUUGGAAUUCAUGGGACUCGUCGAGUGCUAGAACAGACUCGGCGAGUCCAAGGCAAUCUCCUUAUCGAUGAAGAUGAACUCGACGAGUUGUUCAUACAACUCGGCGAGUCGGGGUCAGGACUUGUUCAUCAGAUGAAGGUGAACUCGACAAGUGUUCAUCCGACUCGGCGAGUCGGAUGAAGGUUCAUUGAUGUUCGUAAAGAAAGGGAACUCGUCGACUUGUUGCCAAACUCGACGAGACGAGUCGUGGAUAAGGACGAGUAAAGGAAAGGGACUCGACGAGUUNAACUCGGGGAGUCGGGUCAACUGGAAGUUGACUUUGACUUGGACUUGGUUGGGGGUAAAAUAGUCAUUUUACCCCAAGAGUAGAUAUUAGUUUUCUGACUGAGUAUUUUGUGGGGAUUAUAGCCGGAGGAUUUCCGAAGCAACAGCAGGCAGAGGUUUCCUGCACAUAUUAUCAGCAGCUACUUGUUCGAGGUGGGUUGCCUACCAGUAGCGGUGGGUCUACGACCACAAUGUCGGCCCACCAAUAGGAGUUGUAUAAUUAUAUGAUUGUCUUUGUGAUAUCAUCUAGGUUGCUUCUACCUGAUAUGUUAUAUGCUGGCAUGAUAUGUUAUAUGUGAUAGUAGUAGAGUUCGGUUGUUAGGACCGAAGGGUAGGUCAAACACCCCAGAUAUGUAUGACAGUAUGUGAUGAUAUGUUUAUAUGCCGACAUGACAUGUUAUAUGGGAUAGUGGUAGUAGGAGGGGAACAGUCCCCAAGUUCGGUUGUUAGAACCGAAGGGUAGUUCAGACACCCCAGAUAUGUCUGAUAGUAUGUUUAUGUUAUGAUAUAUGUGAUAGUAGUGGUACGUGUGGAAUAGUCCCCGAGGGUCGGUCUUUAGGACUGACGGGUAGGUCAGCACCCCAAAAAGACUUGACAGGGGUAGGACGACACCCCAGAAUGGCCGCACGGGUAGGUCGGCACCCCAGAAUGGCCGUACCGGGUAGGCCGGGCACCCUAGAAUUGCCUGGCAGUAUGUAUGCUAUGUGAUUGUAUGGUAUGUGGUACGAUGGGGGAACUUACUAAGCUUCCUGCUUACAGUUUACAGUUUUGGUUUCAGGUACCUCUUCAACAAAGGGGAAGGAGCUGGCGCGGUAGCGGCACAUCAUACACACAUGUUGGUUUCCGCACUAGUGUUUCUUGGGUCGUUACAAGUUGGUAUCAAAGCCCUGAUCUGAGGGAUUCGGACACACCUUGGGGGUGUCUGGACUCAAAUCGAGGGAUUAAAAGACUUUUACAAGAAAAAUGGUUUCUUAAAAGCUAAGAUAAAAGAGUUUUGGGAAAGAACAAAGUGUGUGAUGUGCGCGACCGGCCGAGCUCAAGUAAGUAUUCCCCAAAGUACCCAUACAAGUUUAUGUUAUGUUUAUCAGUUUCAGUAGAAUAGCAUGCUAGAAUAGGACUGAAGAUCUAGGAAUGAUGGCUUAUGUGUCUGCUUUAUGUGCUCCAGCUUAUGAGAAUUGCAUGCUAGUAUUAAGUAGAAAAUAAUAGGAUAGUCUGUUUAGGUUAUGCCUGGUAUUAUGAGCUCAGCAUUGUAUGAUGGUACAACUUCUCGUUAGGAGAAUAGAGUUGUUUGAGUAGUUUCCUGUGUCCGAAUGAUGCUUGCUCAGUGCUUGUAGGACUCUGAAUGAUGGCCGUUAGCCAUUAGGUGAGUACGUCGCGUCGCAUGUCAUUAGGAUUGAAUAAUCUCAGAGUGCUGGAUUUGGCCCUAUUGCGCGGCUCUCGUUUGAGUCUAACCGUUGUAGGGACGAGUCUUUUACUUGAAGGAUUAUCUGAGCCUUGUUACAUGUGAUGGUAUUUAGGUGAUGGCUAAUUGAUAUCACAAGGAGGCCUUCAACAGCCGAGGACCGGUUUGGGUAGAGUCAGAGAUUUUCCCUAGGGUAAGCCUACGAUGAGAGUAGCAGAGAUCAGCAGUGGAAAAAGGGACUUGGUGGAGUCGAGGCCGUCCUUGAGGAAAGUACGGAUAGAUAUGGAAGGUAGUAUGGGCCCGUACUACAGAAAGCAGAGGAUCCGUACUCGAAUUAAGGAAGGCUAAGGCAAGACCAAGGAACUUGUGAUGGGUGUGAUCCCUAUAGAUGUACUAGUAUCACUGACGGAUGUCAUGAUGUAUUGCGGAAUGGUGGUACUAAGGCCAAGGCCAGCAGUGGGUAGCUCAGGAGAGGGAUCGGGUUCGGGUUCAGGCUCCGAACCAGUGGACGAGAGGCUACGCGAGUUCAUCGCGUCUAAGAUCACUAUAGGCAUCCUUGAUGCGACCCCGAUCAUCUUUGGGUCGAUCAAGGAAGGGAUUGUUGAGCUGAUGGAGGAUCGCCUUAGGGCGCUCAGGAGUGACAUGGCGACCAGCCAGUCAGGAUCCCGCAUACUAUCCUUUAAGGACUUCAGGGGCAGUGGCGCGCCGGACUUCCACGGGGAAAAGGACCCCAUUUCUGCUAGACGAUGGAUUGCGGACAUGGAGUCUGCACAGCUGACAAGCUUCUGCCCCGAGGGGCCGAAGGUGAGAUAUGCAGCAGGGUGUUUGAGAGACAGAGCUAGAGAUUAGUGGGAGUCUGUUGUUGACUCCUUGGGAGCCUCGGCUGUUGAGGCUAUGACCUGGUUAGACUUUGUGACCAGAUUCAGGGCGGAGUUUGCGCCAGCUGUAGAGCUUCAGCAGCUGGCCAGAGAGUUUUUGGAUAUGAGACAGACUACGGAGACUGUGGCGGAGAUCACCGCCAACUUCUGGGAGAGGGCAUUGCUUGUGCCCCAGUAUGCGGGAGAUGAGGACAUGAGGAUGACCCGCUAUCAUGACAUGCAGCGAGCCGAAAUUCGGGAGCAUGUUAGUUUUUCAGCUUGCCCUACCCUAGAUUCCAUGAUUUCCAGAUCAAGGGAGAGGGAGAUCGAUCUAGAACAUGUCCAGAAGAGGAAGGUAGAGGAGGGGCAGACGAUUGGGGCUUCGGAGAAGAAGCCUAAGGGAUCAGAUGGUAGGCCGAAAGGCCAGUCAGGACCAGGCCACUGCAGGAAAUGCGGCAGGCCACAUGAGGGGGCGUGUAGAUUGGGAUUGUCGGGCUGCUACAAGUUCGACAAGACGGGGCAAUUCAGCAGAGAUUGUACCGCCCCUACACCAGUUAUUCAGACGUCUGAGUUGCUGUGUUUUCAAUGCAACCAGAGGGGCCACAAGAAAGACAACUGCCCCCAGUUAACAGCAGCAACAGUGCCAGUGAAGGCGCCAGGUCUAGCGACCCUGCGAAUUACUGAUGACUGGAAGGCCAAGGCUGAGGCUCCAGUGGUGAGGAGUCGGGCCUUCCAGUUGACUACCGAGGAGGCACGCGCUGCACCCGAUGUGGUAACAGGUAUGACUUCUUGUUUAUGCUUUUAUGAUAUGCUGCUGUGAUUUUGAUAUGUUAUGUAUGUGCUCUGUUUAGGAUCGUUCCAUGUGAACGGUAUCCCAGUUCAAGUAUUGUUUGAUUCGGGUGCUACCCGAUCAUUUGUCUCUCUUGCGCUUAGCAAGAAGUUUCCUGAGUCUUCGGGCAUGUUGGAUUGCCCUUUAGAGGUUGAGAUUGUAGACGACAGGUCGGUACGAGCAUUAGAGGUCUUCCGAGAUUGUGUUUUGAGGUUGUUCGAGGAGCGUUACAUGGUAGACUUGAUUCCCAUACCCUUGCGGGGGAACAAGGUUAUUAUCGACAUGGAUUGGUGGAGCCCCAAUAGGGCGGUGAUAGAUUGCGCACAAUAGUUGGUGCGAGUCAGGACCCCAGGAGGGGGAGAUUUAGUGAUUUAGGGUGAGAGCCACAGCGAGGGCCAACCUUAUGUUCGGCAACGAGGACAAGGCGUUACCUUCAGCAGGGUUGCGCCGGAUAUGUCGCUUAUGUCAUGGACACCCGGGAGGAGGGAAAGGCGACAGUGGGCAAUGUGCCUGUGGUACGAGAGUUUGCGGACGUAUUCCCCGAGGAGUUGCCUGGGAUACCUCUGGAACGAUAGGUGGAGUUUAGGAUCGACCUAGUCCUUGGUGCGGCUCCGAUAGCCAAGGCACCGUAUCGGUUGGCUCCUCUUGAGAUGCAGGAGUUGUCUACACAGCCGCAGAAAGUAUUAGACAAGUGAUUCAUUAGACCUAGUAGUUCUCCCUGGGGAGCCCCGAUUCUGUUUGUGAAGAAGAAGGACGGGUCGCAUCGGAUGUGUAUAGAUUAUCGGGAGCUGAAUAAGUUAACGGUGAAGAACCGUUACCCACUCCCGAGGAUUGAUGACCUCUUUGACCAGCUACAGGGAGCAUCUUGGUUCUCCAAGAUUGAUCUGCGUUCAGGGUAUCAUAAGAUGAGGGUCAGAGAGGGGGAUGUACAGAAGAUAGCGUUCCGGACGCGCUAUGGCCAAUAUGAGUUCGUGGUGAUGCCUUUCGGGCUCACCAAUGCUCUUGCCGCAUUCAUGGAUCUCAUGAACCACGUGUGCAGACCAAUGUUGGAUCGGUCCGUGAUAGUUUUCAUCGAUGAUAUCUUGGUUUACUCCAAGACACAGGAGGAGCACGAGGAGUAUCUGCAAGAGGUUCUAGAGACUUUGAGAAGGGAGAACUUGUAUGUUAAGUUCUCCAAGUGUGAGUUCUGGUUGCGCGAGGUGCAAUUUCUCAGACACCUUGUCAACCAGAACGGGAUAUCGGUGGACUCGGCCAAAGUGGAGGCCGUGAUGAGAUGGGAGGUUCCAAGGUCUCCAUCCGAGAUUCAGAGUUUCCUAGGAUUAGUCGGCUACUAUCGGAGAUUCAUCCAUGAUUUCUCCAAGAUAGUCAUACCCCUGACCAGGCUAACGAGGAAAGUCGUGGUUUUUCGUUGGGGGCCUGAGCAGCAGGCCGCAUUCGAGACAUUGAGACAGAGAUUGUGUGAGGCACCAAUCUUAGCCCUAUCGGAGGGCAUAGAGAAUUUUGUUGUGUACUAUGACACGCCCAUUUCAGGUUUGGGCGCGGUACUGAUGCAGAGAGGGCAUGUCAUUGCCUACGCUUCGAGGCAGCUGAAGCUUCACGAGGCGAACUACCCGACGCAUGAUUUGGAGCUGGGGGCUGUUGUGUUCGCCCUUAAGAUUUGGCGUCAUUACCUCAAUAGGGUUCGCUAUACUAUCUACAUAAACCACAAGAGUUUGAUGUACCUCAUGGAUCAGCCGAAUCUAAACAUGAGGCAGCGUCGGUGGUUAGACGUGGUGAAGGAUUACGAUUACGAAAUCCUUUACCACCCGGGGAAGGCCAAUGUGGUGGCCGACGCACUUAGCCGCAAGGCAGCGCCGAUCAGGGAUAUUUGUCUGAGGAUGAUAGUGGUGACCCCGCUGUUGGAGCGGAUUCGGGAGGCCCAACGGGAGGCCAUGAAGGAGGAACAUCGGAAGAGCGAGCGGAUUGUGGGGCAAGUUUCCUCCUUCGAUUAUGAUAGCCGAGAGCUGUUGACACUACACCGUAGGGUGUGGGUGCCGUACCACGGGGGUGUACGCCAGGUUCUGAUGAAGGAGGCGCACAAAUCUCGAUUCUCCAUUCAUCCCGGGGCGACGAAGAUGUACAAGGACCUUCUUUUGGACUAUUGGUGGCCCUGCAUGAAGCUGGAUGUAGCAUGGUAUGUGGAGUGGUGCUUGACCUGUAGGAAGGUCAAGGCCAAGCACCAGAGGCCACAUGGAAAGAUGCAGCCGUUGGAUAUCCUGCUGUGGAAAUGGGAAGACAUUACGAUGGAUUUUAUCAUAAAGCUUCCUAGGAUCGCUCGGGGAGUGGAUUCGAUAUGGGUCAUCGUCGAUCGAUUAACCAAAGAGCGCCCAUUUUAUUCCGAUCCAGGAGGGAAUUUUGGCCGAAAAGUUGGCCAACAUCUAUAUCAGGGAGGUGGUGGUGCGGCACAGGGUGCCGGUAUCGGUGAUUUCAGACAGGGACGUGCGGUUCACUUCCAGGUUUUGGAGGAAGUUUCAUGACGAGCUGGGUACUCGUCUGUAUUUUAGCACCGCCUUUCACCCACAGACGGAUGGUCAGAGCGAUCGGACCAUCUAGACAUUAGAGGAUAUGCUGCGAGCAUGUGUUUUAGACUUCGGAGGUAGCUGGGAUACCUACCUUCUGUUGGCGGAAUUCUCGUAUAAUAAUAGCUAUCAUACGAGUAUUAACCGUCCUCCCUUCAAGAUGUUAUACGGGAGGAAGUGCAGAACCCCAAUAUGUUCGGGUGAGGUUGGCCAGAGGGUCAUGAGGAGCAUCGAGGUGGUGCUCAAGAUGACAGAGAGGAUUCAGCAGGUCCGGAGCAGACUUCAGACUGCUCAGAGUCGGCAUAAAAGUAAUCUUGAUAAGCGCCGAUCAGACCUGGAGUUCCAGCUCAAGGAUAUGGUUCUCCUAAAGCUGUCGCCAUGGAAGGGCGUCAUCCGAUUUAGGAAACAGGACAAGUUGGGCGCCACGUACAUUGGACCGUUCAGAUUCUUAGCCCGGGUGGGCAAGGUAGCAUACAGGUUGGAUCUGCCAGCCGAACUCAGCCAGAUCCACAACACUUUCCACGUCUCCCAGCUGCAGAAGUUUCUGGUGGACGACUCAGCAGCGGUACCCUUAAAAGAUAUUCAGGUCGAUGACAGCUUGAAUUACAUUGAGCGGCCAGUAGCGAUCCUCAACCGGAAGUCGAAGGAACUGAGGAACAAGAGGGUUGAACUAGUGAAGGUGCAAUGGCAACAUCGGAAGGGCUCAGAAUGGACUUGGGAGCCAGGGGAGGAGAUGAUCGAGCAUUACCCAGAGUUGUUCCAGGAACGAACAGCAGACUUCGAGGACGAAGUCUAAAAUAAGUGGGGGAGAUUUGUAGCACCUGGUUCCUGGUAUGUAAUUUAUUUAAAUAUUUUGCAUUUUUGGCCUUGGACUCGGCGAGUUCAAGGACCAACUCACCAAGUAGAAGCGGGAUGGGACGCGAGAUUUAAGUUAUGGACUCAUCGAGUCAGGUCCUGGACUCGACGAGUAGGCUCUGACUGGACAAAAACCCUAAUCUGAGGGUUUGCACCCUAUUUAAUCAUCUCAUUCAGCCACCACUCUACCCUAAUGCUCCCAGAAACCCUCCCUAGUAAACCCUAAGUGUUUUGGUGCAAGAUCUAAGGCUUUUUGAGUGAUUUUUGUGGGUUUUGACCUCAAGGAAGAAGGAAGAGCAUAGAAGGAUCAAGAGGAGACUGAACAAUUCGAGUUUGGUGCAUCAUUUUCUGUCCUUGAAAGGUAUAAAGUCUGUACCUUGCUUGUUCAUUUGUUAGAUCCCUUUUUGGGGAAGAUUUAGGGUUUUUUAAGUCAUAUGAGGUGGCCAACCAUGAUUGCAAACAUGGUUGGGGGUCAAGACUUCGGAUCUAAGUCUUGGAAGGAGUCCCAAAGCAUAUUUGGGUUGCUUUUGCACCCAAGGAAGGUCCCAUGCAACAUAAGAGCCAUUUAGAGCCUUUUUGGGUCAAAAGUCCCAUGCAUGCACAUAAAGUUCGAAACUUUAUGUGCUAGAUCGAGCUUAGGGCUUGGAUCUAUCUUUUUGUCAAUGGUUGUACAUCAGAAAUCAAGGAUUUAGGGUGUGGACGUUAUCGACUCGGCGAUUCCGUUCUUGGGACUCGACAAUUCCAAGGCAUAGAGUCCGUUAUCUGUUGAGGGUCAAAAGAACCCAGUUGGGUGUUAGAAGGGUUGUAGAAGGUCCGAGGGAGUAACCCAACGUGUUGGACUUAGCCUUAGACUCGGAAUUCAUGGGACUCGUCGAGUGCUAGAAUAGACUCGGCGAGUCCAAUGCAAUCUCCUUAUGGAUGAAGAUGAACUCGACGAGUUGUUUAUACAACUCGACGAGUCGGGGUCAGGACUUGUUCAUCAGAUGAAGGUGAACUCGACAAGUGUUCAUCCAACUUGGCAAGUCGGAUGAAAGUUCAUUGAUGUUCGUAAAGAAGGGGAACUCGUCGACUCGUUGCCAAACUCGACGAGUCGAGUCGUGGAUAAGGACGAGUAAAGGAAAGGGACUCGACAAGUAGAUGACCCAACUCGGUGAGUUGGGUCAACUGGAAGUUGACUUUGACUUGGACUUGGUUGGGGGUAAAAUAGUCAUUUUACCUCAAGAGUAGAUAUCAGUUUCUGACUGAGUGUUUUGUGGGGAUUAUAGCCGGAGGAUUUCCGGUGCAGCAGCAGGCAGAGGUUUUCCAAACAGAUUAUUAGCAACUACUUGUUCGAGGUGAGUUACCUACCAAUAGCGGUGGGUCUACGGCCACAAUGUCGGCCCACCAAUAGGCACUACUAGAAAAAAGGCGUUUUACGAUGCUCAUUGCGCGUCGUAAAACGCUCAGACAACGCGAAAAUGCGUGUCAAGGAAGGCCCUGUCAUAACGAGAGACGACACGCAUUUACGACACGCAUUUACGACGCUCAUUUACGACACGCAAUGCGUAUCAAGGAAGGCCAUGUCAUAAAGGAUGACGACACGCAUUUGAGUGUCGUAACCUUACGACACGCGUUUAGGACAUGCAUUGUGUAUCAUUAAAGCCCCUGUCAUAAAUGAAGAUGACACGCAUUUGCGUGUCAUAAUCUUCAGCAACCAUUUACGAUAUGCAUUUACGACACGUCUUUACGAUACACAUUUACGCAAAAUACAAAAAUAUGGAAAUAAAUAUAUAACAAAACAAUCAAUUUCAUUCAUUAACAUCAUGUCAAAAAAUUGUAAUACAUAGCGGAAGUAUUUGUUGAGAGCCCAAAAAGUUACAUAAAUCAAUGAAAGUAAAAUUCAUAACUUUUCUAGUUUUCAUAAUCCUAACAAUAGCUGCAUCAACCUGCGAUAUAUUUAUAAAAAAAAUGUGAUUAUAAAUUUAUAAUUACAAAAAAAAAUAAAGCAAAAAAAAAUUGGACCUGAUAUUGACGAUCUUGGGAAACUCUCUCUGUGGUGCUUGCGUUUUCUUCCACAGUUUCCUUCAGCUGGAUAUCAUUCACAUGUACAUGGAAUGGAAUGGAAUAAUGAAAUAAGCAAAGGAAUGGAAUGAGUCAUUCCAUUCCAAUUUCAUAUGAACUUCACAUUAUAAAAAAUUAAUUGAUCUCACCUUUAUACGAUAAAGAGGAGCAGUAAAUACAUCAUUAAACAUGAAGGAAUCAUUGUCAUCCACAUCAGUUUGAACCUAUUCUUUUGUCUCCUUUUCUUCUUUCUCUUUCCCUUGUUCUUUUUUGUCUUGUAUCUUUUCAAGUGGUUGGUACAACAAUAGAGGUAACGGGACAUGUGCCAGUAUUGGGUCCUGAAGAUCUUGUUGCUUUUGUGCUAAGUGUUUUGUGAUUGAGAAGCAAAUGGUCACAAAUUGCAUAUGGGUUCUGGACAUGCAAAUAAACUUAACUAUCGAUCACAUAACAAAAGCAAAUGAAAGUAUGAUGUUAUAAUAAACAAUUCAAAUGCUAAUACCUUUGACAUGUUUGUAUCUACAACAUUUUGGGAGCUUUCGAUGCUUCGAAGAAUUAAAAGUAUUGAAAUAACCUCUUCCUUCUUUAGACUAUUAUGAGGCUUCCCAUCUUCACAAUCACCACCAAUUGCCAACAUAGAAAGAAAUAAAUACAAUUUUCCGGAAAAUAAUAAAAAUUCAUAUAUAUUUUUUUCAUUCAAAGAAUCAAAAUCAACAGGUAUAGUAUGCAUUCAAUUUAUAUUUCAGGAAAAAAAAACUAAUAGUAUACCUACCUGUAUGUGGGUUCAUAGCAAGUUUUCUCUCUUGGAUAAAACAUUAUUUUUUUAUUUUAUUUAUACUAAAUGUUUUUUUUUAUAUUUUGAUAUAAUACAAAUUAAUUUAUGUUUUAGAUAAGCUCUCUUUUACUUNCCUGUCUUUUACUUAUUUACAUUGAAAAUUGACAAAUAGUUCUUUUUCCACAAAAACAGACAAACUAUCUACAAUGAGUUUUUUGCCCUUUGCCACUAUUUAAUCACCUUACCUUAGUUUUACACACAAAAUCCAAUAAUGGAAUAAUGCAUUGAACAUUACACAUUUGCAAAUAAGAUACACAUUAGCAAAAAAUGGUCUUAGCACUAACUUUCACCACCCACCCACCCGAUAACAAAAGAAAAUAUAAUCCGCCCACUCAGUUUCACUUUAUUUGCAAGUAAGUAUAAACAAUAAUAUUGCAGGGUUUUUUUUUCAGUAUGAAUGAGUAUUCAGUCACUAUUCAUCCAUACCUCUUUAAGUAGUUGAUACCAAAUGCUACCAUUAUUCAAUCUCCAUCUAGGGGUAGGGCUAGGUGUUGGUGUUGUUGGAGCAGAAGAAGCAUCAAUGAUAUUGAUAACAAUGAAAGGGGAACUCAAAUCAUCAAGUUCAUCAUCACUUGUGUUUGACUUUCUCAACACUGAUGAUCCAGUGCGACCCAAGUGUUUUAUACAUACAGCCACUCCCUCUCCUCCAACCAAAAUGGUUUUUAUUAUUGAUGAUGCUGAUGGCGGAUCAUAAACAACCGAACCAGCUACACAUGGGACACUGCUCACACAGUCUUCGCCACCCUCUGUAGAAUAUAAAGCCAAAAGAAACCUGUGUUUGUUUACUACUCAAAAUGAAGACAUAAAAGAAGAAAGGAAUAUGCAUUGUAUUGGAAAAAUGAAGACUAAAAACCUCUUAUAUUAUCCAUAUCAAUAAAGCUAUAUUUAUAGCUUCUUAGACACCCACGAUGAAGUAUGAAAACAAUCCAUGCUCUUGACUCCACCUAAUUAGCUUAAGAAUUAACUAUUAUAUAAAACAUAAAACACAAAACAAUAAUAAUUAUCAAAUCUAAAGUUUCAGCCAUGCACGUGAGCUAUGACUAACAAACCGAUUAACCCAACACCUUCCACCCCCAAAUCCUUAGCAUAUAUAAACAAACACCCUCUAAAUGCAUGUUAUUAGACAUACCAAAAUAUCUUUAAUUGGUUGGCUUGUGUGUCCUUCACAUCAACAUAAUUACUUAAUUAAUUAAUUAUACUGAACUCACCUCUGAGUCUAAGGCUUCAAGCACAACUUCAGGAAUAGCAUCUGGACAAAACUCAUCUGGAACAAAACUAUCUAGUAUCCCUUUUAUUAAUGCUACACCAAAACUCAAACAUACCUUCAAAAAAUUUUAAAUAACUUUAGCUUUGUGGAUAACUACACUACUAUAAAAGAAAAAGAGCCCAAUUUUAGAGACCUCUUUUCUGAUUGUGCUAUCUAACAACAUAUCCUUAGGAAGCAUCAUCAGGUCACUUAAUGCAUUCAGGAGAUGAAAAGAUUUGAAUGAUGAAUCAUCAGCAUCUAUAUCAAAUAAAUCAGUCAGCCACCUCGACCAAUUUUCAAUUUGCACAUUGCCAAAUGAACNNNNNNNNNNUAUAUAUAUAUAUAUAUAUAUAUAUAAAGGAUCACUUGCCAUGGGAAUUGGUCGCCUAUGAUUCAGAUCAGAGGCCUGGAAUCGUCAAGGUAGAAAACACAAGUCAAGAAAAAAAAUAAAAUAAGAGACUUUUAGGCAUAAAUGGUAUAUACCCUGUAAUAGGGAUAACAAACUCCUUGAGUGCUUUUUCACUUGUUACUCCAAUUAAUUCGCCAAGACCUUGAGCAUCCUGUUCUCUCAAUUCUGCAGACCUGCUUAUUAGGCCCUGAAGAUAUAUGGGAAGCAAUGGUUGAAGAGCCUUUGGGAGACAUAACCUGGGUAUAACAAUUGGUCCACCCUAUAUGUCCAUCAACAAAUAUUUAAAUAAGAUAAACCUUAAUCACUACUAAAUGCUGAUUAAAAUACACAUAGUUGCCCCUCGAGUUCCAAAACAUUAAAACAACUCUAUUUUGUGCUUAGAUUCCAAAAUAGGACCAAAACAAAAUUCAUACGCAAGUGCUCAAUGGAUGAAAAAACUCAUAUGUACAAAUUCUAAGCCAAAAUACAAGAAUACAUUAGUUCUACAUAAACCCUAUCAACUCGAAAAUAAAAUUUUCUCGUAUAAUAAUUACAUAACCAAAUUAUGUAGUGAAAUCACACAUUAAAGCAAAUGUCUUUGUUAUUGUGAAUUUUGAUACAUCAUAUAUUAUUAUAUUUUUACCUUUAUUAUAGAUUGGUUACCCAACUUUACAUGCAUUUGUUGAGUUUAUUUCUGGAUUUGACAUGCCUUCUGACAUUCACUCAAAGAAGAAAGACAACAUUCUUCUAGAAACUGGGAAACCUUUUCGAUGGCUCUCUUCCAUGAUGAGUUAUCGUUGCCACUAGCUCAUAUCUUCGACCGUAUUUAUUAUAAUUUUUUUUAUAAAUUAAUAAAAAGAUGAAAAUGAUAUAUANNNNNNNNNNNNNNNNNNNNNNNNNUAUAUAUAUAUUAUAUAAAUACAUACCUCUGGUGAUGAUAAAAAAAGGAAAUCACGAUUCAGAGUAAGGUGAAGAGGAAUGUGGAUUGGUUUGAGUAAUUUUGUGCUUCCUUGACUUACAUAGCUAAACCUCAUUAAGUGUAGUAUUAUUAUCUCUGGAAGCUCUAAUAUUUCACUGAUUUACUUGCACAUACUAAUUCACAUAAUAAUAAAAAGAAGUAUACAUUUCCUGCUGAUGAAGCACGAUACCCUUCAAGUGUCUCUGGAGCUGAAAAAAGAUGAAGUGCAUCUUCUAUUGUAUGCAUAGGAUCUGGACAUAUAUUCAAAUGGAGCAAAAGAAAUGGCUGAAUAGUUGCAGAUGCUUUGUUACCUAUUUUUGUUUUACAUUAAAAAUAUAUAAAUGAUGAAUUAAUGAUAUCAUGUUAUUGAGAUGAGUGAAAAAUGUUAAAAGAUUAAAAAAAAAUACCUCUUGCUUUCAUUACACUUUUUAUUUGGCCUUCGAAGAUCUGACUUAAUUUUGAAGGAAUAAAACUUUGUGUUCUUGUGAUUGUAGUUUUGUUCUUUGGUCCAACUGUUUCCCAAAUAUCAUCAUCAUCUUCAUCACUUAAAGAUGAAACCAGUGAAACUUUUCCACCAUUAAAAUUACAAACUUCUCCUUCAAGUUUAAGAAGUUCAUCAUGCAUUUGGUGCAUUACAAAGCUUAAAAACACCUGAGCAUCUUCUUGCCUUUUUAAAAAACAAACUUCAACUCAGCAUCCGAAAUUCCAAACAUAACAUAUAUAAAAUUUGUUGAUUAAUUUUAUAACAUUAACACAAACCUUGGUCUUCCAGAGAAGCUAUUUGGCAUAUCUGGAGAGAAAUUGUUGAGAACAGAUUCAAACAUGAUAGGUCGAAAAGGUUUCCCAGUUUCUAGAAGAAUGUUGUAUUUCUUCUUUGAGUGAAUGUCAGAAGGCAUGUCAAAUCCAGAAAUAAACUCAACAAAUGCAUGUAAAGUUGGGUAACCAAUUUGUAAUAUAGGUAAAAAUAUAAUAAUGUAUGAUGUAUCACAAUUCACGAUAACAAAGACAAUUGAGUCCAACUCCAUCGGCGUUUGCUUUUGAAUGAAUUCCUUGGGAUAAACCUUCCAUAUACGCUCUGCUCCCUUUCCUUUUGGAACAAAACACCAUAGCAAGACUCCAAAUAUGUAAUAAUAAUCGAUCGAUAAAGUUUCUACAUAAGUUGCAGGUGAUCAAAAAUGGCGGAAAUCAGGAAAUGUAAAUUGUACCUUUAGCGAGAUUAGGGUAAAGCCAUCACAAGUUAGAGCCAUCAUCACCUGUGGGAGACCUAGGGGAAGUUGAUCGCCUCUAUCCACCUGCCAAAAAAGUGAAUCGUCUUCCCAUAAGUUUUCGUCACUUUCUCUCGAUCUUGCCGCUCAACCGGACCAAGGACGCCGGGAAGGAAAAGGACGUCCCUCUUCACCUCAUACUCGUGGAUGUGCCACAUUGGCUUUUCUGAAUCCGGCAAGGUGAAGAACAAUUUUUAUGUUACGAUGUUUUCAACUCCGAUUAAAAAAGCCCUAGAAAUUAUCCCAGUGAUUUUGUGAUAUAUGAGUUGUUGAGGUAUACAGCAGAGGUGGUAUCGUGAUUAGGGUUUGCAGAGAAAAGGGGGAAGAAGAGAAUGAAGGGGAUCAAGCGGGGUAUUAAAAAAUUUAAGAUUUUUGAGAGGAUUUCAUUUCCCCCUUUCAAGAAGGCGCGUUUUAGUAAAAAUUAUAAAGCGACAAUCACAGAGGACGCAUAUUUUAGAUAAAGUGCCCUCCGUGUUUUUAUUUUUUUUACAUUCGACACUAAUUUAAGGGCAUGCAAUAAUGCGUGACCUAAAUCCUCAAAUUUUUUGAAGAGACGACACUUUUUUAUUGUCACUCUCGUUUGCGUAACAUAAAUCAAUAAGUGUCGUGAUUUGCACAUCGUAAAAGGGUCUUUUUCUUGUAGUGAGGAGUUGUAUGAUUAGAUGAUUGUCUUUGUGAUAUCAUCUAGGUUGCUGCUACCUGAUAUGUUAUAUGCUGGUAUGAUAUGUUAUUUGUGAUAGUAGUAGAGUUCGGUUGUUUGGACCGAAGGGUAGGUCAGACACCCCAGAUAUGUCUGACAGUAUGUGAUGAUAUGUUUAUAUGCUGGCAUGAUACGUUAUAUGGGAUAGUGGUAGUAGGAGGGGAACAAUCUCCAAGUUCGGUUGUUAGAGCCGAAGGGUAGUUCGGACACCCUAGAUAUGUCUGAUAGUAUGUUUAUGUUAUGAUAUAUGUGAUAGUAGUGGUAGGGGUGGAAUAGUCCAAGAGGGUCGGUUUUUAGGACUGACGGGUAGGUCAGCACCCCAGAAAGGCUUGACACGGGUAGGACGAUACCCCAGAAUGGCCGCAUGGGUAGGUCGGCACCCUAGAAUGGCCGCACGGGUACCUAGAAUGGCCGCACGGGUAGGUCGGCACCCCAGAAUGGCCGUACCGGGUAGGUCAGGCACCCCAGAAUUGCCUGGCAGUAUGUAUGCUAUGUGAUUGUAUGUUAUGUGGCACGAUGGGGGAACUCACUAAGCUUCGUGCUUGCAGUUUACAGUUUUUGUUUCAGGUACCUCUUCAGCAAAGGGGAUGGAGCUGGCGCGGUAGUGGCACAUCAUGAAUGGUUUUCCGCACUAGUGUUUCUUGGUAUUGUACUAUGACAUUAUUCUUAUUUUUGUGAAUGGUUUUCAGACAUGAGAUGUGGUUUUAUGAAAAGUUAUGAUUAGAUGGUGUUUUCUUAUAAAUGUUUUUACAAGUCAAUUUUAAAAAUGAAAUUUUUGGACUUGUAAAUUGGGUCGUUACAUUCCUUCCAUGGUAAGACUUUAAGCAAAACCAAAUCUCCAACUUCGAAUGCCAUCAGUCGUCUUUUCUUGUCAGCAUAGCUCUUUUUACAAUCCUGAGCUGCUAACAUCCUUUCCCUAAUCACUCUUAACUUUUCAACAGUCUGAUGGACUAUCUCGGGGCCCAUAAACUGCCUUUGUUCAACUUCAAGCCAACAUGACGGCGUACGACACUUUUUUCCGUACAAAGCUUAAUAAGGUGCCAUCUUGAUGCUUAAGUGGAAACUAUUAUUGUAGGAAAACUCUACCAGAGGUAAGUGUUCAUCCCAGUUACCUUGGAAUUCUAGGGUACACACUCUUAGCAUUACUAUAGUGUUUGAAUCGUCCUUUUUCUCUAACCAUCGGUCUGUAGAUGGUAGGCUAUACUUAAACACAGCUUCGUACCCAAUUCUUCUUGUAGACUCCUCCAAAACCUUGACGUGAAACGGCUAUCAUGGUGUAACGCCCAUGUUUCUAGGCUAGGCAUUAAUGAUAAUGUAAUAGUCUAGGUUAACCUUUGUAACCCGUCUUGAAAUAAUAAAAAUGUAUUAUUUGAGUAUUAUGUGUUUUGUGCUUAAUUGUGUGACUUAAAUGAAUUAAGGAUAAAAAUAAGCAUCAAAAUGAAAUGUUAGAUAAACUCGAUAUCUAUGAAGGAUGUGGUAGUGGUCGUGGCAAGGUUUCCAAAUAUAUAAAGAAUGCCAAAAUCUGAGUUAUAACGAAAAAGUUAUGAUCUGUCGAAGUUUCGUUACAGAACCGGCACGGCACUGCGUGACGUAAAUAGUGAAUUUACGAUAGAGCGAUAUUUAGUCUUAGUGAUCUAAACAGAAGUUGUAGAAUAAGUUUAACCGAGAGCGUGCAUAAGAAGAACGUCUAAAUUUGACUUCGUAUGAGGAAGUUAUGAUUUUUCGAAGUUUCGAUUUAGCAGUAUGCAACCCAAAUCUCGAAUUACAGAUCGAGUGAUACUUGGCCGAAACAAUCUAAACGGGAAUCGAAGAUCUCGUCGAUAGUAGUCCAAAAGUGAAAAGACAUACGAAAACGGACGUCGGAUGAAGAAGUUAUGAAUUUCUAACGGAGUUUUCCUGUCCGACCUGCUAAAAAUAAUAUAAUAAAAAUAAGUUCAAAAUUAGCCGACGCAGUCUAAACGAAAGUUGUAGAGCAUAGUCUCACCUAUGUGUGGAUAUAAAGAACAUAAAAAAUGGAGCUCGUAUGAGGAAGAUAUGAUAUUAUGAAGUUUUUAAAUAAUUAAAAUAUAUAAAUUUUAUUAUAUAUUCGGAUAAUAUCCGAAUCCAUGACUCAGCCGAUCUGAUCCGAAGAUUACGCCCAACGUACUGCUUGUAGAGGCAUUACGCCCAGCAUAAUCAGGAUUUACGCCCAACGUAAAUCGAGGUUUCAUCCCCUAUAAAUAGAAGUCGUGGGCAGCCGAGUUUUGUUGCUCAUUUCUUCCUCUCUCUCCCGUUUUACCUCGUUUUACGUGCAAGCUUUACCCCCGAAGCCGCGGUAUCAUUCCCGAGACCCGAAGCCCCGGGGAUCCCGAGAAGUAAAGUUUCUGAGCCGAAACUCUGCCCGUGUAAAGCCCGGUUUUGGAGAAAACGUCCUGGUUUUAUCGGAAAAUAUUAUUUUAAUAUAUGAGGUGAUGUCCGAUCAUCUUCUUAUCAAGUGAGUGUAUAUUCCCUUUCUUCUAACACAUAGAUAUGAAGUAUCUACUUUAGAAUAUGUGUUACAUGUGUAUAAAUAUACGUGUAUAUAUAUGUUAUCUGUUUAUUUGGAAUGAGUAUCUUAUUAGUUUUUAAGUUACAUAUGAAUGCAUAUGUAUGUUGUUAUCUACAAAAUGUUGGGUAGAACUUGUGUAGAUAGUUGAUGUGUGAUAAACUGAUGAGAUGCCUCGAUGUGAUUGUGAUCUAGUCAUUCAACAGAAUAUGGGUGACGACCACGGACUCUUUCUAGACUGUCCCGUGGAAUGCUGGCAGGCUCAUAACCUGUAGGUGUUGGUGAACUUGGGUGUUCAUUUGUUGUAUUCUAUCCCCCUCAUGGUUGCCUUAGGACAUUCAUUGUUGAGAAAACCCCUCUGCAGUAGUGUCCGUCCUGAUGAAAAUCCUAGAUUAGGUCCCUUGUAAUAGUUAUUGUCAUAGUGACGUAAAGUGAGGAUAACAGGAAUGGGUAAUCAGGUUAUUGUUGGUUGGUGAAAUUAAAUAUAAUUAGUUAUUGUGGGUUGAAAACCCUAUAUGCUCACCAGGCUCCCAAGCUUGACCCACUCAGUUUUUUUGUAUUACAGGUAGUGGUGCGAGGGCAUAAGUUGGAGAACUUAUGAAGAUGUUUUUGUUUAUAGACCAGUAGUUGUAUAUAACAGUGUAAGGUCUAUGUUUUACUGUUUAUGCUUUUGUGUCUGUAUCGGAACAUGACAUCCUGAGUUUUGAUAUAUAAUGAAAAUACAUUUCUUUAAGAAAUGUUUUGAUAAACUUUAUUUUAUCAUGUUUUGUUUUAGGGACAAAUUCUGCAACUCUUUUAAAUCAAUGGAUUUACUCUGAAAUUAUUUUAAAAACAUAAAUGAAACCGGCCUUUUCUGGCCGUGAUUUUGGGGAUUUCACACAUGGUCUGAUACUAUCUUUAAAGGAACACCAUGAAGUCUUACUACCUCCUUCACGUAAGCAUUUGCAAGCUUAUCUGUAGACCAUCUUGUUGGAUUAGUGUCUAAGUCCAUAACUAUUUUGGUAUGUACUUGACCCGAUGGUGCAUGGUCCUUUUGGGUUGCCUUCACCAAAGCAACUUGAUUGGAGAAAUAAAUAAAGAGAGAGAGGUUAUUAUGAUUUAUUAAUAUGUUAUAAGAAUAAUAUAUUAAAGGAGAAAUCAUAUUUGUUUAAUUAAUAUUGGUCAAUAAUUAAUUAAGAAUUAAUUUUGUGAUCAAGUGUAAUUAAUUAAACUAGAGGGGCUGAAUUGUAAUUAUGUGAUAGUUACAAAAUAAGGUAAGGAUUAUCUUAAAUAUAGGGUGAACGAAUUUAAGGAGAUAAUGCCUUAGAAUUCGACUAGGAUAAGGGUUUCUAAGACUUAUCUUAUGGUUGCUUGGUGGGCAAGCAACUAGAUAAGGAUAAGGACUAAAACCCUAAUCUUUACACCUAUAUAAACCCCCUAAGGCUCAUGAAUUCGUCUAAGCCUUCCCAAGAAGUCCUAAGGACGAAUUCCUACCUCUAUCCUCUCUCUUUAUACCUUCUCCAUUUGCUCUUGGUGUUUGUGAGCCAUUAGAGGAGUGACACUUGUGACUCUAAGCCUUCCAAAGUCAAUUCAUGGAGAAUUGGGAUUGUUAUUACUACAUAACAAUCAAGGUAACAUCUUAAACCUAAUUAUAUGUUAAUAUUGAUUUCCAUAUGCUAGAAUUAGGGUUUAUAGUCUUGGAUUCAUUGCAUGUACAAUAGAGAAACCUAGAUCCAAGCAUUAGGGUUUGUAUGAGCACAUAGGAUGUCUUAUGACCAAAACCCAUCAGUGGUAUCAGAGCCUAGCUUGGUUUCAAUUGUAUUGAUGCAUUGUAUAACUGGAAAAUUCGUUUUUUGGGUUUCUGGAGGCUGGACUCGCCGAGUCCAUAGAUGAACUCGCCGAGUCCAUGCUGACUCGACGAGUCCAUGCCUGACUCGGCGAGUCGGCUCGUCAGAAGGAGGGAAAACCGGGAUUUCUUGCUGUUUUUGCUUAAGGAUAGUUGCCUUAUCAUAUUAGAUCAAUAUAAAUCCGAUUUUAUGAUAUAUUUGACUAUAUUCUUGAUCUAAUUGAAGAUAUUUAUCAAUUAAUAAAAUAUUUGUUUCCUUAUGUGAUAAUUGAUUAAUUAUUUUGAUUAAAUUGAUAAAUUGUUUUGCAAGAAAUCAUUAAAUAAAUCAAAUAUGGAUAAUUAUGUGAUUAAAUGUUAAUUUAGAUUAUUUGUUAUUUGAUCCUUGUUGUUAUGAAAAGUUUCAUAUUUUCCCCUUUAGGUUUUAUAGUUUAAAUUUGAACCCAAAAGUUUUGUUGUUUUGAAAUUUAAAUAGUUGAAACCCUAAUGUUUUGAAAAAGGUUUCAAAACUUGCCCUCAAGUUUUGGAAUUUAAAUUUUGAUUAAAUAGUUUAAUUUUGAUGUAUAUUUAAAUUCUAAACCCUAAUGUGUUGAAAUGUUUCAAAACUUGCCCUCAAGUUUUGGAAUUUAAAAGUUGAUUAAAAGUUUAAUUAGGAAUGUUAAAUUCUAAAACUCUAGUAUUGUUUUGAAAAAGUUCAAAUCACACCCUUAUGGUUUUAUUAAUUAAUUAAGGUGUAUAAUUAAAAGAGGUUUAAUAAAUCCAUAAAAGUUUUGGUUUACAAUUUAAUUGAAUUAAAAGUAUAAUUGUUAAAUUUGACCACCUAGUAUUUUAAAAGUGUAAAAUACACCCUAUACUAUAUAUAACAUUAAAAGUCUAACAUUAUAUAUAUGUAUGAGUAAAAGUCAGUCUUACCGUUAGUAGGCCUCAUUCACGAAGCUGGUCUAUAAGGGGUGUUUAAGGAAAUUGCCUAUAAAAUGGCGAUUGAAUGGGUAUCCACUCUUACCCACCGCACUCUUGACUAGUGGAGGGUCGUUAGCCGAACGGGUAGGAUAGGACGAAACCUUCCAUUAUAAGUAUAAUGAAGUAUAAAAGUAACUAAAUGUUUUCAUAAAAUUCCCAAUCUUAGUUACUUAGGCAAAAGUGAAUUGAUGCAAUUCCAUGAAAUUACACUUUGUGCCCUUGCGAAGACGUUAGUGGAGCGUGUGUGGUUUACCGGCACACUAAAUGGUUCUAAGCAAAGGUAGCAAAGGGUGACUCAAUGUUUGUCAUAGUUCGGUGGAGCGUGUGUGGUUUACCGGCACAUCGAAUAGGUGACUGUAACAUGUGAGGGCACCAUGUAAGUUUGCAUGGUUAUUCACACCCGCUUUGUGAUCCUCGGCAUCCCAGUCACAAACAAGAGGGGCAUAUCGAGAUUUAAACAUGCCAUUGAAAUGUUCAAUGAAUCUCAAAGGAUCUAGGAGUUUUCAUAGAUUUAAAACUUAAAUUUCUUUUUCGUUUUUCAUGGUGGAAAUUAGUGAAUCGUCAUUCACUUACCUUCAAAUGUUCUGCAAUUUGGGUUACGGCAUCCCUCUCCCGAGUUGUAGAAUAUUGUGUUGGGUCCUAGCCUUAGUAUCUCAUUUGGGUGAUUUACUAAGGACUCAAUCAAUCAACUAACUUGAAUUCUUUUUCUCCCGUUUUGUAGAUGUCAAAGUUCGACAACUAUGGUCUUCCCAAAUCCCGUGGAACAAGCAUUCCACAUGAAGAUGAUAUUCCACGAUUCGAUCGAGGAACAAGAAAUCAUGCUUCACUUCCUCCACCUCCUCCAAUUAUUCUCCCUAACCCACAAGUUCAAAGGCUUGAAAAGUUCAAGAUCACUCAAGCCCUUUUGGCAAGUAAACAUAAAGAAGGAAAGUCGGUGUGUGCACACGUCCUAGGGAUGAAGUCACACAUUGAUAGGUUAAGAAUGUUGGGAUCCGUUGUCUGUGAGGAAAUGGCUGUUGAUUGGGUUCUUCAGUCACUUCCUAACUCAUAUAGUGAGUUCGUAAGAGAGUACUAUAUGAUGAACCGCGACGUGACCCUUAUAGAUCUCACCUAUAUGCUUAUUGCUGCUGAAUCAGCAAUGGUUUGGCGCAAUAGAAAAGCAAAGUUGAUUGGUGAAUCUGCCUUCAAGACCUCUAUGGAUAUAGACAAUGGCAACGAAAGACAUGCUAUGAUCGAAAAGUUUGAUCAUAAGAGAAAGGCAAUGUCUGAAGUAGUUCCAUGUCAUGUUCCAAAAGAGUCAAUUUGCUUUUAUUGCCAAGAGAAAGGGCAUUGGAGACGAAGCUGCCCCAUUUACCUAAGAGAUCUAAGAGAUGGGAGAGUCGAAACGUAUGGCUCUAAUAUAGGUAAAAUCCAUUAACUAACUCUUUUAAGCUUCUAUUCUAGAUUCUUAAUACAUAAUGUGAUAAGAUUACAAUUGAUGUUUUGUAGGAUCGAAGAAAAGAAAGGAAGCUUAAGGGAAGAAGUGAGCAGAAUCUAACCGUGAAGGAAUGGAUUUCGAUCGCAUUUCUCGAAGAUUAGAUUCUUGAGCUACUACUUAGAGUUAGAAUUAGAUUGCUAAGAAAGAUGUAUUAGCAUAGUUUUUCAAUGAAUUGCAUUGUAAGGACAAAUUUUUCCGCAAUAAAAUAAAUUUUGAUUUUAAAUUUUAUUUAUUUAUCCUUACAAUGGCGUGUAUGAAAAAUUGAUGUUAAAAUGUUUCUAUUAUUAGCAAUAAUGGAUUUGGUUCUUAUUAUGUUAUUUAUGGAAAGUCGAGAAUUUACCAAAUAGGGAGAGUUUCUCAUCGCCCAAGUUUCAAUUGGACAGAAACUUGGAAUCAUGCAACUUGGUUGCACGAUGAAUGAGAAAUUUCAUAUUUGGAAAUUAGACUAAUUCAUUGACAAAGUGUCAAGUGAAGGACUAGGAGAUCGAGUACACAAAGUUGCGUGUUGAUCAAGUCCACCAUAAGAGUAACAAAGAUAUUCGUCAUGAUUUACUAAAGGUUUAGUAAAUAUGAUUAUACUUAUAAGAUUAAGUGUAAUUCUGAAUUGAUUGAAAAGGUUUAAAUCAAUAGCAGAACGAAUAAGAAGAAUCAAGUAGGCAGAAAGAUAAAAGUUUCUCCAUUCUAAGAAGAAGGGAGAGUACCUUUUAUGCUUUAUGAUAGGUCUUAAUGAUUAAGAACCAUAUCUCAAUUGAUCCUCUAAGUGAGUCUUAGUACAAUUGUAUGUCUAAGAAGAGGAAUCAAGAAUUGAAGAAAUGGUUAAAUCAAGAAGUCAAUCAUACUUCGUUCCAAAACAAGUCUUAGAGUUAAGAUUGUGACAUUGAGUGAUAAGUAUAAAGAAGGUUUAUAACAUUCAUUAAAUGUGGAAAGUUGUGAUGUCUUGGAUAAGACAAAGACCAACUAGGACCAAUUUAUGAAGUGUUUUGAUAAAAGCUACACUAACUCUUGAAUAUUUGUUUGUCAAGAAAUGGUUAUUGACAAGAGAAUCUUAUAUGUCAAGGAGUCAGUGGGAGUCUUAAUGGUCUUGAAAGGUUUCAAGAACAAAUCAAAUAAACCUUAUCGAUCAUCACUAGCACACGAGUUGAGGUUUACAACCUAUCGUGUUGACAUUAUUUUGAUUCUGUGCCAAUCCAAUCGAGUUAAUUAUGCAUGUGAGUUCUAUGAGUUCUCAUUUUGAACGCAUAAAAGGCAAAGCACCUUAAUCAAUGAAAGGUACAUUGAUAGGAAAGGGUGAGCUGCUUAACUACUUGGAAGACAUGGUGGGCAGCUGUGCUACCAUAAAGGCAAGAAAUCGAGAUCAAGAAAGUUCGAUCCAUAAGAGUUUGAAUUUGUCGUAAACUUUGGUUUUGACAAAUUCACAUGGAUAGGAACAAAUACACCGUUUAAAUCUAAGUGUCAUAAGAUUUCCUCCUUCAUGAAAAUGAUUGUGAGGAAAUGCUUUCACUAAGACAGAUUUUAAGAAGAUAGUGAUUGUAAAAUUGCAUUCUCGAAUUCAAUUAUGGUUACGGCAUCCCUUUCCAUAAUUUGAAUUGUGAGGUUUGGCAAUUAGUCUUAAUUGUUUAGACACACAUAUGAACUAUCGAAGGCAAAGGUGUAUAAGUUCAAGAAGCCUUGAUAAAAGAUUAUCAAAGCACUAAGUAUUAGAAACAUGAACUUAAGAAAUUCAAUAAGCAUUUUUUUUCUGAAAGUUAAGAUGUUUAUGAAUACAUGUCGAAGCUAGUGGGAGCAUAAGUGUUAUGUUUUAUAAUAAUCAUCAAGAUAGUGGGAGCAUAAAAGUUAUGAUUGUAUGAUUAUUAAGGAAAGUAUUGCAAGGUUAGCAAUAUUAAUUAUAGAAAACAAGAGUCAUACUUUGCAAAGUCGCAAUAGUUGAAGAGUUGUUUUGCUAUAAUUAAGGGAGAGAAUAUUAUGCUUCAUUUCAAAUCUAAAGGUUUAGGUUGAGAAAUGUUAAUAAAAUUUAGUCAAAGGUACAAAGUGUGUUCUUAAAAUUUCGAUUAUGAUUACGGCAUCCCUCUUCACAAUUCGAAUUUUGAGAACAUAGCAAAUAAAACAUUAUGCGUCGUGUCCCAUACGCUUCGGGUAUAGGAUCGAUUGCAAAUGCUUUAAUGUUUGACCAUUCUAAAAUUUUCCAAAUGUCGAGCGCAUUUAGAGGGAAAAGGGACUAGAAUUGGUUUUGACUAAAAUAAUUAAACAACUAUCAAAGGACAAUCCAAAGUUCGACGAGGAUUGGUCGCUUGUGAGUAGUUGGAAGUAUAGUAUUGGAAAAUAUGGAAAUGUUUCCAUAUUGGAUGGACCAUAUCGACAUCAUUACGAAUAGAUAAGAUUCUAUUAAGAAUGAGUUGUCAUAUGGAACAUAUGGAAGUGUGUCCAUAUUGGGAAUUGAAUAUUGAGAAAUCUAUGACUAGAUUAGAAACUUCUAUGCAAAAGGAUGUUCAAAGAAUGUACUUUGAGUGAGAGACAUCACAUCUAUGGAAUUGUCUUGUAACAAUCUCCGAUAGAGGACUUUGUAAUAUCAUUGGCAAUAGUCUUUGUGACUUUGGUGCAGUGACAUUACGAAAGGAUCGUUGCAUAAAAUGUUAGAAUCUAGCAUAUUCUAUAAGUAGCAAGAAUUUGAUAUUCUUUCACUUAUGAAAAGGAUUUGGAGUUGUGAAAUGAGAAUGAUUGGAAAUGUGUUCAAUUUGAUCUAUUUCACAAAGUAAGAACCAUAGGUAAACAUUGUGUGCAUGCUAGGAGCAUGGGACAAGUGUAAUAAUUCAAGUAAGAAGUUGAUUACCCGAAACGACAAAUAAUGAGUAAUCGAUAUGGUGAUAAAUAAAAGGUGUUUUAUUUAUACUCAAAGGUUUGAGGCCAUAUGGGAUUAGUAUUAUUCUUGUGUUUCACAUUUGCAUGUUUUGACUUCCAGAAUAAUUGAGUUUAUUAAGAAUAAUCGAAUUAUUCGAACGGGCCACAGUCGUUCAUAUGUUGGAAGUAGAUAUGAAUGAAGACUGUCGUGAAUUGGUGUGUGGAUUGUCUAAAAGAGUAUUAGACAUAAGCAAAUGUUUGCUGCAACGUUCAUGAGUGCUUAUGAAUAUGAUUUGAGCAUUGGAUUAAACCCACGCUCACUUGGAUCACUCCAUGAAUUGUAUCACGAGUGAUUGGUGAGACGAUAACAUCUUAUAUUCUUGAAACCGAGAUGUGUGAGUUGUAUCUUGCGAAUCGGUUGCACAUUGAUAAUAUGUAAACGCACUAGUAACUUGGUGUUAUAAAACAUAUUGUUGUGUGUGAUUUGGUUAGUAAGUGCAAGCAAGCAUUGUAUCAAAGUUUAUCCGUUCCUUUUAUCCAAAGUAGGAUAAAAGCGAUAUCUUUGGGCCCCUCGAUGAUUUAGUGAUGACAAACGUAAAUGCUCGGCCGGGCUAGGGCUAAUUUGAUUUGUUCAAUUAGUCAGUCGUCAUAAAUCGGGAAUCGAGAUAUAGUACAAAGAGAAUGAUUUGAAAUCAUAUCUCAUAUGAUAUCUAGAAUGGAGGAAUAUAUGAUCCCUUAUCUAAGGACACGCGUAUCUGAUAUGAUCAGAGUUGACAGCGGCUUUGGAAAGCUACGAUUGCAGAUCAGGAUCUGAAGUCAUACGCAGAAUAGUUGUUAGACUUAUCCAAGUGGGAGACUGUUGGAUUAGUGUCUAAGUCCAUAACUAUUUUGGUAUGUACUUGACCCGAUGGUGCAUGGUCCUUUUGGGUUGCCUUCACCAAAGCAACUUGAUUGGAGAAAUAAAGAGAGAGAGAGGUUAUUAUGAUUUAUUAAUAUGUUAUAAGAAUAAUAUAUUAAAGGAGAAAUCAUAUUUGUUUAAUUAAUAUUGGUCAAUAAUUAAUUAAGAAUUAAUUUGUGAUCAAGUGUAAUUAAUUAAACUAGAGGGGUUGAAUUGUAAUUAUGUGAUAGUUACAAAAUAAGGUAAGGAUUAUCUUAAAUAUAGGGUGAACGAAUUUAAGGAGAUAAUGCCUUAGAAUUCGACUAGGAUAAGGGUUUCUAAGACUUAUCUUAUGGUUGCUUGGUGGGCAAGCAACUAGAUAAGGAUAAGGACUAAAACCCUAAUCUUUACACCUAUAUAAACCCCCUAAGGCUCAUGAAUUCGUCUAAGCCUUACCAAGAAGUCCUAAGGACGAAUUCCUACCUCUAUCCUCUCUCUUUAUACCUUCUCCAUUUGCUCUUGGUGUUUGUGAGCCAUUAGAGGAGUGACACUUGUGACUCUAAGCCUUCCAAAGUCAAUUCAUGGAGAAUUGGGAUUGUUAUUACUACAUAACAAUCAAGGUAACAUCUUAAACCUAAUUAUAUGUUAAUAUCGAUUUCCAUAUGCUAGAAUUAGGGUUUAUAGUCUUGGAUUCAAAGCAUGUACAAUAGAGAAACCUAGAUCCAAGCAUUAGGGUUUGUAUGAGCACAUAGGAUGUCUUAUGACCAAAACCCAUCACAUCUUUCAUUGGCUACUAUGAAGUGUGCACUCUUAGUAAACCGAUCAACGACCACCCAAAUCAUGUCGUGACCGUCCUUCGUUCUGGGCAGUUUAGUGACAAAAUCCAUGGUAAUGUCUUACCACUUAUCCAUGGUUACACAUAAAGGUUCUAAAAUCCUAUAUGGUUUCUGAUGUUGUGCCUUAACUCUCACAUAGGUCACACACUUGGCCACAUACUUUGCAAUGUUGAGCUUCAUCUUCGGCCACUAGUAGUAGGGUUUCAGAUCCCUAUACAUUUUUGUGCUGCCGAGAUGAAUCGAGUACAUGGUCUUGUGAGCUUCUUCCAUCAGAAGAUCUCUUACUUCGCCCAUCUUGGAAUACCUUUAAUCCUUGAUUAUUUGUACCGAAAACCAAGUUUUUGCUUAAACAUUCUUCCUUUUGGUCAUUCUCCUCUAAAACUUCCUCCCAAGCUUUGUUGAUGCUUUCCACAAUCAUUGUGACAACCUCUAUUGAUUGUUUUGAUUAUAUUUCUCUUCAAUCUUCUGUCCUAACUCAGAUGCUACAUGAAACUUGGUUCUCUGAACCAUGUAACAUACUCAUCUUAGUUGGACUCGAUAUGAUACGACCACUAGGGUCAGAAUCAGAAUCAUCUUCUUAGUCAUUACCAAAACGAUGGUAAUGAAGAACUUGAACAAAACAGAAUCAAUUACUAGCUUCUUAGUAACCUUGCGACUUUCACUGAUCCAAGUGCAAGUCCUGUGCUUCCGGUAGUAUAGGCCUCUACUACCAUUCACACCUACUCAUACUCGUUCAAGGUGCUAUCUCACAGUUUUCCAAGUCAUCAUUCAAGAGUUUCACAUAAUCAUUUAACACAUCAGAUAACAAAAUCAAGGUUUUAUAUUAUUUCUUGAAAUGAUUACAUAAAUGUUCAACUUCGUCCUAUACUAUGCCUCUAAUAAGUUGCGCUACAUGAUGCUAUCCACAUGGCCACUUCAUAACUUGAUCUUCGGAUAUCAGUCCUCACUCCUGCUUCCUUGCAUUGUCAGCUGCUUCGUUAAGGAUCAUUUGGAAUGCCCUUGGCUGGGGCGGUGCGUUUGGCCUUGCCGCUUUAUUCUUCCUUGGGCGGUUCUUCAAAAUAUGCCAUCCUUCAUUGCAUUCAUAGCACACCCUCUUGCGGGAUGUACACUCAUUGGCGUAGUGCCCAGGAUUUUCACACUUAAAACAAGUGACCUCCCGUCACAUUUCCCAUGGUGCUUCUUUUUGUACUUUUCACACCAUUUCGCUUCAACUCCUCCUCCUCUCGAACCAGACUUCGAGAAAUUACUUUUCUUGUUGGAUUUCGAAGAUCCAUCAAACUUCCUUUUCUUACCAACCUCUGCCCUCUCCAGACCCUUCUCCCUUAUCCGUGUCUCAACAAUCUUCAUAGCUCUAACGACUGCCUUCAACGUGCUUGCCAUUUUGACUAUUGGGCCAAAGUCUGAUGGCAAUCCGUUAGCAAAUUUCUCUAUCUUGGCGAGUUCAGUCGACACCAAGUAUGGAAAUAACUUCAUCUUCUCAGUGAAUGCAGUAGCAUAAUAAUCAAUGCUUAUUCUCCGUUCUUCAAUUUCUGGAACUCAUUGUUUAGAUCUAUCAUAUCUAUUUCGGAGCAGUACUGCAUUUUCAACUGCAUUAUGAACUCUUCCUUAGACAUUUUCAGAGCUUUUCCUCGUGGCAUCGUAUCCGUUAAUAACUUCGACCAGCUUAAAACUUUGGUCUUUACUUGUUUGACCGCAAAGACAAUUUUUUGUUUGUCGCUAUAGUUGCAGCUUUCAAAUACCAUCUCUAUUUCGACAUGAUCUUCAUUGUGAUUUGACGAAACAUAUUUGGACGGUUAUGCUUUUCAUGGCCAAUUUUCGAAGAAGUACUUCUUUUAAAUUGACGAGUGUGACAUCCACCAUUUUCACGGUCAGAAAAGACUGAUUUUGUUUAUGCUUUAUAAUAAAAUCAGAGUAACCUUUUUAAAGAAAAGUGUUGUGGAAUUUGUUCCUAAAAUAAAAUAUGAUAAAGAUUUAUCAAAACAUUUCCAAAGAAAUGUAUUUCAUUGUAUUAAAACCUUGGGAUGUCAUUAUUAAUACAAAUCAGAAACAUAAGCAGUACAACAUAGGCGUUACAACAUUUAUUUAAAUCUACUAGCCUAUAAACCAUAAUCCUCUCGUCAAGUCAUCCAACUAUGCUCUUGCCACUACCUAUAAUACAAGAAACUGAGCCGGUCAGGCUUGGGAGCCUGGUGAGCACAUAGGGUUUUCAACCCACAAUAAAUAAUUUUGUUAAUUUCAACAAAUGAAAUAAACCAGAUUACCCGUUUCUAUUUAUCCUCACAUUACGUCCCUAAAACAUCUAAUAUAAGGGACAUAGCCUAAGGAUUAUUGUAGCACCUGGUUCCUAGUACGUAAUCCUUGUAAUUAAUAUUUCUUAAUUUUGCAUUUUUGCCUUGGACUUGGCGAGUUGAAGAACCGACUCGUCGAGUAGAAGCGGGAUGAGAAGCGGGGUCUGAGCUUUGGACUCGGCGAGUAGACCCUGUUUGGGCAAAAACCCUAACCAAAGUGUUUGCACCCUAUUUAAACGCUCUAACUUGGCCUCCUUUGUCCCGAACACUCCCAGAGAGCUGAAGAGCGAAACCCUAGCCCCCAUUUUGUUCUUGAGAGUGAUUUUUGGCUUUGUGAAGAAGGUUUGGAGCUUAGAAGAAGAAGAAAUAGGUUGUAGUGUGCAAAGAGGGGAAGUAGAUCCGGAAUCUACACUACAAGAGGCUUCCAUUCAGCCGGAGGAUUACCGAUUCAGCAGUCAGGCGCUUAGCAAGCAGAUUUUCAGCAGCUACUUUUCGAGGUGAGUUACCUUCCAGUAGCGGUGGGUCUAAGGCCACAAUGUCGGCCCACCAGUAGGAGACGUAUGAUAGAUGAGUGUCUUUGUGAUAUCAUCUAGGUUUGUUACUACCUGAUAUGUUAUAUGCUAGCUUGAUGUGUUAUAGUAGUAGAGUUCGGUUGUUAGGACCGAAGGGUAGUCAGAUACCCCAGAUACGUCUGACAGUAUGUGAUGAUAUGUUUGCAUGUUGGCUUGUUAUGUUAUAUGCGAUAGAGGUAGUAGGGGGUGAAAUAGUCCCCGAGGUUCGGUUGUUAGGACCGACGGGUAGUCAGCACCCCAGAAUGGCUUGACAUAGGGAGGGCGGCACCCCAGAAUGGCCGUACAGGUAGGUCGGCACCCCAGAAAUGCCUAGCAGUAUGUAUGUGAUAUGAUUGUAUGGUAUGUGGUACGAUGGGGGGGACUCACUAAGCUUUGUGCUUACAGUUUUCAGUUCUGGUGUCAGGUACCUCUUCAGCGAAGGGGAAGGAGCUGGCGCGGUAGCGGUACAUCAUACACACACAUUGGAUUUCCGCAUUAUGAGAUGUCCUGGGAUUGUACUCUGACAUUAUUAUUAUUUUCAUGUUUUGGGUUUUCAGACACGAGAUUUGUUUUAUGACAUGAUAUGAUCGGAUGAUGUUUUACUGCAAAUGUUUUACAAACCACUUAUUUUAAGUGAAAUUUUUGGGCGUGAAAAUUGGGUCGUUGCAAUUAUCAUCGGGGUAACAACAUUGCUUAGGGGAUACUGUGACAUCCCCAAAAUCUUGGCCAGAAAAGACCGAUUUUCAUUUAUGCUUUUAAAAUAUUUUCAGAGUAAAUCCUUUUGAUUUGAAAGAGUUGCGGAAUUUGUUCCCAAAAACAAAACAUGAUAAAACAAUGUUUACCAAAGCAUUUCAUAAAAGAAAUGUAUUUUCAUUAUAAUCAAAACUCGGGGUGUCAUGUUCCGAUACAGACCAAUAAGCAUAAACGAAUACAUUACAAGUCAUAUAACAAAUAUAAACAUAUGCAGACUUGUAAACAAAACAACUUGAUGGUUCAUCCAUCUCAUGCCCUUCCGCCACUACCUGUAAUACAAUUUAAAACUGAGUGGGUCAGGCUUGGGAGCCUGGUGAGCAUAUAGGGUUUUCAACCCACAAUAAAUAUCAUAUUUAAUUUUCACCAACCAACAAUAACCCAAUUACCCAUUCCCGUUAUUCUCACUUUAAUGUCCCUAAAACAACUAACAUAAGGGACCUAGUCUAAGAAUAUUUCAUCGGGGCGACAACACAUGCUUCGGGGGUACCUCAGCAAUAUAAGUCAAAUAAGGCAACCAUGAGGGGGAUGGAGUACAGCGAAUGAACACCCAAGUUCAUUAACACCUACAGGUGGCGAACCUGCUAAUGUUUCCACAAGACUAUCUAGAAAAGUCCGUGGUCGUCAUCUAAACUCCGCUAGAUGACUAAAUCAAACAACAACGAGGCCUCUCAUCUGUUUAUUACACACCAACUAUCUACCCAUGUUCUACCCAACAUAUUAGUAGAUAAAAAUAUACAUUUUUAUACAUAGUUUAAAAACCUGUAUAGCAUGCUUUAAUCAACACAUAUUUCACAUAACAGAUGAGGCACACACACACAUAACACGUAUCUCAUAGAGAAUAAAUCAUAUCUAUGAGAUAGAAGAAAGUGAAUACACAUUCACACACAUAACCACAAAAUUAUACACAUAAUACGUAUUCCGUAUAAAAUACUUCAUAAUUAUGCGUUAGAAGAAAGUAACUACACACUCACUUGAUCAGAAGAUGAUCGGACAGCACUACGACUUGCAGAAGUAGUAAUCCUCAGCAGAUCUGGAAGAUCUUCACAAAAAUCGAACUUCUCGCGGGCAGAGCUUCGGCUCGGGAACCGCACUUCUCGGGAUCUUCGGGAUCUCGGGACUUGCCUCGGGGCUCGAGUAUGAUACCGGGGCUUCGGGGUAUUUCUGGCACGCAAAACGAUGCAAAACGGGAGAGAGAAGAGAGAAAAUGAACAAAAGAAUCGGCUGCCUUCGGAUCCUAUUUAUAGGAGGCUGAAGCCUCGGAGUACGCGAGGUGUACUGGUCCGAAAAACGUCACUGCUUACGUAUCCGAAGACUCGAGUGCGAAUGUCGACAUCCCUCGGUGUACGCGGGGCGUACUUCGGAUCGGAUUGCUGACUCCCCUUCGGAUAAUACCGGAUUUUCUAAUAAAAAUUAAAUACAAAUUAUUUAAUAAACUUCGGAAAUUCAUCUCUUCUUCAUACGAACUCCGUUUUCGACGUUCUUUAUAUCCACGCGAAGGUGAGACUACGCUCUACAACUUUCGUUUAGACUCCGUCGGCUAAUUUUAACUUUAUUUUUAUUAUUUAUUUUUAAUAGGCCGGGACAGAAAAACUUCGUUAUAAAUUCAUAACUUCUUCGUUUGACGUCCGUUCUCGCCUAACUUUUUAUCGCUUCGAGACCAACAACGAGACCUUCGAUCCUCGUUUAGGUUGCUUCGGCUCAAAACCGCUCGAUCUCAAAUCGAGUAUUUCGGGCUGCACACCGCUAAACCGAAACUUCGAUAAAUCAUAACUUCCUCAUACGAAGUCAGAUUUGGGCGUUCUAUAUAUACAUUCGUAAACCUCGUUUCAACUACUACAUCAUCAACCAAAGAUAUCAAGUUUAUUUUACACUUUAAUUUUGACGCUUAUUUUUAUUCUUAAUUAAUCAAACCACAUAAUUAAGCAAUUAAGCACAAAACACAUAAUACUCAAAUAAUACAAUCAUAUUAUUUCAAAACGGGUUACAAAGGUUAACUUAGACUAUUACAUUGCUAAAAAUGGCAAGCCCGGAAACACAGGCGUUACAGAUACCUCAACAUUUUAUGUCAAAUAAGGCAACCAUGAGGGGGAUGGAGUACACCUGGUGAACACUGAGUCCAAAUAAACACCUACAGGUUGCGAGCCUGCUAGCGUCCCAUUGGACUGUCUAGAAAAGUCUAUGGUCGUCAUCUAUACUCCGCUAGAUGACUAGAUCAUCGUCAAUAUCGAGGCCUCUCAUCAUUUUAUUUCAUCACACGCCAACUAUUUCAUCUACCCACGUUUUACCCAACAUAUUUGUAGACAUAAAUUACAUAUACAAUUCAGAUCUAAAAAACAAAAUNUAUAUAUAUAGUUUAGAUCUGAAAAGAAAAGUCUAGAUCUGAAAUGAGAAAGUUUGGAUUUGAAGGAAACAGUUCAGAUCUGAAAGAAAGAGUUUAGAUUUGAAAGAAAAGUUCAUAUCUAAAAAGAAAAAGGUUUAGAUCUUUCUUCCAACAUAGAUCUCAGGUAAACAGAUAAUAUAUAUACACAUAACACGUAAUUUAUAUAAAAUAGUUUAGAUCUGAAAAGAAAAGUCUAGAUCUGAAAUGAGAAAGUUUGGAUUUGAAGGAAACAGUUCAGAUCUGAAAGAAAGAGUUUAGAUUUGAAAGAAAAGUUCAUAUCUAAAAAGAAAAAGGUUUAGAUCUUUCUUCCAACAUAGAUCUCAGGUAAACAGAUAAUAUAUAUACACAUAACACGUAAUUUAUAUAAAAUAUUUCAUAUUUAUGUGUAAGAAGAAAGUAAAUACACACUCACAUGAUAAGGUGGCGAUUCGGACAACGUUUUGCUUCUUAAAAUAAUCUCCAUUGAUGAAACCGGGAAGUUUGGUUGAAAACCGGGCUCUGCGGGGGGGCAAAGUUUCUAAACCGAAAAACUCUUUUUCUCGGAGACUUCGGGCGCUCCGGGGCUUUCUUCUAGUGCUAAGGAGGUCCCCUAGGCUUCGGGGGUGUUUAGGGUGGAUAGAGAGAGAAAGAGAGAGAGAGAGAGAGAGAGAGAGAGAGUAGAGUAGAGAGUGAAAGAAGUGUGAAAUAUGUGAGAAAACAUGGCUAGCCUCGCAUCCUAUUUAUAGUCAGGAGGUCUCGCAUUACGUUGGGCGUUCCUCGGUCUACAUGGGGUGUUCCUCGGUACGCAGGGCGUACCCUCGUACGCGGUACGGUUUGCGAGGUUCGGAUUUGUCACCCUUCAGAUGGAGCUAUGUGGCCAAUUCCGGACCUAGCCUUUGCGAACGCGGGGUGUUCUCUUCGGAUAGCCUCGAAAUAUGUACCUCUUACUUCAAAAAUUCAUAUAUUUUGCAUACGAGCUCCGUUUUCGACGUUAUUUAUAUCCACGCGUAGGCAGGACCGUACUCUACAACUUUUGUUUAGACUCAGUUGGCUAAAUUUGACUUUAUUUUUAAAGUUAUAUUUUUAACAGGCCGGGACAGGAAAAGUCUAUUAAAAAUUCAUAACUUCUUCAUCCGACGUCCGUUUUCGUUUUUCUUUUAACCGUUGAACUACUAUUGACGAGAUCUUCGAUUCUUGUUUAGGUUGUGUCGGAUAAAAAUCCCUCGAUUAUAAUUCGAGCUACGGGCUGCACACUGCUAUGCUAAAUCUUAGAAAAUUCAUAACUUCCUCGUACCAAGUCAGAUUUGGACCUUCUUUUUAUGCACGCUCUUGAUUUAACGUAUACUAGGAUUUUCAUUUAGAUCGCUAAGGCUAAAAUGCACUUUAUCGUAAACUCACUUUUUACGUCACGCAAUAUCGUGCUAGUUUUGUCGUGAAACUUUAACAGGUCAUAACUUUUUUGUGAUAACUUGGAUUUCGGCAUUCUUUAUAUGUCCGAAAUCCUUGUCACGACCACUACAACUUUCUUCAUAGAUAUCAGAUUUAUAUAACAUUUUAUUUUUGAUGCUUAUUUUCAUUCUUAAUUUAUUAUAUCAUUAUAAAUAAGUAUAUAAUCACAUAAAAUCACGUAAUUCACAUAAUAUUCAAGUAAUUCAUCUUUAUUACUUUAAAAUAGGUUACAAUAGUUGACCUUGACUAUUACAUCAUCAUACUAAUGUUUAGCCCAGAAACAAGGGCAUUAGAACGAGUAUGUUACUAGGGAGAAGAGAAAGAAAAAGAGAAACGGAAAACAUGAAGGUUUCACGAGAACUUCUCACUGAUAUCACUAUUCCCGUCGGUAACGUCAUGGACAUUGCCGGUGAUAAGGUUACCUCGUUACCAGAGGCAUUUUCGGUGAAAAACGACAUGAGUGAAGCUUUUCAUCGGAGUUGAUAGAGAGAAAAAGAGUAACACGGAAGAGGGAAGAAUGAAGUCGCUAAGGGUAUUAUUCGUGUCACACUUUAGCAACGAUACCAUUUAGUGGUGUCGAAAGACAUUUGUGGCAACUCGAAACGUAAUAGUCGCGACACACUUUUGAGGGAAUAAUUGGCAGAGGGUUCGAGUAUUAGCGGUGACACCGUUGCUGGUAUUAGUUAGUGGUGUGUAUGGGGCGGUUUGGUUCGGUUAUUGGUUAAAACCGAACCAUAACGAUUAUGAUUGGUUAAUGCAUUUUGGUAGCCAUUGGGUAUGGUUAAUAUUGGUUAUGGUUAGUAGUUUUUAUCGGUUAACGGUUUUGGUUAAUGGUUAAUAUUGGUUAACCAUAAUGUUCAAAAUAAUAUAAACGACGAAAGUAUUUUGGCAUGAAAAAUGAAAAUAAAAUACCAAAAAGUCCUCGACGCCGAUGUUUGUAACCUAACUUAUAGUAAUAUAAUAAAAUGUGUAUCUGUAAUACUUAGAGUGAGAUAACACAUAGUCACAUUUAAAAUCAAAAAUAUUUAAUAAAAAUAUAAAACAUUAAAAAAAUUGACAUUAAUAAUUUCAUAUAUUGAUAAUUGAUAUUAAUAUUAAAAUAAAGUCAAACAUUCAUACACGUUCAAUACGAUUAAAUUAAAACUAUUAAAUAAAAAAGCCAAACAUUCAUAUUCUGUGUUAUUAGAUAUAAAAAAAAAAAAAAGUCAAUCACUCAUCUACAUUCAAUGUGAUUAAGUCAAAAACACUAAAAAAAUUCAAAAAAUUAAAAAAAAAUACAUUCUUAAUAUAUCACAUAGUUAAAAAGAACCAAAAACUUAACUUACCUAGAAGUCUUGAGUAUAAAGUCAAAAAAAUCCUUCGAAUAGGACUAUAAAGUCCAAACAAUCUUUGAUUAUGAUUAACGGUGUGAGAAGCCUUCGAUUAGGAUUAUGAGUGUGAAGAUUAAACUAAUUGUGAAUAAUGUUUACAAAUUGUAGAAUUAGCCGAUUAUGAAUUACAACAUUAAUUAAUAAUCUAACUCAAUGUAUGAUUGGAAGAUUAUGUGUGUCUGAGUGAUCAGUCUUUGAUGAUUUGAUUGCUCGUUCGUCUCCUGGUAAGUGAAGAUUAAUAGAUUAUAUUUUCAAAAUUUUAAUGGAUCUUAAAUAAGUUUGACUAUAUNUCUCUUUCUCUCUCUCUCUCUCUAUAUAUAUAUAUAUAUAUAUAUAUAUAUAUUAAAAUAUAAAGUUAGCGGUUCGGUUAAUAAUGGUUCGGUUAACCUAUAAAACCAUAACCGAACCGUUAGUUAUUGGUUAACAAAAAUUAGAAACCGAACCAACGGUUUUUAAAAUGGUUCGGUUAUAACGGUUAAUUUGGUUUUGGUUCGGCUUUUCGGUUAUUAUGCUCACCCCUAGUAUUAGUUUCGCCGUUAUUGUUAUGUACGAAAUCAUUUUUCAAGUGUUGGAUUAUGACAAAAUCGACGAAUAGGGUUUAACCUCAGAUUUUGACGCGGAUCGGGGUUGAUGAGUUUCGCCUUUAGCGGUGACAACCACCAUUACAACGAGACCUAAUCUAAAUGUUGGGUAUCGCUUGUAAUGGUGGUUGUCGCAACUAAAGGAUUCGCCACUGAAGUCCUAUAUUGUUGUAGUGAUAAAUGUUAAACCUAAACACCAAUUUAAACACACCAACCACUAGAAAUUGGUGGCGACAAGUUCAUGGCAUUAAGAGCGAUAACAAAUGGUGUAUAAAUCCAUUAUGAUCUUCGUUGCGAUUUAACAGAACAUAUUUGGACGGUUAAUGAUUUUGAAGCUCAAUUUUGGAACAAUUUUUUUUUUGAUCCAUCAUGUUAUUAAGUUUUAAGUUUUUAAUUUUUUGAGUUGUUAUGGUUUAGUUUCUUGUUGUGUAAUUUUUAUUUUGAUUUAAUAUAAAAUUUAGUUUUUAAAAAAUUAAUUGCUAAAAAAAGUACUGAUGUUAAAAAAAUGAUGUUAAUCCGCCUAACCUAAAUGUAAAUGGUAUGUUGAAGACGGUGUGUAGCAAAAUCAAAUAUAAGCUGCUGGUUGAUGCAUCGGGUAUUGUAUUACGUGAGGUUGAUAGUUUGAUUUGUUGAAAUUAUCUUUUGUGUGUUUGAGAAUUCUUUUAUGGAAGUCCCUAUAAAAAGGAGUUCAAACUCAAAUGUUGGUUGAAAUAUUGCGAGUACACUUCACUUAAUUUGAUUGCGGUUAGGAAGCAAUUUAAUUUCUCAAAAGAUUAAAUGCCACUAAUAAAUUAAAAAAAUAAACUAAAAAUCAACACCAAAUUAAUGCCAAAGCUUUAAACCAUAUAUUACUAAAUUAAUUCACAUACGCCAUCAAAAAAAAAUUCAUGUCACAAACCCAUACUCAUAAAACUCACUUUCCAGGUACAAAGUUUGUAGCAUAUGACCAUGCAUUGUUUGCAACAGGGUCAGCAAGGUGGUCAGCGAGGUUCUCCAAUGGUCCCUUUCCGGUAACAAUGGCUUGAACAAAGAAUCCAAACAUAGAGAACAUGGCUAGUCUACCGUUCUUGAGCUCCUUCACUUUCAGCUCAGCAAAUGCCUCUGGGUCAUCAGCCAGACCCAAUGGGUCGAAGCUACCACCAGGGUAAAGUGGGUCAACUACCUCACCAAGAGGUCCACCAGCAAUUCUGUAACCUUCAACUGCACCCAUCAAGAUCACUUGGGUAGCCCAGAUGGCUAAAAUGCUUUGUGCAUGGAUCAAACUUGGGUUCCCCAAGUAGUCAAGACCACCCUCACUAAAGAUCUGGGAUCCAGCCUUGAACCAUACAGCCUCACCAAACUUGACACCAUUACGCGCCAAGAGUUCGGGGAAGACGCACCCAAGAGCUCCGAGCAUGGCCCAUCUGCUGUGGAUGACCUCAAGCUCACGGUUCUUGGCGAAUGUUUCAGGAUCAGCAGAGAGCCCAGCAGUGUCCCAACCGUAGUCACCGGGGAACUCACCGGUCAGGUAAGAUGGGGCUUCGCCGGAGAAUGGGCCAAGGUACUUAACACGGUCGGGGCCGUACCAUGGACUUCCUGAUGGUGCGACUUUCUUGACUGCUGUCUUCCUCAUGGAAACCCUUCCAUUUCCGGUGAUUUCUGAACCAGAUGGUGUUAUUUUCACUGCUUGUCCGAUGAAUGAAGAAGAUACAGACAUAGUGGAAGCUGCCAUUCUGUUAAAUUUGGUUGAAAGAUGUUGUGGAGAUAGGAGAGUUUGAGUUAUGAAGAUGGGGAGAUCUGCAAGUUUAUUUAUAAGGUGGUUUUUUGGUCAGAUAGAUAUGAUCGAUGCUUAUCUAGAUACAAUCUUCACCUUCAUUUUGAUUGGCAAACAACAUUCUAGUUUUAUCUAAGGGUCAGUAAUCUGCGUGCUGUGAGUUCUCUGGUCCACCAGAGAUUUUUGAAGGGGCUGCGGUAUAUUCAUGGCUCUGGUUUAUUGAGGGAAUGUAAUGGCUCCCAUUCUCAGCCACAAGCUGUUCUUGGUGGGGUUUUUCAUCUUUAACCAUUUUACAUUUUCACAAAGUUACAUAAAUAGUCAUCAUGCUUUACAAAGUCACCGGUUCAGCAACAAACUUUUUUUCCAUGAUUAAAAAUUCAAAACGGUCCGUAUGGUUUUAAUAUUAUUAGUAAUCAUCUUAACAUUUCUAAUUUUUAAAGACAAAUAUUCAUAUAAAUGGUUAUGUGAUUUUCCAGAAUAUCAAGUGGAGCACAUCAUUUUUUCGGUCUUAUGGAAUGACUAUUUGGUUUCAAUUCCUAUCAUAAUUGAUCUUAGAGCAUCCACAAUAGGGGAGUUUAAUGGAAGAGUUGAAUGAGGUGUCAUGCCUACUUGUCAUUCAAUGGAUACAACUCCACCAUUGUGAAAUGCCACCUUGGCAUUCAAUGAAUUUGGAGUUCAAUGGUCAUUGAACUCUUCAAUGGGAAAAAGGAAAAUCUUUAAAUCUUUAAAUAAAUAUUUUUUAAUAUAUUCCAUUGAACUUGUAGAGUUUAAUGCAUUGUGGGAUAAAAAUGAAAAGAGUUGUAUGGAAUAAUGAAUGAUGACGUGACACUCCAUUGAACUCUAUAGAGUUCAAUGCAUUGUAGAUGCCCUUAGUCCCACAUAAAUAAACUUUUAUACCCUUCUAUAUUAUAAUUAGUUUAUUUAAUAUAUAAAUAGCUAUGUUUUAUAGUUAACAAUAAAUUUUGUUCAUNNNNNNNNNNNNNNNNNNNNNNNNNNNNNNNNNNNNNNNNNNNNNNNNNNNNNNNNNNNNNNNNNNNNNNCUCUCUCUCUCUCUCUCUCUCUCUCCCAUCACACCCUCCUAAUCUUUAUUUCUUUCACUCGAUCGGUCAACCUCUUUUCUUUCUACAUAAAAAUUAAUCCAAAAUGCAGCCUUUUCCCAUACUCUGUGCUUGCACCGCCACUUUACCUUCUUGAAACCAAAUUACUAACCAUACACAAGUCUACAAAUCUACUAAUGUGUCUUCCAUUUCUCAAAAUCGAAAAAUAGAGAAGGUGUAGAACAUUGAGCUCACUUCUGUGCAUCUCCCACCUCUUUUACACAAAUAUGAAAUUAAAAUUGAAGAACAACUUUGUGAAGAACCUAGAUUGUGGAGAUGAUGAUGAAUAAAGUCGAUAGUUGGUGGUGCUCGGUGAUGUUUGAUGUUAGCGGCAGUACACUAGUGUUGUGGUGAUCGCCUGUUCAGUUGGUUAUAUUCUGGUAGGGUGGACGAUGGUGACCGUAGAACAGUUCAUAUAUAUAUNNNNNNNNNNNNNNNNNNNNNNNNNNNNNNNNNNNNNNNNNNNNNNNNNNNNNNNNNNNNNNNNNNNNNNNNNNNNNNNNNNNNNNNNNNNNNNNNNUAUAUAUAUAUAUAUAUAUAUAUGUGUGUGUGUGUGUGUGUGUGUGUGUGUGUGUGUGUGCGCGCGCACACUACAAGAAAUUUAGGUGUUUAUCCACACACGUUAUAUGUGGCUAAAAGACCUUUAUGUGUAGUUAUCUUUAGCUACACACAGAUUAAGUGUCAUAAUGUAUUGACUCAUGCCUAUAGAUAUAUAUCAUUAACUAUACAUUCAUUAUGUGGAAGUAUAGUGCAAUUAGUACACACAUACAUGUGUGGUUAAAACUAGUAAGUAUGUGCAUAUAGAAAGGGAGCUGAUCCGUUCACAACAAUUUUUCUCCAUACACAAUAAUUGAUGCUUUAAAAUGUUGUAUUAUACAACUAUAUAAUGCAUGAAUUGUUGUGUAUGGCAAAAAACUGUUGUGUACGAAUCACUUCCCAUAUAGAAGUACUAAAAAUUGUUUGAGUUGUCAACGAUGUGGCUGAUGACAUGUCAAAUUAUGUGGCAAGCCCACACAAAGUGUUGGUGAUAUGUGUUAUUCGAUAUGUGUGGGUAAUAAUUGUUAUAUGUGUAGGUUAAGAUAAGAUAUAUGAAAUAUAUAAAACACAAUAAAUGAAAUAUAAAAUUUAACAACACAAAUUGUUAUUACUUUUAAUAAGGAGUUAACGAUAUAUAAAACUUCUUUUGGAAUGGAAGUAUGUAGCACCCAAAGUCAGAAAGGCCAAGAAAGGAAAGGAAACCCUAAGUUUAAGGGACGACUCAGCAAGUCCAAGGAGGUACUCGGCGAGUCCGAGCGGGAUCCGGGUCGAGGAGUAAAUGACCGACUCGGCGAGUCGGCCAAGGAGACUCGGUGAGUCUGGUCUGUACGAGGAAAUCCCUAAAUUCGGGACUUGGAGCCUAUUUAAGCGCCUCAUUCUCUUCUCUAGGGUUCCUCUACUGCCUCUCUAACCNCUCAACCCCACCCCCGCCCCGCCAUAUCCAUUGUUGAGCCAAUUAUUGCUUUGAAGAGUGCAUUAAAGCUUGGAGAAGGAAGAAGGACCUUGGAGGUGCAAGAAGGAGCUAUAGAUCUGGGCUUGGGAAGAUAUUUCUGAACAUUUGGAGGUAAUAAACUAGUUCUUGGACUCCUUUGCACCUAGAUCUAUGUGUGAGUUUUGGGGCUUUUGGCCAUGAUUGGUACCCAUUUAAGUUAGAAGCCAGAUCUAAAGUUGCUACUUCGGAUAUAAGCAUAUUAUGGGCUUGUGAAGCAUAAAGUAUCAGCCCUUGAGUUGAUUAUGGAGCCUCUUUGCAUUAAACCCUAUUUUAUGGUGUGUCUAGCCUAGAUCUCCUUCUCUACACGUAAAGUUUGCAACUUUACGUGAGGAAUAGGCUUGGGAAGGGUAGAUCUACAGUUUGGGGUCCAUGCAUGACUCAAAAGUCCUCUACAUGUAUGUAGAUCUGAAUGGACUCGGCGAGUCCUUUGAGUGGACUCGGGGAGUAGCAUGAAGAUUAGGAGGAACUCAACGAGUGGGAUGAACAGCUCAUCGAGUCGGAUGAAGUUGGGCAGGAACUCGGCGAGUUGGAAGAACAACUCGGAGAGUCGGUUGAAGAUUGCCUUGGACUAGGUGAGUCUGUUCUUGGACUCGGCGAGUCAGGUCGCGAAACCCUAAACCCUUCGACUUGAGACUCGAAUCAGUGAGUCGAGUGGAGACUCGGUAAGUUGGACAGGUCAGGACUCGGAAAUCGGUAGACUCGGCGAGUCAUGGACUGACUCGGUGAGUCGAGUCGCGAUUGGAAGGACUUAGAGCAUAUGAACUCGGCGAGUCAAUAGGUAGACUCGGCGAGUAGGGUUGACCUGGAAGAUUGACUUUGAACAGGACUUUGACUUUGACCAGAGUUGACUUAGUUGACUGUUGGGGGUCAGUUAGUCUAAGUGUUUCAUUGAUAUUGGUAGCUCGGGGAGCUAGUGGAGCAGGAGUUCAGAGAGUUUCCGGGCAGCAUCCAGAAGGUUAUCAGCAUGUUCAGCAAGUGCAUGUGAGUUUCCCUUUGUGCCAAUGGGUCUACGGUCACAAUGUCGGCCCAUGUAGUUAUGAGUAGAAGACCCGGGGGUUAGCCCUAGGCACAGUAUGCUAGUAUGAUAUUCAGGACGAGGUCCAAUGAUAGCGGGCGGGUGCCCAAGGAAUGGUUUAUGUGAUAGUUUAUACUUGUUGUAUGUGUGAUACUUGUAUGUGUCUGGUAGGGAGGUGAGUGUGGGCGAGGUCCCGUAUCUCACCAAUAGCAGAGUGUGGAUGGUGUUCCACAUCUCAGUAGCAGCAGAGCAGGGGCGAGGCCCAAGUUAGGGAAGGAGUGAGGGUGGGCUGGGCCCGUACCUCACUAUCAGCAGGAGUAUGGACGGGGUUCCAUGACUCAUCAGUAGCAGGACAAGGGCGGGGCCCAGAGAUAGGCGAGGCCUUAGGACAAGAUCCGUUAGUAUGUGUUUAGCUUAUGUGAUGUGAUGUGAUAUGUUUAUGUGCUAUUAUAUGUUAGUGGGCGAGGCCCUGUGACAGGCGAGGCCUAAGUGAAACAGAUCUGUAUCCGAGCGGGGCUCGAAGCCAGGCGGGGCCUGGAGCGGCGGGGCCGUUGUAGCGGGCGAGGCCCGAGGUAGGGGGGGAGGCCCAGGAUAGCGGGCGUGGCCCAGCGUGUGCAGUAUGUGGUUAUGCAUGGUAUGUGGUAGGGUGGGGAACUCACUAAGCUUCGUGCUUACGGUUUUCAGUUUUGGUUUCAGGUACUUCCGGUAGCGGAGGGAAGAGCUCGGGGGUGAUCGCAUGGCACACACCAUAGAUUAGACAGUCUGGGAAUGUUUUACUCUGACAAUGAACAUGUGUUUUGGAAAAUUAAUACUCUGAUUAUGUUUUGAAUUGGUGACCUUGCUUAAAGAAAUCUUUUAUUAAAAGAAAUUUUUAGUCAUGAAUUUUGGGACGUUACAAGUUGGUAUCAGAGCCUUGGUUUGAGGGAUUCGGGCAUACUCUCGGGUGUGCCUGAACUCAAACUAAGGGGUCGGAUAAAAAGUUUUCAAAAUGAAAAGACAGUUUUCUAAAAAGAGAGUUUUGGGAAAGAAAACAGUUUUAGAAAAGCAAAAAGAAUUCAGAAAGAAAAGAACUUUGAAAAGAAAAAAAUGGUGUGGUGCAUGCAAUCAGCUGGUCUUAAGUAAGUACCCCAAAUUACCCAUACAAGUUUAUGUUAUGAUUAUCAGUUAGUAGAACAGCAUGCUAGAUUAGGACUAAGGAUCUAGGGAGGAUGCCUUAUGUGCCUAUUAUAUGUGCUUUGAGUUGCAUGAUAGUGUUGAUUAGACAGUGGUAGGAUAGCCUGUUUAGGUUAUGCCUGAGUAUAUGAGUUUGUGUUGCAUGCUAGUUCAGAUUCUUGCUAUGUGGAUAUGAUUGCUUAUGUAUGUUAUGGUUAGAUUUUCCCCUUGUCUGAAUGCUGCCUGCUUUGUGCAAUAUGGGAUUCCGAGUGAUGGGAGUAACCAUUAGGUGGAUACGUCACGUCACAUGUGAUCAGGGUUGAAUAAUCUCAGAGUGCUAAAUUUGGCCCUAUUUCGCAGCUCUCGUUUGAGUCCAACCAUUGUAGGGAUGAGUCUUUUACUCGAAGAAUUAUCUGAGCCUUGUCACAUGUGAUGGUGUCCAGUUGAUGGCCAAUUGGCAUCACAAGGAGUCCUUCAGCAGCUGAGGCCUGGUUUGGUGUGAGUCAGAGGUUUCCUUAGGGUAAGCCUAGGAUGAGAUAGUGUUGGGAGCAGUAGUAGUGGAUAAGGGACCUGGUGGAGUCGAAGCAAUUCCNGAGGAAAGUACAGAUAGAUAUGGAUGGUAGUAUGGGCCCGUACUACUGAAAGCAGAGGAUCCGUACUCGAUUCGGGAAAGGCUGAGACAAGACCGAGAACCUAGUAGGGUGAGUGUGUGUCUGGUCUCACAGCAGUGAUAAGUAUUCUGAUAGAGGAUGUAUUAUAUAUUCAGCAUGGUGACAUUGCGAGAGAGACCAGUGGGUGGACCAGGCGCCGGAGAGGGAUCGCUCGGGGUCNAGCAGCUCGAGGAGCGGAUGAGGGAGUUGAUAUCAGCUGAGGUUACGCGCAGUAUUCUAGAUCAGACUCCUGUGAUCUUUGGCACGGUCAAGGAGGGUAUAUUGGAGAUUUUGGAUGAGAGGCUGGGAGCCUUCCGUACCGAGAUGAUGGCAUUGAUGGGAGCACGUACCUUGACAUUUCGAGAGUUCAGGGCUUGCGGGGCACCAGAUUAUCAUGGGGCUAGGGACCCCAUCGCUAGCAGCAGAUGGUUGGUUGAUGUUGCCAAUGCAUUCCGUACGAGCCGGUGUCCUGAGGGGGACAAGGUUAGGCUCGCUUCUUGUCUUCUGAAGAACAGAGCAAGGGAUUGGUGGGAGGAGAUUAGUCAUGCCUUGGGGGAUGAUGUCGCGUUGGAUGCGAUGACUUUGAGCGAUUUCUCGUCCAGGUUCAGGGCGGAGUUUUCGCCGAUUAUUGAGGUGCAGCAGUUGCCACAGGAGUUUCAGGAUUUGACGCAGACCACUGAGACUGUGGCGGAGAUCACCGCCAAGGUCAGGGAGAGGGCUCUUCUUGUACCGCAGUGUGUCGCGGAUGAGGAGAUGAAGAAGGCCCGAUACCAUGAGAUGUUGAGGGAUGAUAUCAGGGUGUUCGUGAUCAGGUCCAGCUGUAAGACGCUAGAAGAUAUGAUUUCUCGAGCUAGAGAGAGGGAAAUUGAUUUGGAGCAGAUCCGGAAGAGGAAGCCGGAUGAGGUUUAGGUAGCCACAGGUUCGGGCAAAAGGCCUAAGGGAUCAGAUUCGAGAUCGAGGGAUUAUCAGGACCGCAGUCGGUGCGGGAAGUGUGGCAGGGCGCACAGGGGUGCGUGUAGGAGUGGUAGCGGUGGUGAUUCUGGCUGCUUCAAGUGCGGUCGGACUGGUCAUUUCAGUAGAGAUUAUACUGUUACCACCACACAGGGAUCAGACUUGAUAUGUUUUCACUGCAAUCAGCGGGGCCACAAGAAGGCCCAGUGCCCCAGUUUGUUUUCAAUAGGACGGGUGAUGACACUUGCCCCUGCAACUUUGAGGAUCACAGACGGCCGUCAGGGCCGUGCAGAGGCGCCUGCGGUAGGAGGCAGGUCUUUUCAGAUGACUACCUUGGAGGCGCGAGCAGCACCGGACGUUGUAGGUAUGCGAUUUUGUUUUCAGUUCUUUUAUUUGUGCAUGAUUAUAUUGUUAUGGUUCUGGAUCAUCAUUGGUUUGAGUAUUUUAUUUUUUGAGCGGUUGAUUGUGAUCGAGUUAUAUGCCAUCUUAAUACCUUGGAUAUUUGAAUGGUAGUUAGGAGAUGUGCUCUAUUAGAGAAGGUUUCAUAGGAUGCAGUAAUUGUAGCAUGCCUGGGAGGGACUUGGUAUGUCUCGCUAGAUCGGAGUUGUAUAAUGUUAGAGAUGGAUUGGUUAGAUCCCUAGCUAUGGUGAGCUUGGGUUCCUCAGCAGCUUGAUUAUGGAAUGGUAGCAAGGAUUGGGAUUCUUUUGAGUAUUGAGCAGCAAGGGGUAAGCAGGAUCGAAGUGGGGGAGAAUCCUCCGAGUGUGCAAAGGUAGGAUCACGCAGACCCAAAAUGAGUGCGCGACCUCCGAGAAGGAAAAGAAGUAGUUCAGCGUUUGAUGGAUUGAGGAUUUCAGGGUUGGGAUUUUGAGAAACUCCCCAUCAGCUAGUGCGUGUGAUGGUGAUGGUUAGUAUGUGGUUGGGAAUUCAGGUUGUGGAUCGCCCGUAGGACUCGAGGGAGUCGGAAUGAGGAUCUUGAGAGCUAAUGGCACAUGGGUGCCUUCGUAUUAGCAGUCAGUGGUAGAAAGUGAUGUAAGACUACGGGGCAGCCGUAGCAUUCACUAACAGUUAGUGGUAGAAAGUGAUGUAAGACUACGGGGCAACUAUAACACUCACUAGUAGUCAGUGGUGGAAGUGUUGUAAGACUACGGGGCAACCAUAGCAUUCACUAGCAGUCAGUGAUGGAUGGUGAUGUAAGACUACUAGUAAGCCGUAGCAUUCCUUAGUAGCUUCGUUAGCGGAGUUGGGGCGAGGCCCUUAUCUCCUAGCGAUCAGAUAGGGAUCAGGAAUGGGUAGUGGAUGAAAGUGAUAGGAAGUUUGCUUGUAUAGCCCUAGAGAGGUGAGACCUUGGGAGAGGCCGCUCCAGGAUAUAGUUGGGUGAGGCCUGUGGGCGAGGCCCGUAUGAGAGUAGCGGUAUAGGUGAGACCUGAGAGUAGGGUUGCUCAGUAGUAUGGCCGGGUGAGACCCGUAGGCGAGGCCCGAGAGAGAGUGGUUAGACAAGUAGGACUAGAAGGAUAGAGGCGGGGGGGACCCGUGGGCGAGGCCCGUGUGUUUUAGCGGCAUAGGGGGGACCUGGUAAGGACCUUAGUGUCAAGAUAAGGGAUCGGGGAUCCAUGGAUUGUAGUGACUGAAUGGCAGAAUAGAUUGCGCAGUUAUAGGUGGUCAAAGUUCCUUCGAAAGUCGCUGGGAGCGACUAGGAGUAGUGUUGGGACUAGCGACCGGUGGGAUCCGGUAAUCCAGAUAUUGGUAGGACGGUAGGGAUUAGGGUGGUCUCAGUUCAUCCGGAAGGCAGAUAAGGAAUAGCAGAAUUUUCAGUCAGUAGUAGUGCGGGUAAGCAGUGUAUGGUGGAAUUCAGUUAGUUGUAUCGAGGGGUGCUCGACACCAAGUUUUGACAGAGAGGAGUGUCAGUGGUUACUGGCGGUGAUGACCUGUACUGGAAGUAGCGGGGGUGAUGGAGUUGGCGAAGGAUAUGACCUUCACAGUGACAGAGGAAAUAGUUGGUUAUGGAGCAUUGCCUUGGGAAGGCAAGGAAUUCGCACAAGGAAAGAAGGGGUGAACCCCUAUAGGUUCAGUACAGUACUCGGUGAGUACCGGAAGGAUUGUCGGUUGAGUAAGUUGUGUUUCCAGGAUGUUCAGGGUCAGGGUGACCUGAGUCUAUUAUCCGCAAGGAAUGAUGUUAGUCAGAAUGACCGGGCGGAAGACCAGCGAAGGUAGGCAGCUGGUGUUGGAAUGAUUAGUUGGGUAUUGAAAGCAUAUCGCAGGCAGUGGCCCAUAGCAAACUUCGAGGAUGAAGUUUAGUUUAAGUGGGGGAGAGUUGUAACACCCAAAGUCAGAAAGGCCAAGAAAGGAAAGGAAACCCUAAGUCUAAGGGAUGACUCAGUAAGUCCAAGGAGGAACUCGGCGAGUCCGAGCGGGAUCCGGGUCGAGGAAUAAGUGAACGACUCGGCGAGUCGGCCAAGGAGACUCGGUGAGUCUGGUCUGUACGAGGAAAUCCCUAAAUUUGGGACUUGGAGCCUAUUUAAGCGCCUCAUUCUCUUCCCUAGGGUUCCUCUACUGCCUCUCUAACCCAGAACACCAAACCCUAGCCGCCAUAUCCGUUGUUGAGCCAAUUAUUGCUUUGAAGAGUGCAUUAAAGCUUGGAGAAGGAAGAAGGGCCUUGGAGGUGCAAGAAGGAGCUAUAGAUCUGGGCUUGGGAAGAUAUUUCUGAACAUUUAAAGGUAAUAAACUAGUUCUUGGAAUCCUUUGCACCAAGAUCUAUGUUGAGUUUUGGGGCUUUUGGCCAUGAUUGGUAUCCAUUUGAGUUAGAAGCCAGAUCUAAAGUUGGAACUUCGGAUCUAAGCAUAUUUUGGCCUUGUGAAGCAUAAAGUAUCAGCCCUUGAGUUGAUUAUGGAGCCUCUUUGCAUUAAACCCUAUUUUAUGGUGUGUUUAGCCUAGAUCUCCUUCUCUACACGUAAAGUUUGCAACUUUACGUGAGGAAUAGGCUUGGGAAGGGUAGAUCUACAGUUUGGGGUCCAUGCAUGACUCAAAAGUCCUCUACAUGUAUGUAGAUCUGAAUGGACUCGACGAUUCCUUUGAGUGGACUCGGCGAGUAGCAUGAAGAUUAGGAGGAAUUUGACGAGUGGGAUAAACAGCUCGUCGAGUCAGAUGAAGUUGGGCAGGAACUCGGCGAGUUGGAAGAACAACUCGGCGAGUCAGUUGAAGAUUGCCUUGGACUUGGCGAGUCUGUUCUUGGACUCGGCGAUUCAGGUCACGAAACCCCAAACCCUUCGAGUUGAGACUCGAAUCAGUGAGUCGAGUGGAGACUCGGUGAGUUGGACAGGUCAGGACUCGGAAAUCGGUAGACUCGGCGAGUCGAGUCGCGAUUGGAAGGACUUUGAGCAUAUGAACUCGGCGAGUCAAUAGGUAGACUCGGCGAGUAGGGUUGACCUAGAAGAUUGACUUUGACCAGGACUUUGACUUUGACCAGAGUUGACUUAGUUGACUGUUGGGGGUCAGUUAGUCUAAGUGUUUCAUUGAUAUUGGUAGCUCGGGGAGCUAGUGGAGCAGGAGUUCAGAGAGUUUCUGGGCAGCAUCCAGAAGGUUAUCAGCAUGUUCAGCAAGUGCAUGUGAGUUUCCCUUUGUGCCAAUGGGUCUACGGUCACAAUGUCGGCCCAUGUAGUUAUGAGUAGNGGAAGGUUGACUUUGACCAGGACUUUGACUUUGACCAGAGUUGACUUAGUUGACUGUUGGGGGUCAGUUAGUCUAAGUGUUUCAUUGAUAUUGGUAGCUCGGGGAGCUAGUGGAGCAGGAGUUCAGAGAGUUUCUGGGCAGCAUCCAGAAGGUUAUCAGCAUGUUCAGCAAGUGCAUGUGAGUUUCCCUUUGUGCCAAUGGGUCUACGGUCACAAUGUCGGCCCAUGUAGUUAUGAGUAGAAGACCCGGGGGUUAGCCCUAGGCACAGUAUGCUAGUAUGAUAUUCGGGACGAGGUCCAAUGAUAGAGGGCGGGUGCCCAAGGAAUGGUUUAUGUGAUAGUUUAUACUUGUUGUCUGUGUGAUACUUGUAUGUGCCUGGUAGGGAGGUGAGUGUGGGCGAGGUCCCGUAUCUCACCAAUAGCAGAGUGUGGAUGGUGUUCCACAUCUCAGUAGCAGCAGAUCAGGGGCGAGGCCCAAGUUAGGGAAGGAGUGAGGGUGGGCUGGGCCCGUACCUCACUAUCAGCAGGAGUAUGGACGGGGUUCCAUGACUCAUCAGUAGCAGGACAAGGGCGGGGCCCAGAGAUAGGCGAGGCCUUAGGACAAGAUCCGUUAGUAUGUGUUUAGCUUAGGUUAUGUGAUGUGAUAUGUUUAUGUGCUAUUAUAUGUUAGUGGGCGAGGCCCUGUGACAGGCGAGGCCUAAGUGAAACAGAUCUGUAUCCGAGCGGGGCUCGAAGCCAGGCGGGGCCUGGAACGGUGAGGCCGUUAUAGCGGGCGAGGCCCGAGGUAGGGGCGAGGCCCAGGUUAGCGGGCGUGGCCCAGUAUGUGCAGUAUAUGGUUAUGCAUGGUAUGUGGUAGGGUGGGGAACUCACUAAGCUUCGUGCUUACGGUUUUCAGUUUUGGUUUCAGGUACUUCCGGUAGCGGAGGGAAGAGCUCGGGGGUGAUCGCAUGACACACACCAUAGAUUAGACAACCUGGGAAUGUUUUACUCUGAUAAUGAACAUGUGUUUUGGAAAAUUAAUACUCUGAUUAUGUUUUGAAUUGGUGACCUUGCUUAAAGAAAUGUUUUAUUAAAAGAAAUUUUUAGUCAUGAAUUUUGGGACGUUACAAAGUACAUUAAUCCUUGGUACAAAUAUUACAUCAACAAAAGUUAUCUCUAAGCUUUCAUGAAAUUGAAGACCUUAUGCCUAACACAACCAUUGUAUCUAGAUAAGAUUUUCCUACUUAUUUACUUUGUUGUGUGCAAAUAUUAAUACACUUGACUUAAGCAUCACCAACAUUUGGACAUAAUUGUUGACGUUGAGGUGGUUGGUUAGAGCAUUAGUCAACUUUAAUAUUCAAGUGAAGACGUAUCAAAUACAAGUGAUUGUAGUUCACUCCUAUAGCAACAAGAGGAGCAGAGGCUUUAAGUAGUUUAUCCAUUUCAACAUGAAACUCUUUUCACACAUGAACGAUCUUAUGACACCUGUCAAAUGCCUCUUAAAAUAUACAAUCAACACUUGGUCAGUAGCUUUCUUCUCUGUGGCCAGAACCAUGACCUCUUCAUUUCCCUAUAUUAAUGAUGACAGGUUCAUAAACUAAAAGGACUGUAAAGUCAAAAUAGUUGACAUUAUGUUGACAUACCUAGUGGUGUGAAGAGAAGAAUAAAUAGAAUGUUUGUAAUAAACCCGCUUUCUUGGGUGAGGAAACCAUGACACUUGUUCAGAAAUGAAACAUCCCAACUAGCACCUAACGACUUUUGCUACAUUGAGAUAUACUAGCAAACAACAUAAGCAAAUCACAUGGAAAAUUAUUACAAUUAAUAAAACUCAUAAAUAAAGUGGUAAAAACAGCCUUGCACACACUCUUGAUUAAAAAAAUAGUUUAUAUUAGUGUAACAUCCCGAUUUCUCGAUAUCAGUUUAAAGUUCUAGAGUCAUGUUUCAAAGACAACUCGACGAGUUGAUAGGCCAACUCGUUGAGUAGUGACCAAAUCAGCCAUGUGGAUUUUAGACCCUACUCGUCGAGUUGGAGGACCCGACUCGACGAGUAGGUGCUGGAAAGUGAAAACCAUAAUUUUUAGGGUUUGCACCCUAUUUAAAGGUCCUUAACUUUCCUCCUCAGCCUCCCUUGUCACCUUCACGUCCAAAAAAACCAACUAGUCUCUAUUCUUGAGUGUGUGAGACCAAAAGAGAGUGUAUUGGAGCAUUCUUAAGGAGUUAAGAGCUUUGAACAAGGGAUAGCUUGUAGAUCCAACUUUUCCAGUGUUGUGACAACAAUAUUGAGUUAUAAAGCUACCACCUUUAUAUUUCAUUGCUUAGAUCUUCCUUUUUGGUAAAGUAAUUGUCAUGUCUAGGGCAUGAUGGGGUCACACUCGGAUUUAAGCUUGCCACAAGGGCAUAGUUUUAGAACUUGACUUCUUAAGGCCUUAUGAACAUAAAUCCUUAAGCUUUAUGAAGCCCUAGCCCUCCUUCAUGUCCAAAACCUUCUCCUAAUGCUAAUUAUGAGUGUUUUAGCUUCAUAGAACCAUGCAUGCAUGUAAAGUUAGCAACUUUAUGUGAUAACAACACCCUAGGAGCAUAGAUCUACUGUUUGGAGCUUUGGAGCAGCUUAAAAUAGUCUGAAUGAGUGAUGGACUGAAGGAGACUCGACGAGUUUCAUGGUUGAAUCGAAGAGUCGGUUGAAGAUUGCCCAUAAUGGUUUUGCAUGGACUCGGCAAGUCAGUAAGAAGACUCGACGAGUCAGUUAGGGUUCUUCCUGACAUUUAGACACGCGUAGACUCGCCGAGUUGGUGGGGAAACUCUGCGAGUUGGCCCAGGGAUUUCACGGUUUUCUGAGUUUUGGAGGAACUCGAUAGGUCAGUAGUUGGACUCGACGAGUUGGGUCAACAUGGACUGUUGACCUUGACUGUUGACUUGGAGUUUGACCAGGGUUAACCAUGUUUGACUUUGGAGGGUAUUUGGUAAAUGGGUAUUUAAGGAAAUGGAUCAUGGGUGGAUAUAGGUAAUGGAGUUUGGGGCAGUAUUUUGAGAGCGUGAUUUCGUGGUUUAGUUCGGCAUUGCAAGGUGAGUUAUCCUCACUAUAUCAACAGGGUCUAAGGCACCAAGGUCAGCCCUUUAUCUGAUUUGUAUUCGGGUAUUUGCUUGAUAUGUUUUUUGAUCUGCUAGAUCUGCAUCCUGGUAGUUAGGAUGGUAUUAUGUUUAGUGACCUGGUUUAGGUCAGUAUCCUGGUAUAUGGGAUGAUGUUAUGUUAGUGACCGGUUAGGUCGGUAUCCUGGUUAUAGGACGGUUGUUGUGUUAGUAAUCAGUUAGUUUGGUAUGAUUAUCUGUUGUAUACAUGCUCGCGUAUAAUAUUUAUGUGCACAUGAUUGUUUGAUUGUUAUGGGGGUUGGGUUGAGGCGGGUCCUGCUUCGUGUUGUAGGCCAACAUACCCAUGGCGGACCGGAAAGACUACAGGCCCAGGAAGGCACAUUGUCCAACCAAUGGCCCAACGAGCGGUCCGGAUAGGCUGAAGGCCCCGAGAGGGUGGUCCAAACGUGCCGAGGCUCGGAGAGUGGGCCAGGUGGACUGAAGGCCCGGUGCGGGCGGUCCAGUCAUACUGUAGACUCAAAGAGUGGACCAGGUGGACUGAAGACCCAGUGCGGGUGGACCAGUCACACAGUAGACUCGGGAUGCAUGGCUGUUCAGUGUUUGUUAUAUGAUAUGAUUAUGGAUUGUAUGAGGUUGGUAUUUUGGGGGUAACUCACUAAGCCUUCGAGCUUACGUUUAUCAAUUUAUGUUUCAGGUACAACGAAUUAACCCAGGAAGACGAAUGUGUGAUCGUACACUUCCCCAUAAUAUGUUUUGGAUUUUCUGGGAUACUCUGAUGUGAAACUAUUUUGGAAACCUUUUUGUAAUAACUAUUGGCAUUUGAAAUGUUUUUAAAAGUUUAAAUUUGGCUUGGAUUUUAUGGGUGUUACAAUUAUUUCAAUUAUCCAAGACGAUUUUAUGUCGAGAUUUUAAGUUAACAUUAAAUCUCAAUUAUUUGUUUGAAUGAUUUUUUUCUUUUAUCUUAGAGAUUUGUUUGAAAUUUAUUAAUUUUUUUUAUAAAUUUGAAUUAAUCAAAGACACAUAUAAAAAUAUCUCAUCAAAUCAAAUAAAUUUAAUAUAUAAAAAAGAUAGUAUCCGAUUAAGUCAAUCUAAAAAUACCAACAUAUAAAUAUAACUCACAAAUCUUGAUGGGAAUAAGAAUCAAACUCAAAAUCAAUCAAAUAAAAAAACCUUUGAUUUGUGUUAUAAGUAUAAAAUAAAUCAGGAUUCCAAAUAAAUAUUACAAUGAAAAAAAACCUAAAAUGUUUGAAACAAAAUAUGAAAUUCGCCAUCACUGUCAAUUUAAAAAAAAAACCUUUAUUAAUACUAAUGGGCUAUUUGGUAGCAUCCUGAUGAAUCAUAUCUGAAUGAUCUAGAUGCCUGGAUGAUCUAGAUGCUCUUUAGGAAUUUCUAUCGGAAUGAUAAAAUAAUGUUUGGUUAGGCAUCUAAAUAUCUGCCUCUUAAUGAGGAAAAUAACCAUUUUAGCCCUCUAAAUUAUUUUUUGAAUACAAAAUAAACAUUAUACAAUAUCCAACAAAUCGGUUAAAACAAAUUGGCUUUUGAUAUUCAGAUUCAUGUGUUUCUUCAUCAACAAUCUCUUUGAAGAGGACUCGUUUUGUUUCUGUUUUUAGAUCAUUAGGCUUUCUUGCUUCUGGAACAUUGAUGGGCCUAUUUUCUUGCUGAAUAUCUUCCAUCACUAGCAACUUCAUCUUGCUCCUAGAUCACAUAUCAACUAAACAAGUUGAAAAAUAACCAAACACAUAUUUUCAUAUAGAACAUUUCAAGCAAACACAAACACAUUUUCAAAAAAAAAAAAACAAAUCAAUUGUUAUUUUCAGAUUUCCAAAGGACAAAAACAACAUCAACUGAACACAUAUAUAGAGCAAGAAGAACAAAGCACAAAAAUCGAUUUCAUACAAAAUCGAGCAGCAAGAACACGAUUGACACCAAUUUCAUGCAAAAUUGCUCAACAAUAACACGAUUGAAGCAACAGAUUCGAGAAAAAAAACCAUACCUGAAAACUUACCGACGACGAGUAGGCGGAGAAGUAGGAGCGUUGUCGAAGGCAUGCAAGGGGAGGCGGCGACGGAGCCAAUAAUUGGAAGUUGUCAACGCUUAAUGAAGAUAAAGAAUGAGGGAUGAAAGGUCGAUCUCUAGAAAGAAGGAGAAGAAAAAAGAGUCGGCCGCAAUUUGUUGUUAGGGCAAUGGUAGAAGAUGAAAAUUUUUUUAUUCAGACUUCUCCUCAUAUCUUAACGAAUCAGAUUAGUUUUAGCUACAUCUGACCGAUUAAGAGCGUAAAAAUGUUUCAACCAAACACUCUGAAUCUUAAUGAUCCAAAUGCAACCUCUUAAUGAGACCAUUAAGAGGCAAAACAAACAGCCCCUAAAUAAAAAAAACAAUAUAGUUUCCAUAAAAAUCGAUUUAAAUAUUAAAGAAGAGAAGAAAUCAGCAUUUAUACGACGUAAUAGUUUUUUAAAAUUAAAAAAAAAAAAUUAUUCAUAUUAUAAGUAUAAAAUACAUUUUAUUCUUAACUCUCAUUUGUAAUUUGCCAUAUGUUUUCAUAAGAGUUUAUGGUAAUAACUUAAAUUUUUAUUUUUCCAUAUACCAUUUUUCAUUUACAAAAUUGUUUGUGCUUAUUUUUUUUUGUUAUAUUAAAAUUUAUUAUAUUUUAUUAUAUAAUAUAUAUCAUAAUUUUUUUCAUUAAUUUACAUAUAUCUUAUUUUUACGUGUUUAUUUGAAACAAUCGUUAUAAUGCAAAAUAAAUACCACUUCUCCAUAUUAAUUAUUAAUUUUUAUUAAAAUACUUUAUUAAUUAUUAUAAUUUUUAUCUAUUGAUAUUCGUUUAAUUUUGUAAGUUUUAUUUUCACAAAGUAUAACCUAAUUAAUUUCUCAUCAUCUAUAGUAAAUGAAAGUUUUUUUUUUCACAUGCAAUCACUAAUUAAUUUUGACACUUGUCAUUUUAUAAUAUUUUUUAAAUAAAUAAUAUCCACAUAUCAAUUUAUGAUUUUUNNNNNNNNNNNNNNNNNNNNNNNNNNNNNNNNNNNNNNNNNNNNNNNNNNNNNNNNNNNNNNNNNNNNNNNNNNNNNNNNNNNNNNNNNNNNNNNNNNNNNNNNNNNNNNNNNNNNNNNNNNNNNNNNNNNNNNNNNNNNNNNNNNNNNNNNNNNNNNNNNNNNNNNNNNNNNNNNNNAUCAAAUGUAAUAAAUAUUAUUUUAAAAUUUCAUUUUAAAAAAUAUUUAUUAUUACAUUUUAAUAUUUUAUAUUCUUUAAUCAACCGUGUAAUACAUUUUAAUACAUAGAUUUUCCAUCUAAUAAAUAAAUAAAAUGUAACCAUUUUAAUCACUAAAUAAUUAAUCAACCAAAGAUUAAAACCCACUGAUAAAAAGGAAACUAAAUCAACACCAAAUUGAAAAUUAAACCAUAUAUUACUAAAUUAAUUCACAGAGAGUUCGACAUCAAUCAAAUAUUAUCUCGCACUCAAAUUCACAAAACUCACUUUCCAGGUACAAAGUUUGUAGCAUAUGACCAUGCAUUGUUUGCAACAGGGUCAGCAAGGUGGUCAGCGAGGUUCUCCAAUGGUCCCUUUCCGGUAACAAUGGCUUGAACAAAGAAUCCAAACAUAGAGAACAUGGCUAGUCUACCGUUCUUGAGCUCCUUCACUUUCAGCUCAGCAAAUGCCUCUGGGUCAUCAGCCAGACCCAAUGGGUCGAAGCUACCACCAGGGUAAAGUGGGUCAACUACCUCACCAAGAGGUCCACCAGCAAUUCUGUAACCUUCAACUGCACCCAUCAAGAUCACUUGGGUAGCCCAGAUGGCUAAAAUGCUUUGUGCAUGGAUCAAACUUGGGUUCCCCAAGUAGUCAAGACCACCCUCACUAAAGAUCUGGGAUCCAGCCUUGAACCAUACAGCCUCACCAAACUUGACACCAUUACGCGCCAAGAGUUCGGGGAAGACGCACCCAAGAGCUCCGAGCAUGGCCCAUCUGCUGUGGAUGACCUCAAGCUCACGGUUCUUGGCGAAUGUUUCAGGAUCAGCAGAGAGCCCAGCAGUGUCCCAACCGUAGUCACCGGGGAACUCACCGGUCAGGUAAGAUGGGGCUUCGCCGGAGAAUGGGCCAAGGUACUUAACACGGUCGGGGCCGUACCAUGGACUUCCUGAUGGUGCGACUUUCUUGACUGCUGUCUUCCUCAUGGAAACCCUUCCAUUUCCGAUUAUUUCUGAACCAGAUGGUGCUGCUUUCACUGCCUGUCCGACGAAAGAAGAAGAUAGAGCCAUG